CCGAGAGUAAAACUCUCAGGACUCAGCCAAAACUCUCGAGAUCGAACUUUUAGGCUGGUAUACCAUCGACGGCCCUCCACCAAGUGUGGAAAAGUUCGGAAUAUAAAUCAAAUACUCGAACCUCGCAAUUUGCAAAGGUCCAGUGUGCUACAAAGGGGGAGAUGAUAAGUUGGCUCAUGAUGAUGAUGAUGUCUGAUGAUGAUGAUGUCUUUUGAUGCAUUUAGCUUAGUUGUGUAAAUUUUGAUUAGAUGGUUGCUUAGGUGCUUGACUAUGAUGAACUAUGAACUAUGACUUGUUGCUUUGAUUGCUUUGACGUUUUAUCUUUUAUGAUAAGUAUGCUUGAAUCUUGAUUAUGUUUUAAGAAUAUUUUUGCAGAAAUAUUCAAGACUUCAAGACUCCAUGUCUAAGUCAUAGAGUCUGUAUUAAGGUUGUGAAAAAUGUAAUUUUCGUUUAUUGGAUCGAUCAUGCAGGAGAUUGUCGUUUGGUGAUUACGAUGAUCUUCUUUUUUUUAUUUCUGAGUUGUGUACGAGCUUUGUAGUAUAUUUUGUCACGAAAUCGCCAAAGGGGGAGAUUGUUAAGGAUUUUAUAGGUUGGCGGAUUUCGUAGAGUUGAAUGGAGUCUUGAAGAGUUGAUCGCGGAAGUUUGAAAAAAAGAUUCAAAUUGAAGAAUAAAGACUCAUUCGGAAAGCUCGGCACCUCAAGUAUGAAGAAUAGAUGAUUUAUGGUGAAGGUUUUUAAUUGUAAUAAGUUCAGAAGGCUUAGAUUGCUUUAAAACUCUUUUACUGAACUUUUAUGUGUUCUGGGACCGGUCUCCUGAGUUGAGAGACCGGUUCCCCUAAGGUCCUCACUGUGUGAAUGUUGAGGCAAUCGGUCCCCUGAGAUGAGAGACCGGUUCCCGAACAUUGGUAUUUCUAUCGCACAGUGAGGGACCGGUCUCUGGCUUGAGAGACCGGUUCCCGAACGUUGUGAUUUCUGUCACGCAACGAGGGACCGGUCUCUCACUUGAGAGACCGGUCUCUCACAGACCGGUCUCCUCGAGAGGACCGGUCUCUGAGGACGACACAUGUUUUUAAAAAGGACUUUUUGCAAUCCUAUUCUACUUCUAAGUCUUCUGAACAUAUAAAUAAGCCAAGGGGGUCAUCUUAAAGUUUAAGGCUUUGAAUUUCUACUCAUUCUAAACCCUAGAAACUUGUUUUUCCCGUUCCUAUGAUUCUAUUCCAAUAACAAGUUUCUAAUAAUCAACGAUCGACUUGAUUCUUCGUUUUUACUCGAGAACUUAUACGAGAAUCAAGUAGAUGUUUGAUUAAAAGGUAGACCCUCAUCGCUUAUGGGAUUCUAGGCUUAAUCACCACAAAUCUUCGAUUCUACAAGCUCCGGAAGGAGGUUCGGCGCGUGGAUCUCGCGUGUAGCCGAGGAUUCGGUGGACGCUUCGAGGAGUUGAGGCGUUGACGCUGCAAGGAGUUGCGGUGAGGUCAAUUGGAGGAUUCCUAUCGAUUGAGGACCGGCGAAGAUUCCCAUCAACGGGAAAUCGGUAAUUGAGUCGUGUAUUUUUGUCAAAAUCACUUGUACUCAAGUUUUCUUAGUGGAUUUUCUUCGCAUAAUCGGUCCCGUGGGUUUUUCACUCCGGUUUGGAGUUUUCCCACAUUAAAUUCUCGGUGUGCUGUUUUAUUUUCCGCUAUUUCGUUUUAUUUGCAUCGAGAUUUUUGAGUUUGCCGUUUUUACACUUAUUCACCCCCCUCUAGGUGUUACUUACCUUUUAGAUCCUCGGGAACCAUAUCUUAUAGUUUACUUAUGCUAAGUCUAAGUCCCACUAUCAUGCAAUUCCUAGGGUUCAACAACACAUGUCCAUCAUGGUUUCAUUUCUCUCUAUUUUCAAAUACCCUUGAAAUAAAUAUAAUGAAAACAACCAAAGUUCACAUGUGCAUUAACCCUAAUAUGCAUGAAGGACUAAACAACCAUAUGCUCAAGAAUAGAGAAAUAGACAUAGAAGGAAAUCCAACGAUUCCGGUGUGCACCCCCCACCUCUAAUGAUCGUGUGGGUGUGGAAUGUGAUGACUCCCGAGCGCUACGAAUGCCGGCUCCGCGUCCUAUAACCAAAUUAGUGCCUUAUUAGGCCUUUUACACACGAACUAUACUUAAAUAUUUUCGUUUCGUCAAACGGAGUUGUCUCACGCGUUUAGGACACCCCCAAUUAGAUUUCUACGAGGUCAAUUUGUCCCCGAAAAAUUCUAGGGCAAAAGCCCCAAAUUUGAGCCCUAACAAUGUCAUCUAGGGUUCCCUCAUGGAUUGAUCUCAACCCUAAGCAAAUAAUAGCUUAGAAUCAUCUAAGAAGCAUCCUACAAAGAUUUUUAAGCCUUUAGAACCAUCCCUAGGGCUCCUAACACAACUUCCAAGGGUUCACCAUGAGAGCACCUUGGGCUCUCAUGGGUACCAUGGCAUUCAUGGCUCAAAAGAGCCUCUAAAGGCCCUAAGGAGCACAAAGCUCCAAUUCUCUAAACCAAAAUCCAAACCCUAGAGAAAAACCUUACAAAACUUACCUCUAGCCCAAGCUCCACCAAGGUUCUUCUUGUUGGAGAGCUCCUAGAACCUCCAAAGCACCAAAUCCACCUUCUUCUCCAAGUUCUUCUUCUUCUUCUCCAAGCUCUAGAGGGGUUCUAGAGAGAGAAAGAGAGAAAAUGUGAGAGAAUGAGAGAAAUGGCUGUGGGAGUGAAGGGUUGAGCCAUAUAAAGUGUUGUGAUAAUUGCAUUUAAGCCCCUCCACUUGUUUCCCAUUGAUCUGCCCAGACUGGGCAUUUUUCGCUUUCGGGGACCGGUCUCCCCGACGAGGGACCGGUUCCCGAACGGGGGUUUUCCAGGACUUAGCCGAUUUUCGAGCUUUUUCAGCUGCUGCGCAACGAGGGACCAGUCUCUCUCCCAGGGACCGGUCUCCCGAGGACCGGUCUCACCACCAGGGAACGGAUGCCUCAGGAUUUCCUGGCAGGCUACGCGUACGGGGACCGGUCUCUCCUUCAGGGACUGGUCCCCGAGAGUACAAAAUCUGGGACUUAGCCAGAUUUUGAAAUCUCACUCUCUCGGGUCCCUUUGCACCAUAUAUAGGCUCCAAUACACCUAGGGCCUAUACCCACUCGUUCCGCUCCGCGUUCCGCUCGUUUUGACGGAACUCGGCACGAUUUACGAGGGAUGUGGUAUGUUACAGCUACCAUUCCGAACUCGCUUGGCACGAACGGCUCCAUAAAUAACAUCCACGGCAACAAUCCUUCCGAUAGCAACGGAAACCGACGAAUCAUCCAAACUUGCUUACCAAAGGUGGCUACUUAAUUCCUCAAUUGGCAUUGCAUCACAAUACCUCCACGUCAAUCUCACUUCACCACCCGGGUAGCGCUCUCAAAUCCUCUACUAUGAAUAUAGUCAUGGACCAAAGUUCAGAAGCUUCUCCAUUCCACUAAGGUCAUUCCCUUAGUCUCAACUCGAUGUCUCAAAUAAACUCUUCGUAAGCCUUAGCCAAGGGCUUAUCUUCGGUAGGAGAUCUCAUAACAUUAACCGCUCAGUUGCACAAGAAGCUCUACUCAAAAUUCUCAUCCUCAAUGCCUUCCUUAGCAUCGGAUGCUCCAGGUGUCCAUAGUCACCGAGCUCAUCUUGAGUGAUAGAAAGGGAUCAAUCCACAAUUCAAUAAUAGCUCUCUAUUAAUGUCAUCCUGAUGUGACCAUCAACCAAAUAUCAAUCCAAACAAUUCUCUCACGCAGUUUCCAUUCCCAAGAUUUUGAUUCCUGGUGCAUAAACCGGACAAGGAAAAAUAGCAACUUGGUAUUUUUCCCUCUCAAGUUUCCAACCACUCGAUCCAACAGUGAGAGUUUCACAUCUCGAUCAUGUCAAUCUGCCUCGUAGUCAAUCCUUGCAAAUCUUCAUCAGAAUACUCAUGGCCAUCCGCGACCGGUUUCACAAAUCCAUCCAGAGGGCUUGGACUUAUUAUUCAGCAAGUCCCUAACACUGGUGGAGUACCACGGGAUUAGGCAACAUCACAAGUGUCACACCCCGAGCUCCGCCAAUUUGGUCGGAUUCGAGCACGCGACAAACGCCGAACGGACAGUACCUCCCCUCUCCGCCCAAGGCUACAACAACAAGUAUAAUACAAGCAAGUCAACAAGGAGAAUUGCGAGAUAUACAAGGUUUACACGAGGGCAAAUAACAACCACAAGUGAAAGCAUCGAACUAAACAAAACAUCCUGUAUACAAGUCAUUUGAUUUCCUUUGAAUCAAACACAAGUAGUCAAAUACAUUUACACUCAUUACAUUAUUAUUGCAUUACCCAAAAUAUAAUUUACAUUACAUCACUUUUACUUUACAGUUUCAACAUACAAAAGUUGAAUACACCAAGAGUAGGGUAUGCCUAUACAACUCCGAGGCCGCUAUCUAUGGCGCGACUCCCUUGCCUCGAUCCUUCGCCGCCCCGCUCGCGUACGGAUCUGCAGGGUUAGUAGUAAUGAGAACUAGAACGAAGUUCCCAGUGGAUUCGGCCGCCGACCACGCCGAUUCGCCCACUAGGUCUAAUUCAGGCAUAUGUAUUUCAAUAAAGAAGAAUAACAAACCAACUAAUGCACUUUUAAUAUAAUGCCUGCACGAAAGCAAUCACAAAUAGAUAUUCAUAUUCAAAUACAUGAUAAUUAUGCAUGCAUGUCCUUUUUCACUUUCCUUGGCCUUUACCCAAUUCAACCUGGGGUGCUCCUGGUUUACCCCAACUCACAGUCCGCAUAUCCAUCUAACGGGGGAGGCACAAGGCACAACCACCCGAAGGAUCUUCGCCGGGCACGUCCACCCGUGGUGCAUUUCUUCUCCGGAGUACACCGCUCGUGGAGGAGCGACCUCGCACAAGCCGGAACCAAUACAUGUGAGUAUGAUCCCAUCCUCAAUUUGAGGAGGUAUGGCCAACCUGUCACAAUUCUCACUGUCUCAAUGCCGAUGAAUGGUUACUACCUAUUCAUGCACAUACUGUCACUUGCCAACGUCAUGGUGGUCCUGAUGCCACAAUACACAAGAUGUCACUCGGAUUAAACCUUGUUUAACUAUUCACUUAUCGAUGUCAAUCGAGUCACUAAUGUCAAUGUCGCCUUUGUUUACUAUGGUCACGGUCAUUUCUUACAUUCACAUGCAUAUAGGGUCUUUCACUUUUCUUUUUCACAUGGUUCUAUAUCACUACAAUGAUCUUACGCAGAUAAUUAUCACAACCAACAUGUACUGUUCAUUACAGUACAUGCAAGAAUGCUAUAAUAUCAACAUGCUCAAAGAAGGGACAUAGACAUAGAAAGAGAUCCGGUGUUUCCGGAUAGCACCCCCCACCUUUAUGUGUCACAAGGAUGCCGCGGUUCCGAUUUCACGAUUUUUGGACUCGUUCGCCGCGGGCUACGACGAUCUGUACUAUUUCAACUUGUUUUCUUAAUAUCUUCACGCACGCUCGUCGUAUCGCCGAACCGAGCGCACCGAUGCGUUCGUAAACCUACCAAUUAGGUUAAAAUGAGAUCAAACCCAAGUUUGAAUCUCAAAAUUACAAAACCCUAAAUAUAGGUCCCUUAACAAAGUUAUCUUCCCCAACAUAGGCCCCUACUCAUGGGAAACAUGGGGAAAAUACUCUAUUCCAUCUCCUAGGAGUAUAUUAGAAGGAAAAAUCCAAACUAUAACUCAAAACCCAUGAAAACUCACCUUGGGAGUCCAAAACUUUUCUUCAAAGCCUUGAUCCAGCUUGCUCUUCACCUUGGAGAGCUUCUUCUCCAAGCUUUUCUCCUCCAAACCGUCCUUGGUCCAAGCCCUAGAGAGAGAGGGAGAGAGAGAAGAGAGGUUUUUAGAGAGAGAGAGGGAAGGUUGUGUUUGGGUGUGAGGGAAUGAGAGCUAACCCUAACCCUUAGCUCUAUACAACAAUCUCAUGCAACAUUUGCACUUAAACCCCUCUCAAUUUCAUUUUUGCAACUAGCCCUUACUGGGCAUUUUCGGGUUCGGGGACCGGUCUCUCCCCUUCAGGGACCGGUUCCCGAGAGUUACCCUGCACUCUGCGCAGAAGGGGACCGGUCUCUUACCGAUGAAACCGGUCUCCGGGGACCGGUCUCUCACCUAGGGAUCGGUUCCCGAGAGCUUAAUUUCCAGGACUUAGCCGAUUUUUCCCUCUGCUUGGCUGAUCAACGUUCGGGAACCGGUCUCUCAUCCAAGGGACCGGUCCCUAAGAUUAAAAUUCUGAAAAUUUUCCAGAAUUGCAGUUUCACUCUCUCGGGUCCCUUUAUACUUUACAUAUAGGCUCCAAUGCACUUUUAGCCUAUAGUAACUCAUUCCUUUCNUUUCCCUCUGCUUGGCUGAUCAACGUUCGGGAACCGGUCUCUCAUCCAAGGGACCGGUCCCUAAGAUUAAAAUUCUGAAAAUUUUCCAGAAUUGCAGUUUCACUCUCUCGGGUCCCUUUAUACUUUACAUAUAGGCUCCAAUGCACUUUUAGCCUAUAGUAACUCAUUCCUUUCCGCGUUCCGCUCAUUUUGACGGAACUCGGCUCAACCUACGGGGAAGUGAUAUGUUACAUUCCCCACCCCUUAAAAUUGUUUCAGCCGCGAAACUAAAUCAUUCGUAAUUCAAAAUCCAUACCUCAACUUAGUUCCUCGAAGAGAUAAGGAUGACGCUCUCUCAUCGCGUCCUCAAGCUCCCACGUUUCUUCUCAGUCACAGUGUUCGCUCCAAUGGAUCUUAACACACGGAAUUUCUCGAUUCCGUAGCUUUCGCACUUCCCGAUCAACAAUGUACGCCGGGAACUCCUCGUAAGUCAUGUCCUCUUGAAGUUCUGUUGGUAUAUACGAGAGAACAUGCUCCGGAUUGUGAACAUACUUGCGGAGAUUAGAUACAUGAAACACAUCGUGCACCCCCGCAAGCCUCGGCGAUAAUGCUACUCUGUAGGCCACCGCGCCAACCCUUUCCAAGAUCUCAAAGGGUCCGACAAAUCGGGGACUCAACUUCCCCCAAACUCCAAACCUCUUAACACCGCGCAUCGGCGAUACCUUUAGAAACACGCGGUCUCCAACCGCGAACUCAAUGUCUCUCCUUCGCUUAUCGACAUAGAUCUUGUGCCUUGAUUGCGCUGUUGCUAAUCUUUGCCGGGCGAGACGAACCUUCUCCUCCGCCUCCCGAACAACUUCUGGGCCAAGAACAACUUUCUCGCCCACCUCGCUCCAAUGAACUGGCAGGCGACACUUCUUUCCAUAAAGGGCUUCGAAUGGCGCCAUUGCAAUACUUUCUUGGUAGCUAUUGUUGUAUGCAAACUCCGCCAUCGAUAAGUAAUCGCGCCACCCUCCACGAUAGUCAAGCACACAUGCUCGCAAUAUAUCCUCGAGUAUCUGAAUAGUUCUCUUAGAUUGUCCAUCACUCUAAGGAUGAAACGCCGUACUAAAAUCGAGCCGCGUGCCUAGAGCAUCCUGCAAGCUCCUCCAGAAAUGAGAAGUGAAUCGGGGGUCUCGAUCGGAUACAAUCGACACGGGAACCCCAUGCAGUCUCACUAUCUCGUCCAAGUAAACCUGGGCUAACCUGUCUCCUGACCACGUGGUGUGGAUUGGUAAAAAGUGAGCUGACUUCGUCAAACGGUCCACAACCACCCAUAUGGCGUCAUGUCCAGCUAGUGAUCGGGGCAGCCCGACCACAAAGUCCAUCGCGACAUUCUCCCACUUCCACACGGGGAUCGAUAAGCUUUGCAACUUCCCAGCGGGAAAACUACGCUCGGCUUUUACUUGUUGGCACGUCAAACACUGCGCCACGAAUUCUCCGAUAUCCUUCUUCAUACCCGGCCACCAAUAAUGCAAUUUCAGAUCCUUGUACAUCUUAGUGCCGCCCGGGUGAAUACUAUACAGGGAAUGAUGCGCCUCUUGCAACACCAUCUUACGAAUCUCAUCGUCCUUGGGUAUGCACAAUCGGUUUCGAAACCGAAGUGCACCGUCAGCUCCCACGCCGAAAUCACCAGCUUGCCCAUCACUAACAUCGGCCAGCACCUUUUGGAGAUGCGGAUCAUCAGCUUGCCGCUCCUUAACUUGCUCCAACAAGGUCGGUCGAACCACUAGUGCUGCCAAGAUAGUCGAAACUUCCGGCGCCACUACUUCCAACCCAAACCACUGCAUUUCCUUAUGUAAUGCCGGUUGACUAGUAAUCGUCGUCGCCAAGUUUUCAACAGACUUUCUACUCAGCGCAUCGGCCACCACGUUGGCUUUACCGGGGUGGUACAGGAUAGUUAGAUCAUAAUCUUUUAUCAACUUCAGCCACCGCCACUGCCGCAUGUUCAACUCUUUCUGGGUGAACAAAUACUUGAGGCUUUUGUGAUCGGUAUAUACCUCACAAUGUUCACCAUAGAGAUAAUGCCUCCAAAGUUUCAGCGCAAAAACAACCGCCGCUAGCUCGAGAUCGUGUGUCGGGUAGUUCUUCUCAUAGCUUUUCAACUGGCGCGAAGCAUACGCAAUGACUCGCCCAUUCUGCAUAAGAACACACCCGAGACCAGUAUAGGAAGCAUCACUAUACACCACGAAGCCCUCUCCCGGCGUUGGCAAAGCAAGUACCGGGGUAGACGUCAAUUUCUCCUUCAAUUCUUGGAAGCUUCGGUCGCAACCUUCGCUCCAGUCAAACCUUACUCCUUUAUGCGUGAGGUGUGUGAGAGGAGUAGUCAACUUCGCAAACCCCUCAACAAAGCACCUAUAAUAGCCUGCCAAUCCGAGGAAACUGCGGACUUCCGCCACAUUCGUUGGACGGGGCUAAUCUCGAAUCGCCUCAAUUUUCUUCAGAUCCACUGAGAUUCCACUCCCGGAUAUCACAUAGCCUAGGAAAGUCACCUCCGAAAGCCAGAAUUCGCACUUCUUGAGUUUAGCAUGAAGCUUCUCAUCUCGGAGUCUUUGCAACACGGUCCUUAGAUGUUCCUCGUGCUGUUCUUCACUCCGCGAAUAUGCCAACACGUCAUCGAUAAACACCACGACACACUUAUCCAACAACGGUCGGAAGACCCUAUUCAUCAAGUCCAUAAAUGCUGCUGGGGCAUUAGUAAGCCCAAACGGCAUCACCGUAAACUCGUAGUGGCCAUACCGCGUACGGUACGCCAUCUUAUGCACGUCCUUCGGUCGGAUUUUCAACUGAUGGUAUCCCGACUGAAGAUCUAUCUUCGAGUAUACCCGUGACCCCUGCAACUGAUCGAACAGGUCGUAUAUUCUCGGCAAUAGGUACUUGUUCUUGAUCGUCACCUUGUUCAACUCGCGAUAAUCAACGCAGAGUCGAAGGGUGCCGUCCUUUUUCUUCACAAACAACACCGGUGCUCCCCACGGGGACACACUUGGCCUCACGAAGCCCUUAUCGAGUAGGUCCUGCAACUGGGCCUUCAAUUCUUUAAGCUCCACCGGUGCCAUCCUAUAUGGAGCCUUCGAAACUGACGCCGCACCGGAAAUCAAGUCAAUGACGAACUCGACUUUCCGAUCCGGUGGUAGUCCCGGUAACUCCGCCGGAAACACGUCCGGGUACUCACACACCACCUGAAUAUUCUCCAACUCCGGGUGCUCCUUUUGAGGGUCCACGAUAGUCGCCAAGUAAGCCUUGCAACCGCCCUUGAUCAUCCUUUUUGCCCUCACCGUCGAUAUAGUCGCCGCAAAACGCGCGCCUUUACACGCCCGAUACUCAAAUUCUUCUUGACCAGGCUCACUAAAAGUGAUCACCCUACUGUCACAGUCGAUGCUGGCAUAAUACUUGGAGAGCCAAUUAACUCCCAAGAUGACAUCAAAUCCCCACAUCUGCUUGAGAACUAGCAAAUCCACCGGCAUGAUCCAGUCGCCGAUUUGAACCGGACAAGCUAGGCACUCGUCGUGGACUCUAAACGAGUGUUCUGGUGCGUUAACCCACCAAUAGUCAUAAUUGUGUUCUAUGUCCAUGCCAUGCGUCUUAGCAAACGAGGCAUCAAUGAAUGAAUGCGAUGCGCCCGUGUCAAAUAGUGCUCUUGCUCUAACGCCAUUAAUCAGAAUGAUACCUGCCACGACGUCGUCGGGUACAGCAGGCUGCUCCUCCACCUGAGUAGCGAAAACCUAUCCACUCGGUGCACGUGAUCCCUCCGGUUGUCGCGGUGAUGAAGUGCGCCCAGCCGACAUGGCAGGUGGCAGUCCUGCGAGCUGUCGUGGAGCAUACUGAGCCGAAGCAGCUGACGGAGCCGGUGACGCGCCGCCCGGGCAAUCCCAUCUCAUGUGUCCCGCUUGGCUGCAUCGAAAACACCUCCCGUCACACUGAGAAUAUUCACUCGGCCUAUGAUUCCCACCGCAAAUGACGCACGGGGAGGAACUCAUCUGACUCCUUGUCUGGCCUCUAUCUCGCCGCCAUUGCGAUCGAGGGUGCCGAGGGGGUCGCUUGGAACUCGACUGCCCCGCGGAACCACCAGCCGGUCACUUCUUAGAUUUCUUCCUAUCCUUGUCCCUUUCAAACGCCUCGCGUUCCUCAUGCGCAAUGGCGUUGCCGCGCUCUAUCCAUAGCGCACGAUCGAGCACCUCUUCUUAGGUCUUCAGCCGAAGCGCCUGAACAGUCUUAAAUAUCUCCGGCCGUAACCCACGCUCGAAGACCUCCGCCCGAUCUCGGUCACCAUGAACCAAACCGGGAACACAAUUAACCAAGUGCGAGAACUCCCUUUCAUACUCCCGCACCGUUCGUGUAAUAUACCGAAAAUUCGGAAAAUAAAAAAUAUCGAACUUUAGUCAAAUUGACCAAAGUGCGAGGAUGGAACACUUCGGAAAGUCCGAAGGUGUUAAAAUGAUUAAAAGUGAGUUGUGGAAGGUUUUCGAGAGCUAAAGAAUUGAAUUCUGCAAAGCUGCAGAUUUUCAGCUCUCGGGGACCGGUCCCUGAAGGGAGAGACCGGUCCCCGAACGCGUGCAGAAUGAGACAGCCGAAAAAUCGGCUAAGUCCAGGAAGGAUAGCUCUCGGGAACCGGUCUCUGCCUGAGAGACCGGUCCCCCAGAGACCGGUCCCCCUAGGAGAGACCGGAUGCAUCGCGCGCAGCAGCUCUGGCUGCGCUGGGAGAGCUCUCGGAGACCGGUCCCUAGUCGGGGAGACCGGUCCUCGAGCCCGAAAUCUGCCCAGACCAGGCAGUUGAAAUAGAUGAAAGUUGAGGGGUUUAUUAGCAUUUUUGCAACCCAAUGGAUAUGUUAGUGGGCUGAGGGACUUCCCCUCUCAUUCCACUCCCCCUCACACCCUCUCCUCUCUUUCUCUCUCUAGAAGACAAAGAAGGAGAAGAAAAAGAAGGAAAGAAAGGAAGGAAAAGAAUGAGAAGAAGGUGAAGAAGAAGCCUUUGGAGCAAAGAGGCUUCAUCCUCUUCCUCUCUAGUGCAAGUUAGGGAAAGCUUUAAGGUAAGCUUUUAACCCUAGUGUAGUAAAACCCUAGAAUGAGUUUUGAAUGACCUAGGAAUGGGUUUUAAUGGAAUGAUUAAAGAGUUUUGAAGCUUUCUUUUGCUUCUUUAGAGAUCAAAACCUAGGUUUGUUUAGAGGUGAGCUUGGACCACCUCUAAUGGUGAAAUCCAAACUAGGGUUUUGGAAAGGCUAAGAAUGGUUCUAAUGAACUAUUUAGAGUAUAAUGAAGCUAAUUUUGCUUCCCAAUGAGAUCAAACCCUAGGUUUUGUAUAUGCAUUGGAGCUAGGGCACCAAAUUGGGGCUUUUGCUCAUGAGGGUUUCUAAGUGCAAUUGACCCUCUAGAAACCUAAUUGGGGGUAUUUCCGACGCGUUGGUGCGCUCGGAAUAGCAUUUCGAAAAGUGUAUGAAAGGUUAUGGGCAAAAUGGCCUAAUAAGGGUUCGUUUUGCCGCAGGUAAAGAACGAAGCAUCUAAAAAUCCCAAGAAAAUCAUCGGGGCACCUUUGAAAGCCUACGAGGUGGGUGGUGCUUUCCAAACUCAUUGAAAUUCUCUCUAUGCCUAAUGUGUCAUUCCUUGAGCAUAUGUUCUAUAUAUUGUUGCAUGCAUUUUAGGGUAAAGUAAUGAUGAAAUGUGAUGAUUGCAUGAUUGUGAGCGCAACUUGCAUAAUGAGAUGGUUGAGAACCUAAUAAUGUCAAAACCCUAGAUGUAUGCAUGAGAGAAUAUGUGAGCACCCAAAGUGAGCAAAAGAACCGAGUGGCACAAUGACAUAGAUCGAGUGGCAUUUGAAAAUGUAAAGUAAAGAGACACUAGAGUUAGUGUGAUGCAAAGAACCAAUGUAAUGUAAAGAAUGAUCAAGAUAACAAUGUUAAAGUUAAAGUAAUGAGGGGAAUAAAGAAUAUAAUUGCUAGAGUUAGCAAAAGUAAAAGAAAAGUAAAGAAUGUGAUUGCAUGAGUUUGCAAUAUAAAGUGAUGUAAUGAACACUAGAGCUAGUGUAAAGUCAAGAUUGAACUUAUAAAUCCUUUGAGUUAAGGAUAUGAUCAUACUUGCUAUGAGUUCCGUGCUCGAGGGUGGUCGCUCCCCCUCGAGCGAUGCGCUCCGGAGUUAUGCAUCCGGGUUGGAGUAGACCCGUAAGGACGGUCCUAGCUGGUGAGUUCCUGCGAUGAUGGACUUAAUGUGAAGCAAGUUAAAGUGGCGAAACCCCCGGGCUAGCCUUAAUGAUUAAAGAACAAAGAGUAAAGAACAAAGUGUAAAGUGCAAAGAACUAAAGAACAUGCAUAACCUGCAUUUAUUUAAUGUUGAGCAUAUUUCUUGCUAUUUGUUCAGGCAUAUUAGCAUCAUGUUAUAGAUUGGUUACUAUAUCUUACUUAUCCUUUCUAUUAUGCCUGAGUUAGUCCUAGUGGGAAAGUCGGUGAUGUUGGGGCCGAACCCACUGGGAACUUUGUUGUAGUUCUCACCCCACUAUUUCCACAGAGCCGGGACCGAGCGAGCCGGCGAGCGACCGAGGUAAAGGUAUCGCGCCUUAGACAGAGGCCACCAAUGUUGGGUUCAUUUUGUAGUAAAGUACCUUAUGAUCAUAUUUUGUAUUUGAUGAUUAGUAAUAUAAAGAAAAGAAUGUAAAUCUUAUUUUGAGAUAAAUGUGAUGUAAGAAAGACAUGAUGAAAUGAUGUAAUGAAUGUAAGAGAUGGAUGCAAUGUAUAUGAUCUAAAAUGAAUCAUAAUACUUGUGAAUGUUUAGUUUCCUUUCUUUCACUAAUGGCUAUUGCUUACCUUCGUGUAAGCCGUUUGUGUAUGUUUCCGCUAGUGCACUUCUUAUUGAAAAUGUACAUGUGAUGAGCCUUGGGCGGAUAGGGGAAACUCUGUCCGUUCGGCGUCUGUUUGACGUGCUCGGGUCGGGCCAAAUUGGCAUCGGUCCCGGGGCGUGACAGUUCGGCUUCCUUGUCUUAACUUGCGAAAGUCCUCCUUAAUCUUCCACUUGUCACUUUCCGGAAAGUACUCCAUCAGUAGAAUCUCCCGGAAUGCCUCCCAAGUCAUAGUACCCGGAUCCAAGGACCGACCAUUCUUUACUCUCGUCCACCACGAUCGAGCCGGCCCCUCUAAACAGUGAGCCGCCAACCGAACCUUGUCCUUCUCGAGGGUGUAGAUAUCCUCGAAUAAUGCCUCUAUCGCAGAAAGCCACGCCUUCAUCAACCAUGGGUCUUUCACAUCACCCAAAAAAGUCGGAGGAUUAAACCGUUUGAAGGCUGUCAACACCACGAACGCCCGCUCCUGCCGACCUCAAGUACCUCCAAAAUAGGGGCCGAAGAACCUGAAGCUGCCGGCGGGUCCUGAGGUACAGGUGCAGCCGCCGCCGCCUGUCGAGCCACCAAGUCAUGGAGUUGCCCUAUCUACUCCUUCUGUUGUCGCAUAGCCCCAGCCAGAGCUGCUACUUGGGCCCGCAACUCGCGAACUUCGUCAGAUCCAACCUGCUCUCGCACCUCAUCAGGCGAUGCCGGAGUGGUCCGACGCGUAUAUCGUCUCGGUGACAUCUGUCCUGAAACGAAACACACGCGUUAAUAACCUACAUCCGAGACUCUUACUCAUUCCAAAUAACUACCCAAUCAUGUGAAAGCAAUCAAGUACGCUCGUUUUCUACUUUCGGCAUUAUGUAGUCGUCCGCCCCACAUAAUACCUUGAAAGAAAACAAACAUUCCCUUGAAUCCAUCUCUAUCUCCAUUUAGAGAAGUUCUGCUCAUAACCCAAUCAAUUUGCCUUCGCCAAUCCAAGUCCACGUUACACGUGUCCUAAUUCCUAGGGUCUCCAAUCCUAAGGUCCCUAAGUCCAUCCUAGACUUUUGCUUUCACAUCGCUCUGAUACCACCAUAUCUGUCACGCCCCGAGCUUCGCCAAUUUGGUCGGAUUCGAGCACGCGACAGACGCCGAACGGACAGUACCUCCCCUGUACGCCCAAGGCUCCAACAACAAGUAUAAUACAAGCAAGUCAACAAGGAAAAUUGCGAGAUAUACAAGGUUUACACGAGGGCAAACAAUAGCCACAAGUGAAAGCAUCAAACUAAACAAAACAUCCUGUAUACAAGUCAUUUGAUUUCCUUUGAAUCAAACACAAGUAGUCAAAUACAUUUACACUCAUUACAUUAUUCUUGCAUUACCCAAAAUAUAAUUUACAUUACAUCACUUUUACUUUACAGUUUCAACAUACAAAAGUUGAAUACACCAAGAGUAGGGUAUGCCUAUACAACUCCGAGGCCGCUAUCUAUGGCGCGACUCCCUUGCCUCGAUCCUCCGUCGCCCUGCUCGCGUACGGAUCUGCAGGGUUAGUGGUAAUGAGAACUAGAACGAAGUUCCCAGUGGGUUCGGCCGCCGACCACGCCGAUUCACCCACUAGGUCUAAUUCAGGCAUAUGUAUUUCAAUAAAGAAGAAUAACAAACCAACUAAUGCACUUCUAAUAAAAUGCCUGCAUGAAAGCAAUCACAAAUAGAUAUUCAUAUUCAAAUACAUGAUAAUUAUGCAUGCAUGUCCUUUUUCACUUUCCUUGGCCUUUACCCAAUUCAACCUGGGGUGCUCUUGGUUUACCCGAACUCACAGUUCGCAUAUCCAUCUAACGGGGGAGGCACAAGGCACAACCACCCGAAGGAUCUUCGUCGGGCACGUCCACCCGUGAUGCAUUUCUUCUCCGGAGUACACCGCUCAUGGAGGAGCGACCUCGCACAAUCCGGAACCAAUACAUGUGAGUAUGAUCCCAUCCUCAAUUUGAGGAGGUAUGGCCAACCUGUCACAAUUCUCACUGUCUCAAUGCCGAUGAAUGGUUACUACCUAUUCAUGCACAUACUGUCACUUGCCAAUGUCAUGGUGGUCCUGAUGCCACAAUACACAAGAUGUCACUCAGGUUAAACCUUGUUUAACUAUUCACUUAUCGAUGUCAAUCGAGUCACUAAUGUCAAUGUCGCCUUUGUUUACUACGGUCACGGUCAUUUCUUACAUUCACAUGCAUAUAGGGUCUUUCACUUUCCUUUUUCACAUGGUUCUAUAUCACUACAAUGAUCUUACGCAGAUAAUUGUCACAACCAACAUGUACUGUUCAUUACCCUACAUGCAAGAAUGCUAUAAUAUCAACAUGCUCAAAGAAGGGACAUAAACAUAGAAAGAGAUCCGGUGUUUCCGGAUAGCACCCCCUACCUUUAUGUGUCACAAGGAUGCCGUGGUUCCGAUUUCACGAUUUUUGGACUCGUUCGCCGCGAGCUACGACGAUCUGUACUAUUUCAACUUGUUUUCUUAAUAUCUUCCCGCACGCUCGUCGUAUCGCCGAACCGAGCACACCGAUGCGUUCGUAGACCUACCAAUUAGGUUAAAAUGAGAUCAAACCCAAGUUUGAACCUCAAAAUUACAAAACCCUAAAUAUAGAUCCCUUAACAAAGUCAUCUUCCCCAACAUAGGCCCCUACUCAUGGGAAACAUAGGGGAAAUACUCUAAUCCAUCUCCUAGAAGUAUACUAGAAGGAAAAAUCCAAACUAUAACUCAAAACCCAUGAGAACUCACCUUGGGAGUCCAAAACUUUCCUUCAAAGCCUUGAUCCAGCUUGCUCUUCACCUUGGAGAGCUUCUUCUCCAAGCUUUUCUCCUCCAAACCGUCCUUGGUCCAAGCCCUAGAGAGAGAGGGAGAGAGAGAGGAGAGGUUUUUAGAGAGAGAGAGGGAAGGUUGUGUUUGGGUGUGAGGGAAUGAGAGCUAACCCUAACCCUUAGCUCUAUACAACAAUCUCAUGCAACAUUUGCACUUAAACCCCUCUCAAUUUCAUUUUUGCAACUAGCCCUUACUGGGCAUUUUCGGGUUCGGGGACCGGUCUCUUCCCUUCAGGGACCGGUUCCUGAGAGCUACCCUGCACUCUGCACAGAAGGGGACCGGUCUCUUCCCGAUGAAACCGGUCUCCGGGGACCGGUCUCUCACCUAGGGACCGGUUCCCGAGAGCUCAAUUUCUAGGACUUAGCCGAUUUUUCCCUCUGCUUGGCUGAUCAACGUUCGGGAAUCGGUCUCUCAUCCAAGGGACCGGUCCCUGAGAGUAAAAUUCUGGGAAUUUUCCAGAAUUGCAGUUUCACUCUCUCGGGUCCCUUUAUACUUUACAUAUAGGCUCCAAUGCACUUUUAGCCUAUAGUAACUCAUUCCUUUCCGCGUUCCGCUCAUUUUGACGGAACUCGGCUCAACCUACGGGAAAGUGAUAUGUUACAACAAGAACCCUCGUGAUGUCCCAACCUAGCAUCAAAUCUGCUUGAGGCAUAACUUCAAACUCCAACUCAAACGGUUGUAUUCAGAUUGAAUCACAAUCUUAUCGAGUACGCUAACCACCCAAGGCUAUUUGAAUAGAUCAAUGAGCCUCUACAGCGGUCCAAACGCUAAUCUUGGUUCGAUUUAGAUCACGACAGCCGACAUACAGUCGAAAUGGCCCAUCCAGUCCCACAGUAGGUGGGGGUGCUUCUCCACGAAGCAAAACACUAGGUACAAGAACCUCUCUGCCAAUCGAGCUCACAAUUUGUGACUCAGGCGGCUAAACAACGACAACUCGGAAGAUAUCCUCCACUACGAGGAUUCUCGAUCAACAAAUGCUUUCGGCCAACUAGGCCCCAAAUCCACUCCAAAUACCCAAUUUUGGGUAGAGAGACAGUCGUUGAAACUAGCGAAACUAAAUCCUCAAAUCGCACUAUUUCGUGCUCAAAACCUCAAGGCGAGUCAAGUCAGCUCGCAAGACCAAGGGUACCAGGUACCCACAAUAAUUGCACACCAAAUAAGGCCAACUAAUCAUUGGCGCAGAAAACCCUCUCACAGGGUAAGGCGUUCAAAAUGAUACACCCGAUCAUCCGAUCAUCCUAUAUGCAUCGAAAAUGAUCAACGCUAACAAUCCUCGGGUUGGGUCACUACACACUCGGUGUAUCCUCGAUCUCACGAUCCAAUAUGUGGCAUUCCACGCUCCAAGGUCAAAGCUCGGACUACCGUCCUGACCAAACUCUGCCCUACCCGUAGGUACCGGGCCGCUGUCACACACAGCUGACUGCGCCUGCCCAAAGGGCCCAGGCUCCACAGUGCACAAACGGUCCAGGCACGGUCGUCCCCAAGCACCAUCCGGCGAGCAGCUGAUCAAGGGGUGCAAACAAUGCAAGAAUCGUGAGAUUUACAAGCAUAGCAAAACAUGCUACCCACAACCCGCAAAUCAACCGCCUAGCUCGAGAGGAGCCGCUCAACAUCGUAAACAGCGAACUAACGGAAUGCCAUGCAACUCGGCAAAUAGCCGAUCAAAGUAUGGAUGCAUAACAAACAAUGCACAAUUCGAAUGCCACAAAACAAACUAAUACCUGAAGCCACAAUCCUAGCUGCUGCCGCCUCCUCAAUCUCGGCCGCAUACAUGCGCCCGCUCAGGGCCUGUCGUGACCCCUCCAUCUAUCUCUGGACAGGUGGCCUCCCUGCCUGAUAGUGAGCAGAAGGCGUCCCCUGGCGGGGACCCGGUAAAGCUGGUGCCGAUGCUGAAGAUGGCGCUGGUACUGAGCCCCUCAGGCAGUCCGACUGGAAGUGGCCCUCCUGGCCACACAAGUAGCACCUGCCCCGCCCUUGCGAGCACUGCCGUGGGUAAUGACGACUACCGCAGAUCACGCAGCUCAGAGUCUAGCGACGCUCAGAUCCUCCCUGCUAUGCAGAUGUGCCCCGUCCUCGUGACUGGCUCCUAUUUCUGGGAUGUCUCGGCGGCCUCCAAGAGUGAGUCUGACUCGCACCCUCAGCCGCGGGCCGCUUGCCCUUUCCUUUGUACGAGCCUUCUCGACGCUCCUGCAAGUCCACCGCGCCAGUCUCCAUGAUGAGCGCGUAGUUUACCACAUCUCGGUAAGUCUGAAGGUUGGAGGAUUGCACCAACCAAAAGAUCGACGGUCGAAGUCCUCGCUCAAAGAUGUGGGCCUUGUCCUCGUCGUCCUGCACAACGAAGGGCACACAGUGUAGAAGCCGAGAAAACUCCCUCUCGUACUCAGCCACGGUUCGAUCCCGCUGGCGCAUCUCGCGCAGAUCCUGCUCCAUCUUCCUCUUAACACUGAUAGAAAAGUAAUGCUACAAUAAGAGUUCUUUUAACCUCUUCCAAGAAAUUACUGCUAGGUCGGUGUUGGGAUUGUCCUGUAUACCCAACCACCAGCUAUAGGCCUCGCCGUCCAAAUGGUGAGUGGCGAGCCAAACUCUGUCUCUCUCCUCCACGAAAGUGUCGUGGAACAAUUUCUCCAUGUGCAUCAACCACUUCUCAACGAUCCAGUGGUCGGCUUUCUCUCCAUCAAAAAUCCUGGGAUCGCACCUCCUGGACUCGUUGAGGCGAUCCGUGAGCCGUUAUCGCUCUGCUCCCUCAACCAUCACGGGAAAAACCGCCGUGCCACAGGCACCUGGGCUGGUGGUGCCGCAAAUACCUCCUCCCGAGGUGCUACCGCAGGUGCCGUCCGCGAAGUGUCGAGUGCAGGGGACGACCCCCUCGGUGCAACCACCUCUACCUGCGCUGGUGGUGUAGGAACCUGAGCCCCCCUGGCAGCCGCCUGCUGUAGUAGAAGGUCCUCUAGGCGCUGCAUUCGUGCCUCCUGCCGGCGCGCCGCAUCUGCCUCCUGCCGAGUUAUACAGUAGGUAGAACAUAACUAAACAAUAAAAGCAAAGCAUAAAGUUAUACAGUAUCCAUCUCAAAAGUACAAAAAGGGGUGGUCUCUACAAAUAGUACAAAUCUCUCAACCUCUCCAAAAAGAAACAAAAGAGAGGUGGACCACCUAUCCAAUAAUCCCUCGCUAGCUAGCCCGAGGCGAUUCCUUUUCCGCAAUCCCGAGCCUCUCCCGGAGUGGAAGGCUUUGAAAGAAAACAUAAAACAGGGGGCAUGAGAACUAUAAUUUAUAGUUCCCAGUAGGCAAUUACUAACCUUAGCAAAAUGCACCACUAGGCCCAAGUCAUGAGCAUAUAUAGAAAAUGAAAUAACAACUACGGAAAUAAAAGCAUAUAAUGAAAUGCUAUACUACUAUACCACAGGUAUACAUGAUAUGAAUAUGGAGUACAUCUACUCUAUCAUGAAUCUAAUAUGCCGAUACAUAACAAGUAUGCUCUAUCAUGACUACCAAGUAAGCUGUGAUGCAACAAGUAAUACUAUCAAGUAUACAAUAUGUCCCAAAAUUCAAUACAUAUCUAAUAUGUACUAUCAUAGCAACUAAGGGUACCACAAAUCCCAAUGUCAGCUAAAUCCAACUACGAUAUACUAUCAAGUAGUGAUUGUCAUUUAAUUGAUUAAGGUUCAUCAUUCAAUCUCAUCCAGAACCAACACAUGUGUAGUCCAACUUGUGCCGCCUAGCUGCCGGUGGUAGCUCCAACGUCCCCCCUCGAGGAAUGAGACUGUCCCACGCGACCCUACAGGUGCCUCACCGCCUAGCUGCCCGUGGUAGCUCGUCAUCCCACUUUGGAAUGAGACUGUCCCACGCGACCCUACAGGCGUCUCAAUCCCGCACGCGCGAACUAUGUCGCAAAAGGCCAACUCCGGAGUGCCGGCUUGUAGGGAGCGACCCUCACAAGUAUGUGCGAAUGAGCACAAAUGGCAAGUAAUCAUAGUCAUCAUAUCACGGAUCUCGUCAUCAUGUCUCUAACAUAGAAUAGCAACUCAACAGUCAUCAUGUCUCUAACAUGGAAAUACUCACUAGUAACCCCGAGGGUCUAGUCUAUGCCUCAAGUGAAGGUUUACUAAGUUCACUAUGUCCAAUGCCUCUUUAUGGCAUUAUCUCACCAUGCCCCAAAACCAUCCCAAGCCUAAUGCCGCUUUAUGACAUUAGCUUACCAAGUCCAAUCUCUAGUCCCAGCCUAAUGCCGUUUUAUGACAUUAGCUUACUACUUACAUACACUCUAACCUAUGUCACUUAAUGACAAUAUGCCCAACAAUGCCAGGCAUGCGUUCCAAGUCCAAGAGUGUAACCUAUAUGUCAUAUGCACUACAUGCAACAUGAUCUCAAUCAAAUGUAAGAAUGCUAAUGUAACAUAUCACUUCCCCGUAAGUCGUGCCGAGUUCCGUCGAAAUGGGCGGGACGCGGAAAGGAAUGAGCUACUAUAGGCUAGAAGUGCAUUGGAGCCUAUAUGUAGGGUAUGGAGGGACCCGAGAGAGUGAAACUGCAAUCCUGGAGAAUUUCCAGAAUUUUUGCUCUCGGGGACCGGUCCCUUGGGUGAGAGACUAGUUCCCGAACGUUGAUCAGUCGAGCAGAGGAAAAAAUCGGCUAAGUCCUGGAAAUUGAGUUCUCGGGAACCGGUCCUUCGACGGGAGACCGGUCCCGGGAGACCGGUUGCAUCGAGGAGAGACCGGUCCCCUAUUGUGCAGAAUGCAGGAUAGCUCUCGGGAACCGGUCCCUGAAGGGAGAGACCGGUCCCCGAGCCCGAAAUUGCCCAGUGAGGGUUGUUUGCAAAAGUGAAAAGUUGAGGGGUUUAAAUGCAAAUAUGGCAUGAGAGGGGUUAUAUGUGAGUGUGGGUUAGGGUGGCUUCAUUUCCCUCACCCUAACACUCAAACCUUUCCCUCUCUCUCUCUAAAAUCCUUCUCUUUUCUCUCUCCUUCUCUCUAGAUCUUGAGCAAAGGGAGGGGAUUUGGAGGAGCAAGCUUGGAGAAGAAGCUCUCUAAGGUGUAGAGCAAGCUAGGCAAGGUUUUUGAAGGAAAGCUGUCACGCCCCGGGACCGAUGCCAAUUUGGCCCGACCCGAGCACGUCAAACAGACGCCGAACGGACAGAGUUUCCCCUAUCCGCCCAAGGCUCAUCACAUGUACAAAUUCAAUAAGAAGUGCACUAGCGGAAACAUACACAAACGGCUUACACGAGGGUAAGCAAUAGCCAUUAGUGAAAGAAAAAGGAAACUACACAUUCACAAGUAACAUGAUUCAUUUUGGAUCAUAUACAUUGCAUCCAUCUCUUACAUUUAUCGAAUUCUUACAUUCAUUACAUCAUUUCAUCAUGUCUUUUUUUACAUCACAUUUUCCUCAAAAUGAGCUUUACAUUCUUUUCUUUACAUUACUAUCAUCAAAUACAAAAGAUGAUCAUAAGGUACUUUACUAACAAAAUAUAACCCAACUUUGGUGGCCUCUGACUAAGGCGCGAUACCUUUACCGCGGUCACUCGCCGGCUCGCUCGGUCCCGGCUCUGUGGAAAUAGUGGGGUGAGAACUACAACAAAGUUCCCAGUGGGUUCGGCCCCAACAUCACCGACUUUCCCACUAGGACUAACUCAGGCAUAAUAGAAAGGAUAAGUAGGAUAUAGUAACCAAUCUAUAACAUUAUGCUAAUAUGCCUGAACAAAUAGCAAGAAAUAUGCUCAACAUUAAAUAGAUGCAGGUUAUGCAUGUUCUUUCGUUCUUUACACUUUACACUUUGUUCUUUGUUCUUUGUUCUUUAAUCAUUAAGGCUAGCCCGNNNNNNNNNNNNNNNNNNNNNNNNNNNNNNNNNNNNNNNNNNNNNNNNNNNNNNNNNNNNNNNNNNNNNNNNNNNNNNNNNNNNNNNNNNNNNNNNNNNNNNNNNNNNNNNNNNNNNNNNNNNNNNNNNNNNNNNNNNNNNNNNNNNNNNNNNNNNNNNNNNNNNNNNNNNNNNNNNNNNNNNNNNNNNNNNNNNNNNNNNNNNNNNNNNNNNNNNNNNNNNNNNNNNNNNNNNNNNNNNNNNNNNNNNNNNNNNNNNNNNNNNNNNNNNNNNNNNNNNNNNNNNNNNNNNNNNNNNNNNNNNNNNNNNNNNNNNNNNNNNNNNNNNNNNNNNNNNNNNNNNNNNNNNNNNNNNNNNNNNNNNNNNNNNNNNNNNNNNNNNNNNNNNNNNNNNNNNNNNNNNNNNNNNNNNNNNNNNNNNNNNNNNNNNNNNNNNNNNNNNNNNNNNNNNNNNNNNNNNNNNNNNNNNNNNNNNNNNNNNNNNNNNNNNNNNNNNNNNNNNNNNNNNNNNNNNNNNNNNNNNNNNNNNNNNNNNNNNNNNNNNNNNNNNNNNNNNNNNNNNNNNNNNNNNNNNNNNNNNNNNNNNNNNNNNNNNNNNNNNNNNNNNNNNNNNNNNNNNNNNNNNNNNNNNNNNNNNNNNNNNNNNNNNNNNNNNNNNNNNNNNNNNNNNNNNNNNNNNNNNNNNNNNNNNNNNNNNNNNNNNNNNNNNNNNNNNNNNNNNNNNNNNNNNNNNNNNNNNNNNNNNNNNNNNNNNNNNNNNNNNNNNNNNNNNNNNNNNNNNNNNNNNNNNNNNNNNNNNNNNNNNNNNNNNNNNNNNNNNNNNNNNNNNNNNNNNNNNNNNGCAUAUACAAAACCUAGGGUUUGAUCUCAUUAGGAAGCAAAAGUAGCUUCAUUACACUCUAAAUAGUCCAUUAGAACCAUUCUUAGCCUUUCCAAAUCCCUAGUUUGGAUUUCACCAUUACAGGUGGCCCAAGCUCACCUAUAUAGCAAAACUAGGUUUUGAUCUCUUUAGAAGCAAAAGAAAGCUUCAAAACUCUUUAAUCAUUCCAUUAAAACCCAUUUCUAAGUCAUUCAAAACUCAUUCUAGGGUUUUACUACACUUGGGAUCAAAGCUUACCUCAAAGCUUUCCCAAGGUUGCUCCAAGGAGGAAGGAGAAGAGGUAAGCUUGCUACUUGAUCUUCUUCUUCACCUUCUUUUCCUUCUUUCUUCCUUUCUUCUUCUUCUCCUUCUUUGUCUUCUAGAGAGAGAAAGAGAUGAGAGGGUGUGAGAGGGAGUGGAAUGAGAGGGGAAGUCCCUCAGCCCACUAACAUACCCAUUGGGUUGCAAAAAUGCUAAUAAACCCCUCAACUUUCAUCUAUUUCAACUGCCUGGUUUGGGCAGAUUUCGGGCUCGGGGACCGGUCUCCCCGACUAGGGACCGGUCUCCGAGAGCUCUCCCAGCGCAGCCAGAGCUGCUGCGCGCGAUGCAUUCGGUCUCUCCUAGGGGGACCGGUCUCUGGGGGACCGGUCUCUGAGGCAGAGACCGGUUCCCGAGAGCCAUCCUUCCAGGACUUAGCCGAUUUUUCGGCUGCCUCAUUCUGCACGCGUUCGGGGACCGGUCUCUCCCUUCAGGGACCGGUCCCCGAGAGCUGAAAUUCUGCAGUUUUGCAGAAUUCAAUUCUUUAGCUCUCGAAAACCUCCCGUAACUCACUUUUACUCAUUUUAACACCUUCGGACUUUCCGAAGUGUACCGUCCUCGCACUUUGGUCAAUUUGACUAAAGUUUGACUUUUAUUUUCCGAAUUUUCGGUAUAUUACAAAAGCUUUGGACUCCAAAGGUGAGUUCUCAUGGGUUUUGCGCUAGGGUUUGGAUUUUUCCUUCUAGUAUACUUCUAAGAGAUGGAUUAGAGUAUUUCCCCCAAGUUUCUCAUGAGUAGGGACCUAUGUUGGGGAAGAUAACUUUGUACAAGGACCUAUAUUUAGGGUUUUGUGAUUUUGAGGUUCAAACUUGAAUUUGAUCUCAUUUUAACCUAAUUGGUAGGUCAACGAACGCAUCGGUGUGCUCGGUUCGGCGAUACGACGAGCGUGCACAAAGAUAUUGGAAAAAGAAGCAGAAAUAGUACAGAUUGUCGUAGCUCGCGGCGAACAAGUCUAAAAAUCGUGAAAUCUAAUCUACGGCAUCCUUGUGGCACAUCAAGGUAGGGGGGUGCUAUCCGGAAACACCGGAUCUCUUUCUAUGUCUAUGUCCCCCUUUUGAACAUGUUGGUAUUAUAGCAUUCUUGCAUGUAGGGUAAUGAAUAGUAUGUGUUGGUUGUAACAAUUAUCUGCGUAAGAUUAUUGUAAUAAUAUAGAACCAUGUAAAUAAAGAUAGCGAAAGACCCUAUAUGCAUGUGAAUAUGAGAAAUGACUGUGACCAUAGUAAACAAAGGCGACAUUGACCUUAGUGACUCGAUUGGCAUCUAAAAGAGAAUAGUUAAACAAGGUUUAACCCAAGUGACAUUAUGUGUACUGUGACAUUAUGUGUACUGUGACAUCAGGACCACCAUGACAUUGGCAAAUAAUAGUAUGUGCAUGAAUAGGUAUUGACCAUUCAUCAGCAUUGAGACAGUGAGAAUUGUGACAGGUUGGCCAUACCUCCUCAAAUUUGAGGAUGGGAUCAUACUCACAUGUAUUGGUCCGGCUUGUGAGAGGUCGCUCCUCCACGAGCGGUGUACUCCGGAGAAGAAAAGCACCCCGGGUGGACGUGCCCGGCGAAGAUCCUUCGGGUGGUUGUGCCUUGUGCCUCCCCCGUUAGACGGGAUAUGUGGACUGUGAGUUGGGGUAAACCAGGAGCACCCCAGGUUGAUUGGGUAAAAGCCAAAGGAAAGUGUGUGGACUGUGAGUUGGGGUAAACCAGGAGCACCCCAGGUUGAUUGGGUACGGGCCAAAGGAAAGUGAAAAGGACAUGCAUACAUAAUAAUCAUGUAUUUGAAUAUGAAUAUCUAUCUGUGGAUCGUUUUCAUGCAGGUAUUGUAUUAGAACCCACUGGGAACUUCGUUCUAGUUCUCAUUACCACUAACCCUGCAGAUCCGUACGCGAGCGGGGCGGCGGAGGAUCGAGGCAAGGGGGUCGCGUCGUAGAUAGCGGCCUCGGAGUUAUAGAGGCAUACCCUACAUUCGGUGUACUCAACUUUUGUAUGUUGAAAUAGUAAGGUGGAAAUGAUGUAAUGUAAAGACGAUGUAAAUUGUAUUUUGGCUAAAGAAAAUCGUAAUGUAAAUGAAUGUGAUAGACUACUUGUGUUUGAUUUAAAUGAAAUCAAAUGACAUGUAUAUUGGAUGAUUAGUUAGUUUUAAGGCUUUCACUGUGGUUGUUGUUUGCCCUCGUGCAAACCUUGUAUAUCUCGCAAUUCCCUUUUGACUUGCUUGUAAUAUACUUAUUGUGGAGCCUUGGGCGGACAGGAGAGGUACUGUCCGUUCGACGUCUGUCAUGAGCUCGAAUCCGACCAAAUUGGCGGAACUCGGGGCCUGACAGCUAACCAUAUGCAAGGUUCCAAUAUGAACAGUUCUCUACUACAUAGAGGUCCAAUGUACUUUAUACAUAACAUGCAUAUAUUAAGCAUUCUAAAAUUCUCAAAUAUUCUAUCUAGUAAGAAUAUGCAUGCAUUUUCAUUUUACGAAAAGUAAAACCCAUUAUAAGGAUGAUUUAUCCCAUUUUGGUGAUGCCAAACCCACCGAGAGUUUCACACGGCGUUCGUUUGCGCCGACGAAGGUGCCCACAAGCUUCCUAGCCCCCUAAAGGUUAAAGUAGGAGCGAUACACAAACGUUACGAACAACGAAUAGGUUAAACAUUAACCAACACAACAUAAGGCUAAAAACUCACCGAAUGCGAAGGGUGCUCUUUCGAUCUCCAAACAGGAGUAAGAGCCCUUCCAAACCAAUCUACACGAAGGUUCUAAACCCAUCAAUUGGGCUCCAAAAGCCCUAAAUCAAAAAUCCCCAAAUCAAACCCUAAUUCCUCAUUUCUAGGGUUUCUAAACAAAAAUCAAGUAAAACAUGAAUCUAAUGAGAGAAACAUGUUACCAACCUUUAUAGAAGCUCCCAACUAGGCUAGAAGUCAACUAGGGUUGAAGAUCUCUCCUUCAACAAGCUCAACUCCAAGCCUCAAGCUUUCUCCCAUGGUGGAAAUAGCACCAAGUAGUAAAAAGGAGCAAAAAGAGAGGAUUAAAUCUCGAAAAAUCCCAACAAAAACAAAGAAAAUCAAAGAGGGAGAAUAGAGAGCUCCUUUACCUUCCUCUCCACUGGUUCCAAGCUCAAGGAACACCAGGGGGCGUGGGAUACUAAUAUAAAGAAGCUACAAUCGCAAAAACACCCCUGCAGUUCAAGCAGUCUGCAGACUGCACUGCGUACCGGUACACGGGGUCGUGUACCGGUACACACCCCACGAAAAUGCCAAACCUGAGCCUCGGGUUGGCUGAGAAGCUACUUGUGUACCGGUACACGGCCCCGCGUAUCGGUACAACCAUCACCCCGUACCGGUACAGCCAUCAACCCUGUACCGGUACACAGCCUGCUGAAGGCUACCCGAGAGCACACCAAUCAUCCAACUUUUUGGGUUUUGGUGCAAAGUUUUAAACCGCAAAUCUCGGGAUACGAGUCAUAGGUCGAAACAUUGUCGACGACCCUCCAGAAUAUCUGAAAAAAACUCGGAACACAGAUCAAACACUCGAACCUUGCCAUUUGCGAAAGUCGAGUGUGCUACAUUCUCCCCUCCUAAAAAGGAGUUUCGUCCGCGAAACUACGGGUCAACCACACAACAAACCCAUCUGAAGAGGAUGGAUGAAGCGCUCCAGCAGCGCCCCAAACAAACCAUGGAGGUCUCAAGUGUGCCGGAAAACUCCAAGGCACAAACACAACAAGAUCUCGCGACGCCAAGGCUUGGCAUAACACAACCCAAACUUCCGCAAAAGCUCUUUGAACUCAAGCCUUCACUGGAAGUUCCAUCUCCAAUCCACACUUGUUCAACAAGUCCAUCAGUUGGUCCUCACGAACUCAAGUGUUUCCAAAAGCUGAAUUCUAAUUCUCACCUUUCUUGUCCAAGCCGAGAGUAGAGCCUUGCUCUGCUUCAAUUACUCUAGUAUAUAGGAUUCCAUCCAAAUACCCCUCAAGGUGGAUUCAAUGGUACUAUCCAAAGCAAGCGUCAGGGGGUUAAAUCCAUUACUCAUCUAUCAAAACACCAUCGGAGUGCUCAUCUGAUCAACACUCACCAAGGAGAGGUGAUGCAACAUCCGCUUAUCAGCUCAUAUUCCAACGAUGAUCCUUUAAAUCCAAGAUCAAGUCUCUUCUCGAGAUGGCACAACUCAGUGCAAUUCAAUCCAAGGUUAAGUAUGGUGCACCCCUUCCAUUUCGUUGCUAUUUGCAACGUCCAUCCAUCCGUCCAAUCUUGCUUGGCACGAACAGUUCUAAACCAACAUCCAAGGUAGCCAACCUUCCAAUAGUAAUAGGAACCGACGAAUCGUCUAACUCGCUCACCAAAGGUGAUCACUUGAUUCCUCAAUCGGCACGGCACUAUGAUGCCUCCACAUCAAUCUCAAACUCACCACCCGGGAGUACCCUCAAACCUCUGCAAUACAUGGUCAGGGACCAAAACUCAGAAGCUUCAUCAUUUACUAAGAUCAUUAUCUUAGUCUUAACUCAAGUCCAAGUAAACUCUUCGCAAGCCUAAGCCAAAGGUUUAACUUUGACAGAAUGUCUCAUAUAUUAAUCAUUCAGUUGCUCCAUAAGAAUCAUUCAAAAUUCUCAUCCUCAAUACUUUUCUUACCAUCGGAUGCUCCAGGUGUUCAUAGCCACCGGGCCCAUCUCAAGUGAUAGAGAGGGAUCAAUCCGCAAUUCAAUAAUAGCUCUCUAUCAAGGUCAUCCUGAUGCGACUGUCCAGCCAAAGUCAAUCCUAUAAGCCCUCAUAUGCAGUUUUAUCCCGAAGAACUCAAUUCCUUGCACACGCUCCUGACAAGGGGAAUUAGUAACUUGGUACCUUCCCUCUCAUGAGUUUUUCAUCCAUCAGUGAGAGUUCUACAACUCGAUCACGACAAUCUGCCUCUGCAGUCGAUUCUCGCAAUCUUCAUCGAAAUACUCAUGACUAUCCGCGACCGGUUCCACAAAUCCAUCCAAAGGGCUUGGAAUUAUCAUUCCACAAGUCCCUAACACUGGUGGAGUACCACAGGCUCAGGCAACAUCACAAUAAUUCUCGUGAUGUUCUAACCCAGCAUCAAAAUCUGUUUGAGGUACAGCCUCAAACUCCAACGCAAACAGGAGUACUCAGAUUGCAUAACAAUCCUAUCGAGCACACCGACAACACUAGGCCAAUUGAAAGAUCAACGAGCCUCAACAGCUAUCCGAACGUUAAUCGUGAUUCACUUUAGACCACGAUAGUCGACAUACAGUCGGAAUGACCUAUCCGGUCCCAAAACAAGUGAGGGUGCUUCUCCACGAAGCAAAACACUAGAUACCAGAAUCUCUCCGCCAAUCGAGCUUACUAUUUGUGGCUCGGUCGGGGGCACGACUACAGAUCAAAGACAUCCUUCAUUCCGAGGAUUCUCGAUCACUAGAAACUAAUGGCCAAUUAGGCCCCAAAUCCUCUCCAACACUUAUCCAAUUUUAAGUAAGAGAGACAGUCAACGCAACUAGUGAAAAUAAAUCUUCAAAUCGUACUAUUUCGUGCUCAAAAUCCUCAAAGCGAGUCAAGUUAGCUCGCAAUUCAAGGGUACCAAGUACCCACAAUAACUCCACACCAAGUAAUGCCAAUCCAUUUGUUGGCGCACACAACCUCCUCACAAGGUAGGGUGUUCGAAACGACACACCCGAUCAGCCGUUCAUCUCACAUGCAUCGGAAGGAACAACACUAGCAAAUCCUCGGGUUCGGUCACUACACACUCGAUGUAUCCUCGAUCUCACGAUCCAUCAUAUGGCAUUCUACGCUGAAGGGUCUAAGCUCGGACUACCGUCCUGACCAAAACUCUGCCCUACCCGUAGGUACCGGGCCACUGUCACACACAGCUGACUGCGCCUGCCCAAAGGGCCCAGACUCCACAGCUUACAAACGAUCCAGGCACGGUUGUCUCGAAGCACUAUCCGGCGAACGUCCGAUCAAGAGAUGCAACUAAUGCAAUCAUCGUGAAAUUCACAAAGCAUAGAAAAACAUGCCACCUACAAUCCGCAAAUCAACCGCCUAGCUCAAUAGAGCUGAAAGUCAUCGCAAACAGCGAACUCUGGCAUCCUCGCAAACAGCGAACUCUGGCAUCCUCGGUACACAACCUGCUCCUGUCCCAAAUAGGGCAAUAGGGGCAGACUCUCUAAUGUCCAAGGAGUAGUCGGAGAAACACGCGUCUCGGAUGCAACAAGUCUAAUAGGAUGCCAUGCAACUCGGCAAACAGCCGAUCGAGGGAUGCAAAUAAUGCAACGAUAUCCAACAAUGCACAAUUCGGAUGUCACAAAACAACUGAUACCUGUAGCCACCAACUCGGCUGCUGCCACCUCCGCGGUCUGGGCUGCAUACAUGCGCCCGCUCGGGGCCUGUCGGGAACCCUCCGUCUGCCUCUGAAUAGGUGGCUGCCUGGCCUGGUAGCGAGCGAAAGGCGACCCCUGGCUGAGACCCAGUAAAACUGGUGCCGAUGCUGAAGAUGGCACUGGUACUGAACUGCUCGGACAGUCCAACUAAAAGUGACCCUCCUGGCCACAUGAGUAACACCUGUCCUGCCUCUGCGAGCACUGCCGUUGGUAAUGACGACCACCGCAGAUCACGCAGCUCAAAGUCUGACGACGCUCAGAUCCUCCCUACUAUGCAGAUGUGCCCUGUCCUCGCGACCGGCUCCUAUUCCUGGGAUGUCUUGGCGGCUUCCCAGAGUGCGUCUGACUCGCACCCUCAGCCGCGGGCCUUUUGCCCUUUCCUUUUUCCAAGCCUUCUUGGCGCUCCUGCAAGUCUGCCGCACCGCUCUCCACGAUGAGCGUGCGAUUCACCACCUCCGGGUAGGUUUGGAGGUUGGAAAACUGAACAAACCGGAAGAUCGAAGGCCGCAAUCCUCGCUCAAAAAUGCGGGCCUUAUCCUCGUCGUCCCGAACAAUGAAGGGCACACAAUGUAGAAGCCAGGAGAACUCCCUCUCAUACUUGGCCACUGUCCUGUCCCCCUGGCGCACGUUGCGCAGAUCCUGCUCCAUCUUCCUCUUGAUGCUGUCAGGGAAGUAAUGCUCCAGUAGGAGUUCCUUGAACCUCCUCCAUGUGAUCGCCGUCAGAUCCGUGCGGGGGUCGUCCUGAAUGUCCAUCCACCAUCGGUAGGCCUCGCCGUCAAGGUGAUGUAUGGCGAGCCACACUCUGUCCCGCUCCUCAACAAAGGUAUUCCGAAACAGCUUCUCCAUAUGCAUAAGCCAUUUCUCCACGAUCCAAUGGUCCACGUUCUCCCCGUCGAAGGUCCGUGGACCGCAUCUCCUGAACUCACUGAGACGCUCCAUAAGUUGAUCGCGCUCCGCUCCCUCGACCAUCACGGGGAAAACUGCCCCCGCUACAGACACUCGAGCCGAUGGUGCCACAACGUCCUUCUCCCGAGGCGCCGCCGCUGGUGCCGUCCGAGAGGUGUCGAGUGUAGGGAACGACACCCUGGGCGCGACCGCCUCUACCAGUGCGGGUGGUGUAGGGACCCGAGUCUCCCCGGCAGCCGCCUGCUACAACAAAAGAUCCUCCAGGCGCUUCAUUCGCACCUCCUGUCGAAGUGCCGUGUCCGCCUGUCGCGUCACCAAAUCAGUGAGGGCUGCCAGCUGGCCUCUCAACUCACGGACCUCGCCGGAUUCGGAGGUAGCGGAUGUCUCCGCCUCCUCAAAGGUUGCCGCAUUGUCCGCUCCAACAGAUUUAGAGCGUGUAGUCAGCAUCGACACUACAACAUCAUAAAAGCGCAAGUUAAUAAAACCCACGCUAUCGAAUCCCCGCUCAAAUAGACCAAACCCAAAUCAUGCGAAAGUAAGGAAGUGUUAUCCACAACUAACUCUCGAUGUUACGUUGUCGGCCGCCAACGUAACCCUCCGCGAAGUUAGGAGUCAUACACUCCGAUCAACUCAAACUUCUUAGAGUUAUCAUAAAACUCAAUCAUAAUACUUUCGCUUACAAGUCAAAUAAACCUCGUCUCUCGCGAGCCUAUUUCCUAUAGUCCAACCGGCCUAAGGUUUGCUAGGUCCACUAAGACUCAACCCUAGGCUCUGAUACCAAAUUAAUCUGUCACGCCCCGGAACCGCGGAGGUCUUCCCGGUAGCGCGCCCAGACCCGCCAUAUGCCUACACAUAUAAGGCGUCUACAACAAAAGUGGAAGAAUAAGAUAAGAGAUGAACUACAUCUAGAGAUAUCAGAGCAAGUAUACAUCUAGAAUCUAUAGUAGGUAGAACAUAACUAAACAAUAAAAGCAGGGGGCGUGGGGUACUAAUAUAGAGAAGAAUAGAGAGCUCCCUUACCUUCCUCUCCACUGGUUCCAAGCUCAAGGAACACCAGGGGGCGUGGGGUACUAAUAUAGAGAAGCUACAAUCGCAAAAAUACCCCUGCAGUUCAAGCAGUCUGCGGACUGCACUGCGUACCGGUACACGAGGUCGCGUACUGGUACACACCCCACGAAAAUGCCAAAUCCGAGGGUCGGGUUGGCUUAGAAGCUGCCUGUGUACCGGUACACGGCCCCGCGUACUGGUACAACCAUCACCCCGUACCGGUACAGCCAUCAACCCUGUACCGGUACACAGCCUGUUGAAGGCUACCCGAGAGCACACCAAAAAUUUAACUUUUUGGGUUUUGGUGCAAACUUUUAAACCGCAAAUCUCGGGAUACAAGUCAUAGGUCGGAACACUGUCGACGACCCUCCAGAAUAUCUAAAAAAACUCGAAACAGAGAUCAAACACUCGAACCUUGCCAUUUGCGAAAGUCUAGUGUGUUACACCUCGUCUCUCACGAGUCUAAUUCCUAUAGUCUAACCGGCCUAAGGUUUACUAGGUCCACUAAGACUCAACCCUACGCUCUGAUACCAAAUUAAUCCGUCACGCCCUGGGACCCGGCAUAAGCCCGCCCGGUGCGUGCCCAGACCCGCCAUAUGUCUGCACAUAUAAGGCGUCUACAACAAUAGUAAAUAAAUGAAAAAGAAACCGAGAGUAUCUAGAGAUAUCAGAGCAGUAUACAGCUAGGUUCUACCAACAAAUAGAGUCAAAGAAACAAAACCACUACAGUAAGAAGUAAACUUAAUACAACAUAAAUCUCAAGAUACAAGUAUCGGGUGGUCUCUACAAAAUGGUAUAAGUCUCUCUCAACCUCUCCAAAACAAAACUCAAACGAGAGGUGGAUCAUCUAUCGCCGAACCCCUCGCAAGCUAACUCGAGGCGAUACCUUUCCCGCGAUCCCGAGCCUCUCCCGGAGUGGAAGGCUCUGAAAGAAAUCAUAAAACAGGGGGCGUGAGAACUAUAAUUUAUAGUUCCCAGUGGACAAUUACUGACCUGAUCAAAAUGCACCACUAGGCCCAAAACAUAAGCAGAUAUGGAUAAUAAUAACUGCGGAAAAAAAAACAUAUAAUAAAUGCUAUACUACUAUGCCACAAAUAUACAUGAUAUGAACAUGGAGUAUAUCUACUCUAUCAUGAUACAAUAUGCCAAAACGUGUCUAGUAUGCUCUUAAACGGCACCCAAGUAUACUAUAUGUCCCAAUGUCCAUUGAAUCCAACUACGAUUUACUAUCAAGUAGUGAUUAUUACAUAAACGACUCUGUGUCGAUUUUCAUUUCCAAUUAAGGACCUACACAAGGUAGUUCAGCUUGUGCCGCCUAGCUGACGGUGGUAGUACCAACAUUCCCCCUCGACGAAUUGGACUGUCCCACAUGACUCUACAGGCGCCUCGCCGCCUAGCUGCCCGUGGUAGCACAUCAUCCCAAGCUGGAAUAAUGCUGUCCCACGCGACCCUACAGGCAUCUCAAUCCCGGAAGCGCAAACUGCGUCGCAAAAAGGCCAACUCCGGAGUGCAAGCUUGUAGGGAGCGACCCUCACAAGCAUGUGUGAAUGAGCACAAAUGGCAAGCAAGCAAAGUCAUCGUCUCAACGAUCCGGUCAUCAUGGCUCUACCAUGGAAAUGAUCGCUAGCAACUCAUAGGUCUAGUCCAAUGUCCCAAGUGAAGGUUUAACCAUUCAUUAUGUCCAAUGCCCCUUUAUGGCAUUGGACAUAAAGGGGCAUUAUGUCCAAUGCCCCUCUAUGCGAAAAUCUUGUUCCAAUGCUAAUGCCAUUUUAUGACAUUAGGUUUACUAAGUCCACACAUAUUCCAAGCCUAAUGCCCCUUUAUGACAUUAGCUUGCUAAGUCCAUAUCUAGUCCAAGCCUAAUGCCCCGUUAUGACAUUAGCUUACUAUACCAAGCAUGAGUCUAAGUCCAAGAAUGCAAUGCACUUGUCAUUUUCACUAUUUGAAACAUGAUCCAAAUUCACACAUAGGAGUGCUAUCCAUAGGCCCAAGCCCACAUGCAAACUCACUACUACAUAGAGGUCCAAAAAUACAUUAUACAUAACAUGUGCAUUUUAAGCAUUCUAAAAUUCACAAAUAAUCUAUCUUGCAUGAAUAUGCAUGUAUCUUCAUUUUACGAUAAGUAAAAAUUAUUAUAGGGAUGAUUUAUCCCGUUUUGGUGAGGCCAAACCCACCAAGUCUCUUCGCAACCCUUCGUUUGCACCGACGAAUGUGCCCACAAGCCUUCUAGCUCCCUAAAGGUUAAACUAGGAGUGUUACACGAACGUUACGAACAACGAAUAGGUUAAACAUUAACCAACUCAACGAAAGGGCCAAAACUCACCUAUAGAGUAGAAAUCCCCUCACAAGCUCCAAAUGGAAGCUAGAACCCUUCCAAUCCCACCUAGAGGAAGGCUCUAAUCCAAGAAAUCAAGCUUCAAAGGCUCUAAUCCAAGAAAUCAAGCUUCAAAAGCUCUAAAUCCAAAACCCCCAAAUAAACCGUAAGUUUUCCAUUUCUAGAGUUUCUAUACAAAAAUCAUGAAAAUCAUGAUCUAAAGAGGGGAAACAAGCAACUAACCUCGAGAGAAGCUCCAAACAAGGCUUGGGAUGAGCUAGGGUUGAAGACCUCUCCUCCAACUAGCUCCAAAACCAAGCUCCAAGCUCCUUCCAUGGUGGAAUUCACACCAAGAAGCAAAAAGAGGGAAUAAAUCAUCAAAAAUCCCAACAAAAGAAGGAAAAUCAAAGAGAGGUUUAGAUGGCCUCCCUUCCUUCUUCUCCUCUGGUCUCAAGCUCAGGGAACUCCAAAGGGGCGUGGGGUGCUUUAUAUAUAAGCAACAAUUGCAAAAACGACCUCCCAGAACAAGCAGUCUGCGGACUGCAUUGUGUACCGGUACACGGGAAAGUGUACCGAUAUAAAACCCUAUACGCGCAAACCCGAGGCUCGGGUUCGCAGAAAAUAGCCAAGUGUACCGGUACACUUCCGAUGUUGUACCGGUACAACCACUUGUUCCGGUACAACUUCAAUGUUGUACCGGUACACAGCCCUGCUGAGGCAACCCGAGAGCAGUCUAAGUCCUCCACUUCGGUGACCUUAGCGCUACUAUAAAUACCACAAUUUUCGGGAGACGAGCCAUAGGUCGGAACACUGUCAACGACCCUCCAGAAUAUCUGGAAAAACUCAUAUCACAAAUCAAACACUCGAACCUUGCAAUUUGCAAAGGUCCAGUGUGCUACAAAAGUACAACUAGAUUCUACAAUAUGAGAGUAAACAAGAAGCUAAAAUCCACUAAGAUAAAACCAUGAAAUAGAACAACUAAGAUUCCAAAUGCAAGUGCCAAUAGUAGUACAUAGGUGGUCUCUACACAUGGAUACAAAAACCUCUCUCUCACAACAACAAACAAAGAGAGAAAACCACCUAAGCAAAAUGAAAAUCCUCGCUAUCUAUCUACGCGACCCCUUUGCCGCGAUCCCGUGCCUCCACCGGUGCUGAAGGCUUUGAAAAGAAACCAUAGAACAGAGGACAUGAGAACUAUUAAAUAAUAGUUCCUAGUGGGCAAUUACUGACUUCAGUUAAGUGCUCCACUAGGCCCAAACUAAACAGGUAAGUAAAAAGUAAAAGCGAUAUAAACGACAUGUAAAUAAACAUGUAAACUUAUUACAACAUGAUAUCUCUACUUAGCAUGAAAUUGCGUGAGUAAGAAAGCUAUCCUAUAAAUGAAUAGGCGGGAAUAUACAACCAACAUGAUGUCUACAACAAAAUAGUAAAAUGUCAACGUUUACUAUUCUAGUGAAUGUCCACAUGGCAUGUUAACUACUUAAAGCUUCAAUCUUGUAAGAUCCGCCCGUAGGCUGUCUGGCUUGAAGACCCACCCGUAGGCUGUCUGGCCGGUGCCGUGCCUAAUGGCCCCGUGGUAGUCAACAUCCCCACUCUAGGAAUGAGCCUUGCCUACGGCAAUCCACUUCGGCGCACAAUCCCGCACGGGCGAGCAUAUGUCGCAAUGCCUAUCUCCGGAACGCCGGCUUGUAGGGAGCGACCCUUAUAAGCAUGUGCGAAUGAGCACAAAGGCAAGCAAGCAUAAAAGUCUGUCUUAAGUACUAAGUCCUCACGUCUAAAAUAGGAAUAUAGCAUAUGUCUCAAUGGCCUAUCACCAUGUCAUCAUGUUUAAAACAUGAAAUAUAAUAGAUGUCGCAAUGGCCUAUCACUUUGUCUUUUUGUUGCAGUUUCACAGUUUACUAAAUCGGUGCCCUUUUAUGGCACUUUUAUCCACUAAGUCCAAGCAUGAGUUUAGUGUUCAAGAAUAUAUAAUUCGAGUCAUUUUCGUCAUAUGAGACAUGUUUCCAAUCCACAAGAAGAAUGCUACUCACAUGCAUGUUAAGUCCACAUAAGGCUCUACUAUAUAGAGAUGAAUUUUCAUAAUACAUAAUACAUACAUUUUAAGCAUUCUAAAAUUCACAUAAAUUCUAUCUAGUAUGAAUAUACAUACGAUGAGAUGAAACGAAGACAAGACAUUUAACCACUUAGGAGAAGUUUUCUCCUAUUCCAAUGAAGCCAAACCUACCGAAACUAAUCGAAAUCCUUCGUUUGCUCCUACGAAGGUGUCCACCACUCUCCUAGUACCCUAAAGGUAUAGAAAAGAGAGAUACACGAACGUUACGAACAAUCUUAGGUUCGAACAUUAAACAACUCAAGCAAAAGGGUAAAAACUCACCGAAUGCGAAGGAAACUCUCUCGAUCUCCAAUUGGGAGUUAGAGCCUUUCAAACGAACCUAAACCAAGAUUCUAAACCAAUCAAUUAGGUUCUAGAAACUACAAAUCCAAAAUCCCCAAAAUAAACCCUAAGUUCCAAUUCUAGGGUUCCAACAAGUAAAAUCUACUAAAAUAUGGAUCAAAGAGGAGAUUAAGCUUACUAACCUCACAAGAGUUCCAAACCAAGCUCCCAAACCAGCUAGGGUUGAAGUUCUCCCUCCAAACAAGCUCCAACAAAAGCUUCAAAGCUUCUCCAAUAGUGUAGGACCAACAUAGAGUAAGGAGGAGAAGAAAAAAGAGAUCAAAACUAACUAAAAUCAUCAAAAAUGGAGAAAAAAUCAAAGGGGAAGAGUCUCACCUUGCUUCUCCACAGGUUAGGGCUCAAAAGAGCUUCUAAAGGGGCUAGGGUGAUAUUUAUAGGGUUUGCAAUAAUUGCAAAUACACCCCCCACAACAUCAACCUGCAGAGCAAAGUGUACCGGUAUACGGGAAAGUGUACCGGUACAAGUCCUGCGCGACAGCAAACCUGAACCUCGGGUUCGCAGAAAAUCCCCAUGUGUACUGGUACACUUUUGAUGCUGUACCGGUACACCAUUUGUUCCGGUACAACAUCAAUGUUGUACCGGUACACAGCCAUGCAAACAGCAACCCGAGAGCAGCCUAAGUCCAUCAUUUUGGUUACCUUAGCGCUACUUAAAAUACUACAAUUCUUAGGAUACGAGCCAUAGGUCAGAACACUGUCAAUGACCCUCCAGAAUAUUUGAAAAACUCGAUACACAGAUCAAACACCCAAACCUUGCAAUUUACAAAGGUCCAGUGUGUUACAGUCCUUCUUCUUGACGAACAAAACUGGCGCUCCCCAAGGCGAGACGCUCGGUCGAAUGAUGCCCUUGUUCAACAAAUCCUGCAGCUGUGCUCUCAGCUCCUUCAGCUCCGCCGGUGCCAUCCUAUAGGGCACCUUUGAGAUUGGGAUAGUCCCAGGGACGAGAUCUACCACAAACUCAAUCUUCCUAUCAGGGAGCAUACCCGGUAGCUCAGCUGGAAACACAUCCUGAAACUCCCGCACCACCGGGAUAUCAUCAAUCCUAAGGAUAUCAUCAUCGCCUCUCACAACAAUACUAGCCAAAUAGGCUAUGCAACCUCUGCUGAUCAGCUGCCUAACUCGAGACGAGCUGAUCGUCAACGCAAACAGCGAAUUUUGUCAUCCUCUAAAUACCACCUCAGUCUGCCCGGUUCUCUAAAAGUAACCGUGCGAUUUUUGCAAUCGAUCGUGGCAUAGUACUUGGUCAACCAGUCCAUACCCAAAACCACAUCGAACUUCCCCAGCUUGCGCAAAGUUAGGAGAUCCACUGGCAUAAUCCAAUCCCCUACCCGAACAUGGCAACUAGGGCAAAACUCUCGAAUAUCCAAAGUGUGGUCGGGUACUACAACCUGUCCCGGAUGCAACAAAAAAACCAAAGGGAUGCAAUGCAACUUGGCAAAUAGCCGAUCUAUGAAUGAAUGUGAUGCACCGGUAUCAAAUAAUGCACAAACUCAAAUGCCAUUUAAUAAAAUGAUACUUGCAACUACAUCCUCGACUGCUGCCGCCCCUCGGUCUGAGCGGCGUACAUGCGCCCACUCGGGGCUUGUCGAGAUCCCUCGCUUUGACGCUGGACGGAGGACCGUCCAGGCUGGUACUGUGCCGAUGGAGUCCCCUGGCUGGCGGCUGGUAGAGCCGGUGCCGAUACAGUCGACGGUGCCGGUGACGAACCCCUCUGGCACUCGGUCCGGAAGUGGCCCUCCUGGCCACACUGGAAGCACCUGCCUCCCCGCUGCGGGCACUGCGGUGGAAUGUGAGGAUCACCGCAGAUCACACACUAGGGAGGUCGGCGUCGAUCAGAACCUCCUCGCUGCGCUGCCGAGCCGCGCCCACGCUGCUGGCUCCUAGGGUGCUUCGGCUGCCUCCUAAAGUGCGUCUAACUCGCACCCUCAGCCGCGGGCCUUUUGCCCUUACCCUUGUCCAAGCCUUCUCGCCGCUCUUACACAUCCGCCACACCGCUCUCCACAAUGAGCACACGAUUCACCACCUCCCGGUAGGUUUGGAGGUUAAAAGAUUGCACAAACCAGAAGAUAGACGGUCGCAAUCUUCACUCAAAGAUGCGGGCCUUAUCCUCGUCGUCCCGCACAAUGAAAGGCACGCAAUGUAGAAGUCGAGAAAACUCCCUCUCGAACUCGACUACUGUCCGAUCUCCCUAGCGCAAGUUGCGCAAGUCCUGCUCCAUUUUCCUCUUGACACUGUCCGGAAAGUAGUGCGCUAAUAGAAGCUCCUUGAACUUCUUCCAAGAAAUAGCCGCCAAAUCUGUGCUGGGGUUCUCCUGAAUAUCCAACCACCAGCGGUAGGCCUCGCCGUCCAAGUGGUGUGUGGCGAGCCAAACUCGGUCCCUCUCCUCCACGAAGGUGUCGCGGAAGAGUUUCUCCAUAUGCAUCAACCACUUUUCCACGAUCCAGUAGUCUACCUUCUCGCCGUCGAAGAUCCGGGGACUGCACCUCCUGAACUCAUUGAGGUGCUCCAUCAGUCUGUCCCUCUCCUCUCCAACAAGUGUCACGGGGAAAACUGGCCCCGCCACAGGCACCUACACGGAUGGUGCCCCCAACUCCUCUCCCCGCGGUGCAACCGCAGGUGUCGUCCGCGAUGUGUCGAGGACGGGGGACGACCCCCUGGGUGUAACCACCUCCACAGGAGCGGGUGGUGUAGGAACCUGAGCCUCCCGAGCCUCCGCUUGCUGCAGUAGGAGAUCCUCCAGGCGCUUCAUCCGGGCCUCCUGUCAGCGCGCUGCUUCCGUCUGCUGUGUCACCAUGUCAGUGAGGGCCGCAAGCUGGCUCCUUAACUCACGGACCUCGCCGGAUCCGGAGGUGGCGAAGGUCUCGACCUCCUCCAAGUGUGCCGCAUUAUCCGCUCCAGCAGAUUGAGAGCGAGUGAUUGCCAUCACACUACAAUAUUAUAAAAGCGCAAGUUAAUAAAAUCCACGCUAUCGAAUCCCCGCUCAAGAAGAUAAUACCCAAAUCAUGCGAAAGUAAGGAAGUGUUCUACACUACUAACUCCCGAUGUUAUGUUGUCGGCCGCCAACGUAACCCCCCGCGAAGUUAGAAGUUAUACACUUCGAUUUAACUCCACUUUCUAGUGUUAUCAAAGAUACCCAAUGAUGAUACUUUCACUUACAAAUCAAAUAGACCUCGUCUCUCACGAGCCUAUUUCCUAUAGUCCAACAGGCCUAAGGUUUGCUAGGUCCACUAAGACUCAACCCUAAGCUCUGAUACCAAAAUAAUUUGUCACGCCCCGAGACCCAGCGGAAGCCCGCCCGGCACGUGUCCAGACCCGCCAUAUGUCUAAAACAUAUAAGGCGUCUACAAAACCACGAUAAAUAAAAUGAUAAUACAAAGACAUCUAGGAGUGUCAGAGCAUAGUACAACAUCUAGAUUCUAAGAGAUAUAGAGGCAAAUAAAAGAGUUAACAAAUCCACUAAGAGUAACUAUAAAGUAGUACAAUGAACAUCCAAAAUACAAGUGCUAAAAUAUAACAAUAGUGGUCUCUAUACAUGGAUACAAAACCUCUUACUCUCAACUACAACCAAAAAGGAGAGUAAACCACCUAAUAAGCAAAAGAAACGCUCCUCGCUAGCUAGCUAAGUGAUCCCUUUACCGCGAUCCCAUGCCUCUACCGGUGUAGAGGGCUCUGAAAGAAAACCACAAAACAGGGGGCGUGAGAACUAUUAAAUAAUAGUUCCCAGUGGGCAAUUACUGACUUCAGUGCAAUGCGCCACUAGGCCCAAAAACUAAGUAAGUAAGAAUGAUUAAGCAACAUAAAUGACAAGUAUUUAAAUAUGAAUAUUUAUUAAACCAUGAUAUCUCUACUUAGCAUGAAUUUGCAUAAGUAAGAAAGCUACUGUAACAUGAAUGUGCAUGAGUAUGACCAACAUAAUGUCCACAAGCUAAAUAGUAAAAUGUCAAUGUUUACUAUUUUAGGCAAUGUCCACUCGAUAUGCUAAGUCACUAAUAUUCCAAUCCUGUAGGACCUACCCGUGGGUAGUCCGGCCUGCACCGUGCCUAAUGGCCCCGUGGUAGUCAACAUCCCCACUCUAGGAAUGAGCCUCCCCCCCGACAUCCCAUUUCGGCGUCCAAUCUCACAUAGGCGAGCAUGUGUCGCGAUGGCUAUCUCCGGAGUGCCGGCUUGUUGGGAGCGACCCUCACAAGCAUGUGCGAAUGAGCACAAUGACAAGCAAGCGUAAAAGUCCGUCUCAAGUCUCAAGUCAUCAUGUCUAAAACAUGGAAUUUAGCGAAUAUCUCAAUGGCCUAUCACUAUGUCAUCAUGUUUAAAACAUGGAAUAUAGUCGAUGUCACAAUGGCCUAUCACUAUGUCUCUACGUUGCAGUUUAACGGUUUACUAGUUCGGUGCCCCUUUAUGGCACUUUUGUUCACUUUGUCCAAACAUGAGUUUAGGAGUUCAAGAAUACAUGAUUCAAAUUAUUUUCAUCAUAAGAGACAUAUUUCCAACUUGCAAGAAAGAACACUACUCACAAGCAUGCAAAAUACACAUAGGCUCUGCUAUAUAGAGUUGAAAUUUUCAUGAUACAUAAUGCAUCCCUACCAACACCAACAUCCCCCACCCCCAAAAAACAAACCGACCCUAUAGCGCUUCGCGUUCUUUCUAUUCCAUCCCAGUCCAUUCCGGGAUAGGCGGCCGCUAAUCCAAUAGUUUAGAUAUCCAUGCACAGAGAAGCAUAUAAAUCCUAUCUAGCAUGAAUAUGCAUGCGAUACGAUGGAACUAAAAUAUUUAACCACUUAGGAGAUGAUUUCUCCUAUUCCUAUGAAGCCAAACCUACCGUGACUUCACGAAACCCUUCAUUUGCACCGACGAAGGUGUCCACUACUCUCCUAGUACCCUAAAGGUAACAAAAGGAGGGAUACACGAACGUUACGAACAAUCAUUUGCUCAAACAUUAAGCAACUCAAGCUAAGGUGAAGAAAACUCACCGAAAUGCGAAGAAUCCUCUCUUGAUCUCCGAAAGGGAGUUAGAGUGUAACACACUGGACCUUUGCAAAUUGCGAGGUUCGAGUGUUUGGUUGUAUUUCGAGCUUUUCCACACUUGGUGGAGGGUUGUAGAAUGUAUUCCGACCUAAAACGUUCGAAAACUGGAAUUCUGGACAAGUCCUGAGAGUUUUUACUCUCGGGGACAGGUCCGGGAAGGACGAGACGCGUCUCCCCCAGUGAGCAAGUGUUGAAGCAGCCUGAGGCGGGGCGGGUUACGCCGUCCCUGGCAGGCGGAGACCGGUUCCCGAAGCGUUUCGCAGGUGACGAGACGAGUCCCGGCAGGGGAGACGUCUCCGAACGCUUGGUGUUUCGGGUGUCGCCCCAGCGAGGAGAUCGCGUCGCCUGGCUGGGGAGAACCGGUCCCUGCUGGAGGAUCCUCUGGCAGAAACCCCAGACGGCGCUGAUUAUUUUUGGGAUUUUGAGGGACCCCUCCUGGGAUUUUGUUACUUGAUGUGGCCUAAAAUAGCCCCCUCCCUCCACCUCUCUCUUUCUUCAUUUCUCACCCUCACACUCCUCCAUACCUUUGUUAGAUGCAGAGAAGAAAGGAGGAAAGAAGAGAGAGAAGAGGGAAGUAAGGAGAUAGGAGCCGCUAGUGGACUUGGAGCAUCUUCCCACACCUCGACAUCUUCCUUGGUGCUGAAGGCUUAGGACUUGGAGCUUGCCAAAGGGUAAGAUCUUACCUUGAGCUUGGAUGGGAGCUUCUAAGGAGGUUGUUGCCCAUUUCCAUCGUCUCAUAGACCUUGCUUUGCAGGUUUUUGUCAGUUGAAACCUCUAGUAAAUGAGAUUUAAGGGCUUAUUUUGGGCAUUUUCGAAUCUAGUGCUUUUGACCAAAUAUGAUUGUUUAGAACCUUCCUAGGCUUGUGGAUGGAAGGGUUCUAGGCUCUCUUUUUGGAAGCUUUGAAGAGAUUUCUACUCUAGAGUGAGUUUGCCCAUUUUUGCUAGAUGUCCAAUGUUUGCUUUUCGUGUUAUCGUUCUUUCGUUGAUGUACACUCUUUUGAUGUCUCCUAGGGUGCAGAAACUUGUAGAACCUCCGUAUGGCAGCAACACGAAAGCCUUCAGUUGUCCGUCGGUGGGCUUUUGAUCACUAGCCUUUUAUAUGAGAAAUCUCAAUAUUUGGUGAUAAGUGCUUGUUUACUAAUAACUCAUCGCAUUUUCAUGUCAUAAAUGUAAUUUAUAUGAAUUUUUAAUGCUUUAAAAUGCAUAAUAUUAUAUAGAAUGAAAUUUGUGACAUCUAUAUAGUAGAGUUAGCAUGUGGGUCCAUGUUGCAUUACAUUUACAUGAGCGUGUAUCAUGGCUGUCUAUAGUAUAAAUGAGUUCGGAUUCAUGCAUUUUAAACCUAAGUUACAUUUGUACAUGAUAAUAUUGACAAGUCAUGUCAUUUUAGAACUAUGUUGAAUUGGAGAGCUAAUGAUCAUCAAGCGGCAUUGAGCUCGGACUUGUGAGAACCUAGUGAUAAGGCCAUUGAGGGAUUUAGAAUACAUAUGAAAGUCAAUUGCCUAAGUGUCUCAAGGGGCACUAGGCGUCAAAAGGUUGAACCGUUCACAUUGGACAUAAACUAGAUCUUGGGAUUCAUAGUGCUAUACCAAUGUUAGAGACCAUGAGGAUUGAUACUUUGGAACUUGAGACUUUGCUCUUGCUUGCCAUUUGUGUCAUUUCGCACAUGCUUGUGAGGGUCGCUCCUCUAACCGGCACUCCGGGAGUUCGCUAUGCGACCUAAUGUUGCUGUGCGUAUUGAGAAGCCUUACGGCGGUCGAGUGGGACAGACGCAUUCCCAAGGUAGGAAUGUCGGGGCUCACAGGCCACUUUUUAUGGCGGCACAAUACGGACUACCUUUGCGUAGGACUCCUUGAUUGGAAAUGCGAAUUCGAACAGGGGGUCAGAUUGGGUAAUCACACUAGAUAGGUUUAAGUAGUUGGAUUACCAUUUAUAUGUUUUUUUUAGCAUUAGUGUUGAGACAUGUAGUAUAUUUGAUAGUCUCUUGUUGAUGUAGAGCAUACUUGGGUGCCAUGAAUAGUUAAGCUUAUGUCAUCAUGCAUUGAUAAGAGUAUUGACAUUAACUACUGCAUUGGACGUAAUUUGUAGAAGGAUAGAAUAAUGUAACUAUUUUUGUUUACAUAACGCUUCUUUCAGGUCAGUUUAAUUUACAUGCCUCUUAAUUGCUUAUUAUUAUUAUCGUUGCUUACCUUUGUUAUUGGGCCUAGUGGAUGCAGUGAGCUGAGGUCAGUAAUUGCCCCACUGGGAACUAUAGCUGUAUAGUUCUCACGCCCUCUUUUCUCGAUCUUUCAGAGCCUUCCUCUAGGGCGAGCUAGGGACCUGCGGGAAGGGAGUUGCUUCGAGCUAGUCCUUCUGAGAGACGAUUCGCUGGUUGUCUACCCUCUCGUUGUGUUUUACUGUUGGAGAGGUGAUAGUUCUACCCAGUGUACAGUAAUUAGGACCACCGUUUUCGACUUUUGAGACAGAAUAUUAGUACUACUUAUGAUUCUAUUGUCUAGCUUGUGCUUGCUCUGAUAUCUCUAGUUGAAAGUUAUUUUAUUUCUUAAUAGUUUCUAUCUGUUGGUUUUAUCUUUCCGUUUUAUCGUAGACGCCUUAUAUGUGUAGACAUAUGGCGGGUCUGGGCACGCCACCGGGAGGGCCUCCGCCGGUCCCGGGGCGUGACAUAGAGGCCCUCUAAUCCAACCUAAACAAAGGUUCUCAUGCAAUAUACAUAUCCACAUCUAUCUCAACAUCAUGCAAAUAGAUAUUUCUACAAGUAUCAUGCAAUCAUGGAUCAUCAUCAUCCCUCACACUAACCAUGAAAUUACCACAGCUCAUAGGAUUCUCACAAUUAUAUACACGAUGAUAUAUGGUCAAUAAUAGUAGAACUUAGACAUAAAAUGAAACUCGGUUAUUUCGGAUAGCACCCCCCCACCUCGUGGCGUCGACACGAAGCGGGUAGCCUAGCAGAGCGAUUUAUGACCGUCGAUUUCUUCCGACUGUGGCAAACGAAGCAAAAACAGGAUUUUCUUCACUUUGACCACCACCGGCUCAACGGAAUCUCAAUCUGAGUGAUCCUCCGCGUCGGUUUUACCUUCAAUUGCGGAAACAUAUGAUCAAUUGAGAUCAAAACCUCUCAUGAUCAAAAACCCUCUUUUGAAACUCUAAAAACUAUUAUAUUGCAUAAAAUCCAAAUCUCAUGGUAGAUUAUGCAAUAACAUGGUUUAGAAUCAACUAGGAUUCUAAUUAAACUCAUUUAUAAGAAAUUUACACAAAACCCCUAACCUAAAACCAUGAAAUCCCAUAAAGCUCACCUCAAACCCAAGCUCUCUUCAAGCCAAUGGUGAAGAAGAAGAAAGCUUCACCUCCAAGUAAGCUUCUUCCACCAAAUCUCCACUAUUGGAGCAAAACUCUAGGAGAGAGAGAGGUUUAGAGAGAGAAAGAGAAGGUUUCUCUUUUGGUUUAAGUGGUGGAGAAUGAGAGAAAAAGUCCCUCAUAUAUAUAUAUAUAUAGGAAACUUCACCUCCAAGUAAACCCCUCACAUAACACUAUUACUAUUUUCAGUUUAGCAAUUCAGAAUCUGAUACCUUUCACUGGAGCCUUUCUGAAUGUCCGUUUAUACUCAAAUUUGACAGUUAGGCUCGGUUUAACUUAAAUAAAUGAAAUAUAUCUUAACUUUCCAGUUUGGACCACUUUGGUCACUGAAAGCUCUACCGACAAAAAAAAUCUCUAGCAGAUAGCAGUCGGAUUUUAUUUUCCACUUUCCAAGUGUCAGAAUGACAUGAAAUUUUAAAUCUAGCCUCAUAAAAAUAAUUCCGACAUAUUCCCAAAUUUUCAUAACUUUCUGACACUACGAAUUUUCUGCUAAAUUAUUAGCCUUGUACCAUACAGAAAAUUCUAAAUCUUCUGUUUUCACUCCAAUUUCAGCAUAAGUAAUUUUUGACUUAUAUUUUACUUCUUUAAGUCCAAUAAAAUAGUAUCUUACACUAUUUUUAUUUACACUUGCUUCUAUAUAAAAAAAAUAUCCGGUACACUACAUAUACACUUCGAUUAAACUCCAACAUUUUAGAGUUAAUAUAAAAUUCAAUCAUGAUAUUUUCGCUUACAAGUCAAGUAGACCCCGUCUCUCACGAACCUAUUUCCUAUAGUCCAACCGGCCUAAGGCUUGCUAGUUCCACUAAGACUCAACUCUAGACUCUGAUACCAAUAUAAUCUGUCAUGCCCCGGGGCCCAGCGGAAGCCCGCCGGUGAGUGUCCAAACCCGCCAUAUGUCUACACAUAUAAGGCGUCUACAACAAUGCGAUAAUUUAAACAAAAAAAGAAAACAUCUAGUAGGUUAUCAGAGCAUAAUAGCAUCUAACUUCUAAUAACGAGUAGAAGCAAAAAUAAACUAAAUAACUAUCAGAAUCUCAAAGGUAGGCACAUCAAGAGAUCCACAAGAUACAACUAGAUACAAAAUGAUGGUCUCUAUACAUCGGAUACAAGAAUUUCUCUCUCUAGCUAUACAAAAAAGAGAGAAAUCCACCUAGUAGCAAAGAUUUCCGCUAUCUAGCUAGAUGCGACUCCUUUGCCGCGAUCCCCAGCCUCUCUCGGUACGGAUGACUCUGAUAUCCAAACAAAACACAGAGGGUGUGAGAACUAUUAAACAAUCUCAACUUAGGACCCACACAAGUGUAGUCCGGCUUGUGCCGCCUAAUUGCCCGUGGUAGUCCAACAUUCCCACUCUAAGAAUGAGCCUAUCCCAUCAGCCUAGUAGGCUACCCAAUAUAUCACAUCUCGAUGAUACGAUAGCCUUCGUAUUUCAUCAACCACGAAGGCUAAAAAAUCAGGAACCUAGUUUCUAAGAUGCCAACCCUACUAUCGCCAGGGGAAUCCCAACUCACCAGGGUUAACCAAUUAUUAAAAUUAGGUUACUAUAUAUAUAUAUAUAUAUAUAGUUCUUAAAUUCACAGCACCGUAACCCAGCACAGCCUUUGAACGGCCGUGCCAUGCCGUGCCACGCACGGCUCAGCACGGCUACGCACGGCCAGUUUUUUUAAGAACACACGGCUGUGUAUUAUCGUACUUUAUAAAUAAAAGAAAUCGUUGUUUUAUAAGAUUGAUAAAUAAUGCAGAAAGAUAGUGUAGAAAACUUGAAAUAACUCCUUUAAUGAAUGAUUAAAUUUCUUAUCUCCCAAAACUCGACACGGUAGCCGUGCCCCAGACAUAGCACGGCCAUAGAACAACCGUGCCAUGCCGUGUCACCUAUGCCGGGUACAACUGCCCGUGAAUUUUGGAACUAUAUAUAUAUAUAUAUAUAUAUAUAUAUAUGUUCAGCCGCGAGGCCUCAACCAGAUGCGCUAUAUACGAGUGAGCACGCCANAUUCAAUUGUUAAAAAAAUAAAAUUAGAGCUAAAAGCAUAUGAAAUACAUAAAUAAUAACUUAACGUAUCUGGCUUAAUAAAAUUUUUGGUGGGGUCUCAGGCUCUAGUCUCCAUAUCAUACUUUUUAAUCUACGAAAGGAAUUUUGCCCACAACAGUGUCUACUAAAAAAAAAUGGUCAUAAGAUGAAAAUAAAACAAAAAACAUCAAUCUUAAAAAAACUAAUACUUUUUUGGAGCAUUUCUUUUACUCAUCCAAAUCUCAUACAUCUUCUUAAUCUUCAGUUGGUAGUUGCUUCCCGCGCCAAGUCACUUCUGGAUUUCCAUUGUAACUUAUGAACAAACACCUCAUCUGCAUCACCAAACUGCGAUAUCUAAACCGACACGGCCUUGCCAUCACAUCAACCACAGAAAUCCUAAUUCUUAAACAAUUUGAUUUACCAAGAAGUUCCUGCGAUUCUUGAGAAGGAGCUCCCGUGCAACGUCCCCGCAAAGAGGAGGCUAGGACGUCGCUCCCCUCGGCCUAGUUGUGGGCGCGCGCGAGCCGCACGAGGAGGCAGCCGAGGCAGUGGCGGUUCACGGCGAGUGAAGGCUCCGACGCAGACCAGCCCGGCGAGCACUUAUAUGGGCCGCGACUGGACUUUACAGGACGAUACUUCUUGUCACGCCCCGGGACCCAGCGGAAGCCCGCCCGGCGCGUGUCCAGACCCGCCGUACGUCUAAAACAUACAAGGUGUCUAAAAUAAAGUGGUAAAUAAAGCAAUAAAGAGAAGGCAUCUAAGUGUAUCAGAGCAAAAUACUACGAAGUGCUACAUCGUGGAGAAGAACAUAGAACUGAUAAUCCACAAGUAAAACAUAAGAUAAUACAAAAGGAGUCCCAUAACAAGUACUAAUCUGAAUACAAGGUGGUCUCUCUAUACAUGAUGCCAAAACUUUCCCUCUCUCUAACACAAACAAAAGAAGGAGUAACCACCUAUCGCAAAACGGACUCUCUCCGAGCUAGCUACGCGACACCCUUGCCGCGAUCCCGUGCCUCCGCCGAUGCCGAAGGCUCUAAAAAGGAAACAUAGAAACGGGGGCGUGAGAACUAUUAAAUAAUAGUUUCCAGUAGGCAAUUACUGACUUCAGUGAAAUGCGCCACUAGGCCCAAAACUACAAAAAGGGGGUCAGUGUAUAAGCAUAAGCAAAAGCGAUAAAUACAACGGGUAAGUAAAGAUGAAAAUUGCUCAACCAUAAUGUCUCUACUUAGCAUGAUUUGCAUAAGUAAUAAAGCAACAACCACAGGUAUGUACAUGAGAGUAACCAAUAUGUAAAUGCAUGAGUAUGCAACUAUCCCAAUGCCCACAAUGUGAAUAGCAAUAAUGUCAUUGUUCACUAUUCUAGUCAAUGUCCACUUGUCACUUUAACUGUUUAAAGUUUAACUCUGAUAAGACCCACCCGAAGGCUGUCUGGCGUAAGACCCACCCGAAGGCUGUCUGGCUUUACCGUGCCUAAUGGCCCCGUGGUAGUCAACAUCCCCACCCUAGGAAUGAGCCUUUCCUACGGCAAUCCACUUCGGCGCCCAAUCCCGCAUGGCGAGCUUAUCGCGAUGGCCAACUCCGGAGUGCCGGCUUGUAGGAAGCGACCCUCAUAAGCAUGUGCGAAUGAGCACAAUGGCAAGCAUACGUAUAAAUCUGUCUCAAGUACCAAGUCCUCAUGUCUAAAACAUGGAAUAUAUCGAAUGUCACAAAGGCCUAUCACUAUGUCGUUAUGUCUCUAACAUGAAAAAUAGUCGAUGUCCGAUGGCCUAUCACUAUGUCUCUAUGUCGCAUUUUCAUAAUUUACUAGUUUCAAGUGCCCCUUUAUGACACUAUUGUUCAAUGAGUCCAAGCAUGGUAUUUAUGUUCAUGAAUACAUAAUUCUACUCAUUUCAAACAUAGGAGACAUGUUCUCAACUUGCCAAGCUAACCACCUUUCACAAUGCAUGUAGUCUACACAUAUAGCUCUACUAUAUAGAGUGCAAUUUCAUGAUACAUAAGGCAUGCAUUUCAAGUGUUCUAAAAUUCACAUAAUUCAUAUUUAGUAUGGAUUUGCAUUCAAAAAUACUUUACGACAAGUAUAGAAAAUAUAGGGGCCAUUUUGCCCGGUGUUCAUGAAGCCAAACCCACCGAUGAUACCGAAAUCCUUCGUAAGCUCCGACGAAGGUGUCGACUUGUCUCCUAGCACCCUAAAGAUGUAGGAAUAAGGGUCAAACAAAUCUUACGAUCAACCCUAAGCUCAAUCAAUAAGCAACAUAGGCUAAGGUGGAGAAAAACUCACAUAGGUGAAGAAAUCCUCUCCCAAGCUUCAAAUGGGAGUUAGAGUUCUUCAAAUCCAACCUAAAAUAAAGGUUCUAAACCCAUCAAUUAGGUUUCAAAGCCCUCAAAUCCAAAAAGCCGCAAAUCUAACCCUAGAAUCCCAAUCUAGGGUUUCAUCAAGCAAAAAGCUCCAAAACUAGGAUCUAGAGGAGAAGAACUAGUCACAUACCUCUAGGAAGCUCCAAAUCAAGCCCUAGAUCCUCGAGGGUUGAAGAUUGGUCCACCACCAAGCUUCAAAAGCAAGCUCCAAGUCCCUCAAAGGUGAGAAAUGAGAGGGAAGGGUUGAUGCUCCAAGGCCUUCAAGCAAGCUCCUUUCCUUCUCCUCCAACUCCUUCUUCUUCUCAUUCUCUUUCUCUCUCUAAAGUGAGUGUGAUGGAGAGGAAAUGAGGAUGAGAGGGAGAGGAGAGGCUCUAUAAGCCUUCAAAAGUAACAAAAUCCACUUAGGUCCCUCUAAAAUCCACUCUGUGCACUGCCCGGUCUGGGCUGUUUUCGCGCAGAGGGACCGGUCUCCUCGACACCUGGGACCGGUCUCUCAGUUCGUUCCGCAAAACCAACGUUCGGGAACCGGUCUCUCUAUGCCAGGGACCGGUCUCUCGGACCCUUCUCGCAAAACACGCGCUCGGGAACUGGUCUCUCCCAGCCAGGGACCGGUUGCCUCAAGUCCUGCCGCAGUACUGCUCUGAGGAGACCGGUCUCUCCUAUCAGGGACCAGUCCUCGAGAGUGAAAACUCUCAGGACAAAGCCAAAACUCUAGAGAUCGAACUUUUAGGCCGGAAUACCAUCUACGGCCUUCCACCAAGUGUGGAAAAGUUCGGAGUACACAUCAAACACUCGAAUCUCACAAUUUGCAAAGGUCCAGUGUGCUACACUUUUUGAAGGAAACAACGUUCUUCGCAUGCUCUUCUUCUUCAUCAUCCUGAUAAUCUUUGUUAACACAAUGAGAUAGAGAGAAGGAGAUGAGUGUGGGGUGAGAGAUUAGAUGAUAAUGUUCUUUUUUGCAUGAAAAAUAACAUGUCAUGCAAAAAAAAGGGGGUGGGGGAUUAAUGGUGGAGGGGAGUGGAUUGGAGUUACAAAGCUCACUAAUUGGUGGGAUAUGAUGCAUUUAAUUAAAUAUGGAGAGGUGAAGGGUCGAGCAUUUAGAAUGGAGAAGAAACGUAUUGGUUGAAUAUGAUGCAUUUAAUUAAAUGUGGAGAUGUAAAGGGUUGAGCAUUUAGAAUGGAGAAGAAACGUAAAUUCAAAAAAAUGUGAGCUUGCCACGUCAUCAUUUUACGUUGGGGAUUCAUAUAAGAAAUAUAGAUAAGAGUUGUGCUAGAAUACUAUUGAUAGCAAAAUGUCUUUUUUGCUAUCAAGUUUUUUGCCUUUCAUCAAUUUCUUUCAUCAUAUCUAACCAUUGGAUUAGAUAUUAUAACCCAGUGGGGACCACUCAACCCUAGGGGGACCACUCAACCCUAAGGGGACUAAUAUCAUUCUAAUCCUACAAUUUUUCAUCUAAGAGUUAAAAACUUGAUAGCAAAAAUGACCUUUUGCUAUCAAUAGUAUUCCAACCUAGCUUAUAUAUAUAUUUGAAAAGGUGGUUUUUGCACAGAUGCACCUGCCAGGGGCAUGCAUGACAAUAAAGUUUUCAUGGUCACACACAAAUACCAAAGGGACAUUUAUGCUAUUUCACAUAAAACAGGGUUAUAUAUGCGAAAAAUGCUUGCUACGUACUUAGUUUAGACUAGGAUCAACAAACCUGCAAUAAUAAAGUUGUUGGUAGACCCACGAUGUUGCUUCGCCCAAUCACGGCGACAUGCUUUCCCAUACAUUCAAUGCUUGUGCGAAGAAGCAAUUCAAUGCAAGCUCUCGCAACACAAGGAAUGAAUAGAUGUUCUCUUCCUCUCAUUGCAAGAUUUCCAACAUUAAGGGGUGAAAGCUAUCGACAUCUUUUUUUAGAUUUAUCGCGCUCACAAUUCUCUCCUCAUUUAUAUGUUGCAAUAAUUAGAAUUUACAGACUUUUACAUUGUAUCCCGAAAAAAUCAUGUAUUACAUACAUAAACCACUGCAAGUGUAAAUUUUUAUUAACAUCUCGGACUGCAGAUUUUUGAAAAAAAAAUACUCUUAUAUUAAAAUGAAGUCUAAUUCAAUUUAUGUGGCCAAGUUAGUUUGGUAUUUGAAAUUUGCAGGAAAAAAACAUACGAAGCUUAUACAUGAAAAUUCAAAUUUUGUAUUGAUAUACAAAAGAUAAGGAAAAUUUAUAUGAGUAUUUAUCAAAUCAAAAUUUCUCUCUUUUUUAUGAGAAGAAAAUUAUACCAAAAUAAGUCAAAAAAAUAAGUCAACAAAUUGAGUACUUAAUUCCACAAGAGAAGCAAAACCCAAAAAAUUUUCAAAAAAUUUCCAAGCCAUAAAAAUCAAAGAGAUCCCAAGUGUUUCAACAGAGAUUCAAAAUACAGUGAGACAGAAAAUUUUUCCUCCAAAGAAAUGAAAAAGGAAAAAAAAAAUCUAAAGAGAAGAAAAAGCCUUAAUCCCAAAUUACAAAAGGUAAUCCACAUAUCGAAAGAAACAAAUAAAAAUAUCCAAAAAUAAAGCGAAAAAUAAGAAUCUUUCAAGUAUCUUCAUGCCAAAUUCAUGGAAAGUUCCAAAAUCAGGUCUUUUCUUUUUUAAUCCAAAAAAUUAAAUCAGGAAGGUGUAAAAUAUCAAAAUACUGAUCUAAACCUUAAAAGAUAAAAUUUUAAAAAAAUCUCUUUUCUCUUUUUGCCCAAUUCAAAACUCACCCGUGUACUUCCAAAAUCAAAUUUUUUAACCUUUGAGUGCAAAAACACCAAACCCAGAAAAAGGCCAAAAAAAAAAACUUCCAAUCUUUGAAAAGGAGGAGAAGUUUACAAGGAAAAGAAGGGAGAAGGUUAAGCAUACGAACAGGCCGCACAUCCCGCCAGAAUGAAAUGCGACCUCUGAGCAAUAUGCACCAAAGGCCACAUUCCGCAGUGCUUCGGCAAGUUACAGGAGGCCAUGUCGCAGAGGAGCCGUGAGGCGGCGGAGCCGAUGGCAGGAAAAAUAAAGGAGGGGUAGAGGCGAUUGCAAACAGCGGAGAGGGCGAGACGGGAAGGGCCUGAGAAGAGGCGAAGAAGGGAGGCGUAUGACACAAUAAGCAGAGGGAUAGGGGACGGGAUGGGUUGAGAGGAUAGGGAGGCAUGCUUUCAUGCUAGUGUGGAGCCCACAAUUUUGACUAGAUGGAAGUGGAAGGCGUGUGUUCACCCUAGUGUGGGCCCCAAUAUGGACGGAGAGCAUACAUAGAUAAAAUGGGCAGGCCCUUCAAUCUAAAUAAAAAAGGGAGAGAGAGAGAGAGAAAUGGGUCCCCACAAAUGAUGAACCCCACUUUAGUGUGAAAUGUGCAGAAGUUUUUCCGGUUCCUAAAUUAUAAAUUUAUAUAAAUAUAAAUGCUCCCAGUUUUAUAAUGUACACAAUAGGGUGAUCUUGACGGUUGCUUAAUUCAUAUAUUAUAGCUAAAACUAUUAACGAGCUAAAUACGAGUGCCAACUCGUUUAUUUAAACAAACAGUCCCUAAUCGAAUUAAAAUAUAAACGAGCUUAGAUAAAUAUAAAAGGGCCAAAUCUACUGGUCACAAUAUUAAAAAAAAAAAACUUAUUUUACAUCGUCAGCACGAAUCCAUAUUGCAAACCCAUCCCAAGCUCCACGCCUUUUUUCGCCCUCUCGCGUCUCUCGGACCAUCCCCUCCCCCACCUCGUCUUCUACACACCUCAAACCCUAAUCCUCAUCCUCUUUCUCCGCCUCUUCCUCGUCCUCCCGUCUCCUCUCCCCCCCCUCUCCCCUCUCCCCUCUCCCAAACCCUAGCACCCUCCCGCCGUCGCCAUGAUCCCCUUCUCCCCAACGGUCUCUGCCCAGAUCCGCUUCCUGUUGCAGAGCGUGAACGACUCCAACUUCAAUUCGAUCUACAACGAGUUGCUUCAGGUGCGUUGUUCUCUGUGCCUUCUUGCGUGUUCUUGGUUUUUGUAUGCGAUUUAUGUGGUUAUCCCUUGUUUUGGUUGAGAACCCUAGACUGUGAUGACCUUCGUACUUACAUCUCUUCACAUGUUGCAUUGAUCAAGGAUAAAAUUUCGAGUGUAGGGUUCCCUUUCCAAUAGUCGGUGUAUGUUCUAACUAUUUUUAUUACGAAUGUCUUUCGCAAUCUAGCUGCGGGUUAUGCUCGAUACUGACCUUGUUGUCUGCACGCACUCUGUUAUUAGCCGCUGCGCUGCUUCUUUAAUUAUUGAUGAAUUCUUUAUGCCAAGAUUUCUUCUUUAAUUUUCAAUACUCUACCAUGGCUUUUUUUUUUUUUGCUUCCUUGUCCAUUUUCGAAUAAAGAGGCAGAAAAGCAUUCACCCUCUGUUGGUUUUUUUUUUUUUUUUUUUUUUUUUUUUUAAAUUAUUAAUGUGAUCUUGAUGCCAAGAUUUAGCUCCGUCCUGCGUAUACUGCUCAUGUGACCUUAUUUAUGGGUUUGUGACCUUACUGUCAAUUUUUGUUGCAUGGUUGUCUUUUUUCUUUUUUUUUUUCCCACUGUUCCGUUAGAUAUAAUCUUGGAGUAAUGCCAGUGCUCAUUGAGUGUGGCGACCUCUCAGUGGCUUUUUGAUAUAUGCCAUCUUUCUUCCUUGUUUCCAGCCUAUAAUGUAAUUUCAGGGGUGACUUCAUAUGUUUGAAUAAUUACUCUGAUGGUUCCUAAUGUAAAUUGUGUUGAAGUAGAUGAAAUCUGCCAGUUAUUAAGCAGCUUUAACAAAUGAAUCUUCGAGCCACUCUCUCGGAGGAGAUACCUUAAUACUUAUUCUCUGUUUGGAUAGCAAGGCGGCAAGGAGAAUAAUAUAAAACUACAGAGAUAAAAUAGAAGAAACAGAUUAAUAUUCUCUUCUCUAAUUCGAACACUAAAAAGAGGAAACUUUUUGAUAAAGAAGAGAAAAGAAGUGGGCAUAAAUCUAUUAGUGAUUGUUUCAUUUGUAUAACACUUAUCAUUUAACUAAACACGAAAUAUACAAAAUAUAGACUAUGUAAGCAUAUUGUGUUAGUUUAUGAUCUGUUAGUUUCUAAAGAAACCUUGGGGAGAAAAUGAUGGACAUGAAAGCAAAACAUAUUUCUCCUUGCAAGAAUUAUGCAAUGGUACAAUGACAGUGCACAAAAAAUAAUAACAAAUACUAAGAGGAGGCGGGGGGAGGAUGGGGGGAGGGUAAGGGGGGUGAAACAGAAAGAUACACAUUGACUCCAACAGUCAGUUGGCUGUAGAUAAUUAUUGGCUGUGCUUAAUUUUGCAUUAUAUAAAAACGCGUGAUUUAUUUGUGAAGGGAAAAGUGAGAGAAGCAGAUUUUUCUUUCUUUCUGUAUUCCUUCACAUCUGGAGACAAAGAAAUUUAAUCUUGUAUAUCUCUCCUACGCCUGUUCGUCUUUGCAUGAUUUCACUCUGAAUUGACAAAGUGUUUUUUUUUUCUUUUCUUUCCUUCAUCUUCGAAUUAAUUUUGGGUAUCUAUAUUUUAUUUUCCUAUCAGAAGCAUUACCUAUGGUAUCUUUUCACGUGGCUUUGAGAGAUUUUUCUUUGCUAAUAUCUAGUCCUUUUUCCCUCAUAAUCUGACAGUUCGCUGAUUAUGGAAAUGAUGGAAACAUUUUAUUGCUCCAAAUCUGCUUAGAUCAACUAGAACUGAAUGGUGGGGAGAUUCAUAAUUCGCAGAUUAAAUGGGACCUGCUAUCUGCCAUUUUUAGAAAUUUGUUGGAAAGACCAAAUUUUACUACAGGUUUUUGCGAAGCGCUAAAUGCAGAAUCAAUGACUGAUGGCUUCCUGGAAGGCCUUUCGAAAGCGUUUAAACUUUCAAUGCCUGAGAGAAUUGGUAUUGGGCUUGCUUUGUUCGAUUCUGAAAAUUCAUCUUCGCGGAUGAGAGGUAAAAUAUUUCACCAAUGACUUUCAGUUUGGAGAUAUCUUACUUCUUCCAGUAAAUUCAAAUUGCAACCAUUGCUUAACAAAUUGCAUGACAAAAUUUUGAUUCUCAGGGCAAAAUUUCUGCAUUGCUCAAAUUGAGCAACUCUGUGCAAAUCCCACUUCUACCUUGUCUAAUGAGAAAAUUCAGGACAUUGUUAUGUUUCUUUACCGGAGUGAGGGCCUUUCAAAGCACAUGGAUUCUUUUACAAACAUUUUGUCUCUGUUGGAACUUAAAGAGAGCUCUCUCUUUCUACCAGCUCCAUGGAUGAAAAAUGAUACUCAACCUGUCAAUCCGCUGAGGUAACUUUACGAGAGCCCACAAUAUAAGGUGUUAUUCUUCUGAAACAGAAAAGUAAUUUGACUACUCAAGCCCCUUUUUCCGUCCAUUUUGUAGGCAUUUGGAUCUGUUUUUUGGGUGCCAAGACAAUGAUUUUGAGUCUCUUCUGGCUGAAAUAGAGGAGGAAAUCAGCAUGGCGGACAUAAUGGCUGAAUUGGGUUAUGGAUGUACUGUUAAUGCCUCUCAUUGUAAAGAUAUGUUAUCUCUUUUUCAGCCACUUAAUGAGACAACAAUUUCUAAGCUACUUGGUGCAAUUGCUCGCACUCAUUCUGGUCUGGAAGAUGCUCAUAAUACGUAUGCAACUUUCUGCUCUGCUGUUUGCAGCAGCUCAGUUAGUGAUUCAUCUUUGCUGAACGCAUGGAAUGUUGACGUUCUAAUUGACUCGAUUAACCAACUUGUGAGUAAAUUUUUUUUUCCUCUUAAUAUUAUUCUAUUAAGAAGGGCAUGACUUAGUGUGAUGGUUGAAUCUUGUUCUCUGCAUUCCAAGUAGCAGGUUUGAGUCACAGAAGUACCCUAUUAAUAAUAGGGGCUAAAAUUUGAUUUCCUUCUGGAGAAUUGCACUGUAGUAUUCUUGUGCAUUAUGAUGCCAUGCUUUGUCUUAUUACUGCAGCGGAGUAGUAUAAAUAAUAGAUUGCUUUUCUUUUUUCCCUUGUAUCGGCAUUUAAAUACAGGCACCUAAAAUAAAUUGGACACAUGUGAUGCAAAACCUGGAUCAUGAAGGCUUCAACAUUCCGGAUGAAGCAGCAUUCUCUAACCUGAUGUCUAUAUAUACUCGUGCAUGCCAGGUAUUUGAAGAUUUAACUGGAUCUUGAAUACCAACAUUUCCUAUACUCUUAACAAUUUGUAUAACUAUCCAGGAUCCAUUUCCGCUUCAUGCUGUUUGUGGGUCUGUUUGGAAAAAUGCAGAAGGCCAAUUAUCUUUUUUGAGAUAUGCAGUGUCUGCCCCACCUAAUUUAUUCACAUUUGGGCACUGCUCAAGACAGCUGGUAUGCGUUUUUACAUUACAUAUACAUGUUUAUUUUUGAGUCAUAUUUGUUUAUUCUUCUAACAUGUACUAUUUGUCAUGUGUUUCAAGGCAUAUGGUGAUUUUGCAUAUCUUAGAAAUAAGCAAGGUAAUCAGGCUUGGUUCUGUCUGGAUCUUCUGGAGGUCUUAUGCCACCUAGCCGAACGAGGCCAUGCCAGUUCUGUUAGGGCAAUUCUUGAGUAUCCUCUUACUCAUUGUCCCGAGGUUUUAAUGGUUGGAAUUGGCCAUAUCAAUGUAGGGAUCCUUGCAUUGUGGUUGCUAGUUUAUUUUUUCUUGUACAAUCUAAAUGACGAGCAUGAUCAAGUUCUCUCUGUUUCUUCACAGACUGCCUAUAAUCUCCUCCAAUAUGAAGUGUCUUCUCGUGUAUUCCCCAUGCUACUAAAGGAUUCUACAAAAAACAGCAUAAUAGACGAUCUAUGGGGAGUUAACCCUAGUUUAGUCUUGCGAGGAUUUCUUGAUGCUCAUACUGAUCCUGACUGCCUUCCCAGAAUUCUUGACGCUUGUCAAGAGCUAAAGGUAUUUACUAUUGAAUUUCAAUUUGACAAACUAUGUUAAUGUGCUUUUCAGUUCUUUCUUUGCAUAUUCGUUAGCUAUUGAUUUACUUUGUGUUUAUGCAGUCUUGCAUCAGUUUGCUUCCUAAUCAUCUAUUGUAGGGCUGUGCCUUGUUAUUUCGUUAUUUUUAUAUAUAAUAUGGAAAUGUUUAGAUGAGUUGUUAAGGAUGUUGGAGAUGCAUUUUAUUGCAUACCUACCUACCCUGCAGCUUAUCCAUUUAAUUUUUUUUCAUAGAUUUUAUGUUUCUCAGCUGCUUUCUUUGUCUGGUUGGAGAAGUAUAUAUGCAGACUGUUAACAAGUAGGAGGGGGUCAACAUGGGAUACUUCUUCAUUUGUUUAUUUCUGCGUUUUUCUGCUUCUCAAUUUUGUGUUUUAUGUGCUACAGAUCUUAUCAACUGUAUUGGAUGCAACUCCAUUUCCGUUUAGCAUCAAAUUGGCUUCCAUUGCUUCUCGAAAGGAGCAUAUCAAUCUUGAGAAAUGGUUGAGUGAAAAAUUAAGUGCACAUAAAAAUGUUUUUUUCGAGGUAAGGCAUUUCUUUCUUGUUGUCGUGGUGGUAUUGAAAACUUGGCCUUACCCACUUUUCUCUCUUCACUUAUUUUAAUUAUUAUUAUUAUUAUUAUUAUUUGCAUUAUGAGAUGUAUUGAUGCUCUAAGGAAUGAAUUCAUUUGUCUUCAGGAGUGUGUUAAUUUCUUGAAAGAAGUUCUAAGUGAUGUGACAAAUGACGUUACAGAGAGUAGUCAACAAUCACGAUCUCUUCUGAAUUAUUACCAAGAGACAUGCUCUAUAUUUUUCAAGGUUUCACUUGACUAAUCAUUUAGCUAAUAUGUUAUACCCUCAUCUAUCUUUACAUAAAUGUUGAUGAAAGUUCGGUCGGUUCAUGCAAUUUGGUAGGUUCUUCAAGCUCAUUCAGGACAGUUUAUUGCCAACCCGCAUCUAGAAGAAUUAAAGAGGCUUCAUCUUGUAUCUAGUCCCACAAACGUAGGUGCUAUGGCAACAGAUGUAGCAACUCCAGAUGGGAGCUCAGAUGAUAUAGAGGUUGAGGCAAAUAAUUAUUUCCAUCAAAUGUUCUCUGGACAGUUGAGUAUUGAGGCAAUUGUUCAAAUGCUUGCACGCUUUAAAGAAUCUUCUGACAAGAGGUGCACUGCUUUACUUCUUGAAAUUUGUUUUUUAUUUAAUUUGCAUGCUUCUCAUUGUUAGCUUUAUCACAAAUUCUCAGUUCUUUGGGCAUUUUAGGCGUCUAUUACUUGUUCGUUGUUCUUCUGUGAUCUGUAUUAUCUCAUGUAAUCUAAGAUUCUAAUUUUUAAUCAUUAUCUGUUAUUAGAGAUAGCAGAUUAUAUGUGCAUUAUAGGGACAUGGUAAAUCUUUGUAUUUGGCUACAUUACCUGUUUGGAGAAUAUAGCACAUCAUGAUAAUGAUGUCUAAAACUGGCUUGAACUUCGUUUACUUGCGCUAUAAUUAGGACCUCAAAUCAUUGCUUUUACUGGUUUUUUGGCUCAUAUUUUUCUAAAUCCCCUUUUUUAUACUUUUCUUUUGCAUUGAAUUGAAAAGUUUCUCUGGCAUUUGAACGAUAUUUUAUAAGCACAAAUUGUGGUGGUUUUCAGGUUUUCUUUCUUUUCUUUCUUUUGCGGUAACAUUUUCUGAGUGACUAAAUUUCCUCAACCCCAUAGUACCCCUUGUUAUCCAAACUUGUGACUUAAUUGAAACUGUAUAUAUCUUUCAAGUUCUUCAACUUUUUCACAUGCAUGAUUGUCUCUGUCAAACAUUACCUUUGUAGGCUUCACUAAUCACCUAUAAAUCAUCCCCAUCAUUGUUUAUACCACCGCCGCCCAACAUAGCGACCAAAAUCGCCAAUUCACCUUUGUAUUAUUACCACUUGCAUCAUGGAUUAUUGCAGAUGCUGGCAACUACCCUGCAAACCACUGCUGCAGGGAGCACUCUUUUUUUUUUUUUUUUUUUUUUUUUUUUUUUUCCCAAGGCUGUCUUUUUUUUGGGGUUUGGGGAGUUUGAAUUUCAACUUUCUGUGUGCUAGUAGAUACACAUCAGUAUUCACACAUGUCCGAUAAGCAGGAACUUUUGAUGGACGUCAACUGGGUGCACAUUUUGAAGCAAUAUCAUCAAACCUUUGAUAUAUCUUUCAUUCCUUAUUAUUGUCGUCAUCAAUUAUACUGUCCAUGUUGCUCUUUGAUUAGAUGCACAACCAACUUGUUUAAAUUUAUUUCGCAUUUUGGAAUGAUAUCUAGGGAGGUGAAAAUCUUCAACUGCAUGAUUGCAAAUCUGUUUGAAGAGUACAAGUUCUUUCCCAAGUAUCCUGAUAAACAGCUGAAGUUAGCUGCUGUACUCUUUGGUAAGUGUUUAUCAUAUUAGCUCUUGCCCAUGUGAUUUCUAAACUAUCUAAUGUUUAUUUUGCUUUGUUGCUUUAUAAUGUUCUUGCUGGCUAUUAUAGUUACAGCUACUGGCAGAAAUAGCAAGAGAUUGAAAAUGCGUGUUACAUGCAGAUUAGGUGAUAAAAAAAUGUAUGAAUUCUAAUAGUUAAGAUGAUGAUAUAGACUGUUCUCAGAACAUUCUCUAAGAUCUUAAUGGGAAGGAGAUCAGCAAUUUUGUCUCCCUUAGAUAUUGGCAUAUUGCUAGUUACUCUGUUAACUAUGAAGUUAGCAAAUUGAAGCAAGAGCCAAAUAUUAUAGCCUGAAUUCAUAUACAACAUCUAAUCAAAUGUCAUCGUGUUAUGUAUGGUUUGGUCGUGUUAAUAUCUAAGUUGGAUGUCGGCAACAUAAUUUUGGUAUUAGGGCAAAUGAGACAACAAGGAGCUUCUAUAAGAAUAUGCACUGUUACUGCAGGGCAUAUGGUCCCUGUUACUGCAGGGCAUAUGGUCUGUAUUUUCUGACUUGUCUGGAUUUUGUGAUUUAACAGGUUCCCUUAUAAAACAUCAGCUUGUGACUCAUCUUGCACUUGGUAUUGCUCUACGUGGAGUUCUUGAUGCCUUGCGUAAAUCUGUUGAUUCUAAGGUUAGUAUAAAUUGCACAGUUUUACUGGAUUGAGUGCUUGAAAAUCUUUGUCUGACUAGCUGCUUGGUUACAGAUGUUUAUGUUUGGUACCAAAGCCUUGGAACAAUUCUUAGAUCGUUUGGUGGAGUGGCCGCAGUACUGUAAUCAUAUAUUGCAGAUUUCACAUUUGCGCGGAACACAUGCUGACUUGGUUUCUGCCAUUGAACGGGCGCUUGCUAGGGUUUCAUCCAGUCAGGCGGAGGCCAAUGGCGGUAAUCCCCUACCAGCUGAGCAACAAAGUUCUGGGCCGGCAUCCAUUGAAAGCAUUGAUGUACGGUUUGUAGUUCAUCUAAACCUAAUUGCCUAAUUGUGAGUUUUGUGGCAACAAUUUCACUAUUUCAGCAUUAUGCAUUUAGCGCAAUUUUAUUAAUAUUUGUUCAAUUCAAUUGAAUUUAGGUUACACACCCUACAUGAUUAGGCUAGUCUACUGCUUCCAAGAGAAAGGGCUUCCUUUGUUGAGACCAACUUGGGCACAACAUCUUUUUUUCUAUUUUUUAUUUCACUGCCAAGUGCUAACCAUCUUCUUCCUUCUCUAUUAUCUGCUGUUCUCUUUAACAGCUGCUGCUACUUACCUUUUCAUCCAUUACAUUCUCUUCUGCUGCUGGUUUGACAGAAGAUAAUAGGAUAGAUUUCUUGUUGUUGAAUAAACAGUUAUGUAUCUUUUUAAAGAAGCUAUAUGUGUGAGAGACUAGCAAUUAGGUUUGUGUUUGCAUGCUAACUAUUUGUGUAAUAUUCAAGUUUUCAGAAAAUCUCUUAGAACUUUGUGUCAUUUUCUAUGAUAAAAGCUUAGGUUUGUUACUUUCUUAUAAUUGCAAUUAAAUAUUAGAUGACAUGUUUAAAAUAUUGUGGUUUCUUCAGGCAUCUGAGGCAUCAUGGCAGCUGUUGGGUUCAAGUGCCCCCCAUUUAGGGCAACAACUUUCUUCUUUCCAGCCGCAACAGAGACAUCAAGGAUUUCUUGGUGACCGACUUAAAGCCUCUGCAACAUCUACAAGUUAUAGCAAACCGCUGUUAGCUUAUUCUGGGCAAUCUUCGCUUGUUUCCACAGCUGUUGAUUCUGCUACUAAUCAGAAGGUAUAGAUAACUUUGUCUCUUUUGUCAUAAAAGAUAUCUCGUGGUCAGUGUUUGAAAAUGCGCACCUUAGCGCCUAGGCGCGAGUCUCUGCUCCUCAAGGAGUGAGGCGCGGGCCUCAGACGCGCCUCGUGAUAUUUACGUUUAAUGUGUCUAAGGUGUGGGUUUUUGGGUUUUGAGUUUCUUCAAUAUAGUCUAAAAUGUUAAGAAAUUUUUUUAAAAAAAUUUCUAAUUGAAUGCUUUCUUUUCCUUUUCUCUGGGUCCUUCUAUCUUCCACCCCCCAAGGGCAAUAAAUAGCAGCGGCAAGAAGAAAGAAGCAGCAGCAAACACUUAAGCUGAAAGUUGAAACAUAAUUUUUUUAAUUUUUAAGCUGAGAACAUUUAUGCUUGCGAUUUCUUUAUUUUUUUAUGGUUAUUUUAUUUUUGUAUAGCUAUUUUAUAAUUUUUUAAUAUAAAACGUCCAUUUAAAAUAGGCUUGUUAAGAGUGUUUUAUUUUUAUUAGAUAUGCGCCUCACCUUCUUCAGGCGCGUGCCUUGCGCCUAGGCUUCAUAAGGCCUUUGCGCCUUUUUGCGCCUUACGCCUUUUCAAACAUUGCUCGUGGUUACGUGUGAAUUUCACUAUGCAGGGACUAGUUAUGUUUCAUUUUUCUGCUGCUUCUUUUACCUCUAUAAAAUUUUUCGUAUUAUUUUCAUACCUCUGGACAUUUUUUUGCUUGUGUAGGCAACUGCUUCUCAAUCUCCUCAAGCCCCUUCCCAUCAUUCAGUCACUGUGCCCACUGCUGUAUCUUCCUCUCCUGUUUUUCCUCGCAGUCGAAGUUUUGCAACCACAGGUAAAAUAAAUCAGUGCUUAUGUUAAUUAUACCUAUAGCUGUAUUCUCUUCUGUUCCUUAACUUAAUCUGUGCAUUAAUCGCCUAUUGUUUUCUGAUGGUGCAAUUCAAAAUAUACAUCUUUGUUCACCAUUCAACUUUCAAUAUUCAUUUCGUUGUAUUGGAUAUUAUUGUGACCCUUUUUGUAGGUAUGCCUAGGCAAACUUCUUAUGGCACGGGCUUUGGAGCUGCUUUAAACAUUGAAACACUUGUUGCAGCAGCUGAACAAAGAGAUACUCCACUUGAGGUUAAUUUUGUUUUUCCCCGACACCUUUCUUGUUUUUCUAUAUAUGCUCCUAUUGAGGGUUUAGGUUGUCAAUUGCCAUUUAUUCCACUCCAUUGACCAGAAUAAUGACAAUUUGAUCUCUUUUGAUUUAGGCUCCUUCUUCAGACAUCCAAGACAAGAUUUUGUUUAUGAUUAAUAAUAUUUCGACUGCCAACAUGGAAGCGAAGGCAAAAGAAUUUACUGAGGUAUUGAAGGAACAGUAUUAUCCUUGGUUCGCGCAGUAUAUGGUCAUGAAAAGGUAUGAAGUAUAUAAUUUUGUUCAAUCUUCUUCCGUUUUCUUUGAGUAGUUUCUCCGGUUGGAAGUUAUGGACAGUAUCGCUUUGUUCUUGCAGGGCCAGCAUUGAGCCAAAUUUUCAUGAUUUAUAUUUGAAGUUCUUAGACAAAGUAAAUUCAAAAGCAUUGAAUAAGGAAAUUGUAAAAGCGACUUAUGAGAAUUGCAAGGUUUUUCUCUGUCACUUCUUUUUUUUUUCCCCUAUCUGGGGGGAUCUGAUUAUUUAUAUGCUUGUUAUUAUAUAGGUGCUAUUAAGAUCGGAUCUUAUAAAAACAAGUUCAGAAGAGCGUUCCCUGCUUAAGAAUCUUGGUAGCUGGCUUGGGAAGUUCACAAUUGGUAGGAAUCAGGCAUUACGAGCAAAAGAAAUAGAUCUAAAAGUGCUGAUAAUAGAGGUAUCAUCUGUAAUGUUACAGUCACUUAAUAAUUUGUGCUUCCUUACUUCCAUAAUUUUUGGUAUAUUUUGUUUACCUCUUUUCUUUCAUAAUGUUUUCUGCUGGAAGUCUUAAGCAAAGAUGCACAGUAUUAUUUGAAAUGCUUUCUUGAUAUCAAAUAUGUGUUUUGUGCGCAUGGACAGGAAUGCUUGUGUUCAUCCUACUUUUGUGACAGAAUUUCGAUCAUAUUUGUCUUUACUUGAAAUCUGUACAUGUGCAAUUUUUAUAUACUAUGCUUUACCCCUUUUAUACUUUGUAAAUUUACCUUGCUAGGCAUAUGAGAAAGGAUUGAUGAUUGCAGUGAUUCCAUUCACCUCAAAGGUAGGACCACUUUGUACUUUGAGCUGUAACCAAAUUUAUAUAUUAAUUAUAAUGCUAUAUGUGUGCAUCUACUGUAGAUUCUGGAACCUUGCCAAUCGAGUAUAGCCUACCAGCCUCCAAAUCCCUGGACUAUGGGCAUCCUUAGUUUACUCACUGAGAUCUAUAAUCUACCAAACCUCAAAAUGAACCUGAAAUUUGACAUUGAGGUAUUAAGUUUUCACUAGUCAUUCCUUCAGAAUUCUUGUGUGUUUAAAUGCGUGAGAACGGGAAUUUACAGUCGGUGCUGGUGGUAUUUGCACUGUAGGUUCUAUUUAAAAAUCUUGGUGUUGACAUGAAAGAAGUAAAACCGACUUCACUUCUUAAAGAUAGGAGUCGUGAAGUGGAGGGGAAUCCAGAUUUUUCAAACAAGGAUAUUGGUGCAUCUCAACAACCAGUCAUUGCAGAAGUCACACCAGGGAUCAUGCCUCCAUCAAAUCAUGUUGAGCUGCAGUCUGAGGUCAAUAGUACUUCUCGAACGAGCCUUCCAAAUAUAUUGAAUCAGGUUAUUGGCGAACUGCUUUUAUAUAAAUGUAAAGAUCUCUAUAGAUUUGCAUUAUGCUGAUUUCCAUUGCUUGUUGGUAUGUUCAGUAUACUACUAUUCAUCUUGCUUCAAAUACCAUGGGUGAGGAAGACAAAGUCGGGCCUUUGAUAAUUCCUGAACAUGUUCCAUCUGCUCAGGGCUUAACCCAAGUUACCCCAUCCCCAUCUCCAUCACCAUCCGCAUCCCCAUCCCCAUCCCCAUCUCCAUUCUCUCUUAGUCAGGUUAGUUAUUCUUGUCCUGUUGUUCUUUUGUCUUAUAUUUCAAACUUAAAAUGUUCUGUUGUAUAUUUGUUUUAUUUUUCUAUAUGACCAAUUUUUUGCAGCUUCUGACAAUAAUUCCUGACUCUGAUUCUUAUAUCAAUGUUAAUCCAAAGCUUAGUUCUAUGGGUUCGCAGUCGCAAUUUCACAGGUUUGAUAUUCUAAAUUGAUUUGAGUAUUAAAUAGUUUUUAUACACUGUAUCAUUAAAUUUUGCUCUGCUGUUUAAUUUGUGCAGGAUUAUUCAACUGGCUAUGGAUAGGGCCAUCCGAGAGAUUGUAGCUCCUGUUAUUCAGAGAAGUGUAACUAUAGCUAGCAGAACGACAAAGGAACUUAUCUUAAAGGUUCUCUUUUGUUAUUCUAUUUUAAUACGUUACUAUGUUAGUAUUAGUAAUUGCAGGAAUCCUUGUAUUUGUGAACUAUUCAGCUUCUAACUGUGCCUUUCUGUUCAAACAUGUUGUUACUGUAGGACUUUGCUAUGGAAUUGGAUGAUAGUACUAUAGCUCAUUCUGCGCAUGUAAUGGUUGGCACUUUAGCUGGAAGUUUAGCCCAUGUCACUUGCAAGGUCCGAAUAGCUUUAUAUCAUCUUCAAUUCGCAUGUGUAUAUAUAUGACUUGGGACCUUUUCUGUUGUUUCCAAGCAUUGUGUAAAUUACCUCUUUACUUUAAUGCUAUAAAAAAAAAAUCUUUAAGCAGUUCUCCAUGUCAUUGGUUUGCUCUUGUUUUGCCAGGAACCUCUUCGUGUCUCUCUGUCAAAUCACCUUCGAAGUCUACUUCAGGCCUUAAACAGUAACAAUGAAAAUAUCGAGCAGAUUGUUCAGAUCAUCACCAAUGAUCAUCUAGAUCUUGGGUGUGCAAUGAUUGAAAAUGCAGCAUCAGAGAAGGUAGCUUUUAUUUCUCCUAUUUUUCUUGAGAGUUGCUCAAUAGAGGACUAUAGUUUAUCAUAAAUCAGUCUUUUUCAUAAUCUAUUUUAUAGGUCUCAACUCACAUUUAGGAGACAGGUUUAUUUGGAUUAACAAUAUGAAUGUAGGUUUUGGGAAGUUCUGACUAAUUUUCUUACGUUAGUGUCACUGCUAUAAUAUUACAAUCUCUGGUUAUUUCCACAGGAUGAAACCAAAAUAAAAGAUUAACAUUUCUUCUCUAAGGCAGGAGGUUUAAUUGGAACUAUGAGUUGAUUACAUACGCUAUACAUAGUAUUUUUGAAGUCAGAUAAGUUGAUUACAUACAUUAGACAUAAAGUUUAUUUCUGAAGUCAGUCGUUUUACUUAUGUCACGCAGUUGUAAGUUUCACUCAACUGAGAAUCUCAGUGCUGCUUGUGUUUUUUUUACACUUGCAAUCUAUUUCAAUCAUUGCAACCUUUCUUACUUAUUUUUUUUUCUUUUUAUGGGCUUGUUUCGCCUAGCUGUGGGAGAAGUGUUUUCUACAAAAUUGAUUCUGGUUUGAAGAAGUGAUUUUGGUUAAAAGCUGUAGAGCAUUUGGCUGGGUCUAGAUGUAAAAUGAUUUUUUUGAAAUAAUUUUUUUAAAGCUAUUUGGCAAAUUUUUUUUUACUAUUUAUAAAUAAUAAUUAUUUUACUGAANAUAGUAAAAGAAAAGAAGAUCAAACCAGUGUAGCAUAUCACCUGUCUCAUUAGGAGUUGUAUUCUUCAGAUAGUGCUGAUCGUAUGAUAAAACCGAAGUACCAAAACUAUCAAUGUAGUAAUCUUUAACAAAGUGAGCAUACGCUUCCUGCAAAAAGUCAGUUGUUAGUAGACAAUUAAAUGUUGAAAUGCCUAUGAAAACUAUAAACCAUUGCUCGAAUAACAAUUUUUUUCACUGAAAUUUAUUUUAAAAUAAUUCAAAUUUUGAAUUUGGAUUCAAAUUUAAAAUUUAAAUCUAAAAUUUGAACCAGAAUUUAAAAUUUGAUAUUUAAAUUUAAAAUCUAAACUUUAGGUUUGAAAAUUUAAAAUUUGAUAUUUAGAAUUUAGAAUUUAAAAUAAAAAAUUAAAAAUCUAAUUCUAAAUUUAAAAUUUAAAAUUUAAAAUUUAAAAUUAAAUUUAAAAAUGAAAAUUUAAAAAUUUUAUCUUUGAUUUUUAAAAAAUUUGAAAAUUUAAAUUUAAAAUCUAAAUUAGAAAUUUAAAAUUUAAAAUCUAAAUUUGAAUCUUAAAUUUUAAAAUUUGAAAUUUGAAAUUUGAAAUUUGAAAUUUGAAAUUUGAAAUUUGAAAAAUUAAAAGCUAAAUUUUAAAAUUUAAGAUUUUAAAAUUUUAAUUUCAAACUUUUAAUUUUAUUUUAUAUUUUGAAUUUUUAAGUGUGAAGUUGAAAUUUGGAAUUUAACUUUAAAACUUGAAAUUUUAAAUUUUAUAUUUUCAAUUCUAAAUAUGAAUUUAAAUUUAGAAUUUGAAUUCAAAUUAAAAUUAAAAUUUGAAGUUUGAGUCCAAAAUUAAAAUUAGAUAUCAAGAAGCUUGUUUUAGCUGCUUCUGACUUUGGGCGUUUUAAAUCAGAAAUCUGAUUUUAAAAAUUAGAAUUAGAUUUUGAAAAGAAGUUACCAACCUCUCUAUUGAAGGAAAAAUCACUUUUGGUCCUAAAAUCACUUUUCAGAAUUCAGGGCAAACAACCACUAUAUUAGUAGUUCAGUAUAGAAAAGAACUGUUUAACGACAAUUGUGAAUGGAUAUUUCAUCUUUCUUGAUGGUUCUUAUUUGGCACAAAGUUGACAACUUCAAAAUUGAGUGCUAAUUCUGACACCAUUCUCUAUUGGGGAUCUUAUUAAUAGCUUGGAUUUGAUAAAAAAAGAAAAGAAAAACUUAAAAAAGUAUAUUGAACUUGUCUCUCAAAGAAGGUUUGAUUUGUCUUAUACCUAACAUAUCAUAUCUUUGGUUUGAUUUGCUUCUGUAUCAAUGUAAUCCAAAUCAUGUUGUGUUUGUGCAUCUUCAUCCAUAGCUCAUAACUCUCAUGGAUUAGUCGGGAUUACUGUGUAACAUCAACUGCAAGUUUUGCAGGCUGUGGAGUUGAUCGAUGGUAUUAUCGGCCAGGCUUUUUCUGCCCUAAGGAAACAAAGGGAGGCAGCUGGCGCUGCAUAUUAUGAUGCUAUUACUUAUACUCAAGGUGCAUUUACACGUGUCCCAGAGGCACUUCGCCCUAAACCUGGUCGCCUGACUCCUGCCCAACAGCGCGUCUAUGAUGUAAAACUAAAACAAACACCGUAUCCUGCCAUGUUUUUUUUUGAUGGAGCUGUUGCACUUAUUAAUAAUCUCUUCAUGUGUUAUAUAUCUUUGUGUUUUGCAGGACUUCAAGAAUAUUUGGCAAAACCAGUCUAGUCAGAAUGCAAGUACUGGGUCUACUGGCCCACCUGUUAUGGGUGGAGGUUCAGUUAACUCCGGUCUACCUCGAGUUUAUUCAACUGCAGCUCCGUCGAGCACCUCCAGCAUAUCUACUUCUCAAGUUGCUCCAUUUAGCUCAGUUUCUCAGCCAUUAGAUUUGAUCACGGAUGUGUCAGAUCGUGGUUCUAUGCAGCUUCUUAGGUAUGGUUUCUUGAAACCUUUUCUUCAUUGCUUGCAAAUUAGUAGGGGAAUUCAUUGUUUUAGAAUUGACAGUUGACUUCUAAUUUGUAGCACCACCUCUCAAACUGGAACAAAUGAUACGCCUUUUCAACAGGGUGGUGGAAUCAGUUCUAUUGUUUCUCCAAUUCCUUCUGCUGUUAUUUCCAGCGAUCUGCCAGCAGCAGACACUACAACUUUGACUAAAGUUAGUUAUCUUUUCCAUUAUUUUUAUGAAAAAUUGGAAAAUAAAUGUUGUCAUUUCUCUGACAUCUGAUUUAUCUGGUGUCAGGAGUUUGGGACCGUUGUACCAUCUUCACCUACAACUACUGCAGACCGCCUGGGAACAACUGUUUUACCUGAAGCAAUGUUGACUACAGGAGAAGCAUUGGAGAAAUACCAACAAGUUUCACAAAAGGUAUGAAUUCUUCAGUAGCUUUGUAAAAUAACCAUAUGUUAUUCUUAACGUUUUUAUGCAUUUUGCUUCAUGUACCUUAGUUCGUUAUCAAAGUAGAGCAUGUAGACCUGAGUUGAAAGGUACAUUCUGGUUUUUCUAACAAGAAAGCUUUUGACUGUAUUUGUACCCAUCAAUUAGAGCUAUUGUAUUGUGCUCUAAUUACUUAACAAAUAAAUGUGAAUUUUGUUUUGUUGGGCAUUCUAAAGCAUAUAGAACAAGUUUUUUUUUUUUUCCUUUAUUCUCUGAUAAUAUUUGAUGUCUUAGCAAAAUUUUUGUUGUUGAACUGGCUUUUCAAUCAUGGUUGGUUGAAGUACUUUCCCUUUUCUUAUGAGUGUGUCUAGAGUGCCUUGGAGGUGGUAGAGGCUGCAUUGGAAAUAAAUCCCUGGGGUGUUAGAUAUCAUGCCACUCAUGUUUUCUUGCUAGAUUUUACUAUUCACUUUUCAUUUGGAUAGAGCCUAAGGGCUCUUGACUUGGGCAAGUUUUUGGCUAAUCCUUGCUACUAAAUAUAUGUUUAUGAUAAUCUCUUUUGCUUAAAGCUGUGCCUUCUCAAACUUCUCUGCUUAAAUUUGUUUGACCAAUUUCAACAUUGUCACCGGAACUCGUUUUUUCAGAUGGAAACUUUGAUUGCUAAUGAUGCUAGAGAGACAGAAAUUCAGGUGAGAUAGCAGUUGCUUGAUCCUUUCUAUGGUCCCUCCACCAUCCAAAACAGUGUUUGUGUAUUAAUGUGCAUGUUUGCUCCUAAAGAAUUUUAAUUGUUUGAUGUACCAAGCUAUGUAAUUCUUUUUAGGUAGUUGUUGCUGAGGUGCCUGAUAUCAUACGCAAAUCUGUAAGCCGAGAUGAGGCUGCAUUGGCUGUGGCACAAAAGGUUCAUUGUCUAGUUCCAUGUUUCUUGUUGUAAUCACACUUUUUUUUUUUUGUUUCUUGACUUUUCAGUGAUAUGUGGAUGAAUAUUUUUGCUGCAGGUGUUUAAAAGUUUAUACGAGAAUGCAUCCAAUGCUCUCCACAUAUCCUCCCAUCUUGCUGUUUUAGCCUCGAUACGGGAUGUUUGCAAGCUUGUAGUUAAAGAAUUAACUAGCUGGGUAUGAGUUUCAUUGAUCUUGGGCCACUUCAGUGAAAUAUAACACUGUUUGUCUAUACUUGAAAAUGGUUUUAGUAGCUACGUAGGAAAAUGUCUCCCGUAAUGCAUCAUGUUCUUGUGAACUACUGUGUUUUUAGUCUAUCAACUACCCUUUUUUCUCCUUCGAUGAAGGGUGUACAUUUUGGCAACACCUGGUUCUUUCUUUAAGACAUAAGAGAUUAUGGACCCUAAACCCUAGACUCUAAAACCUGAAAAGAGAAAAAAAAGAAAAUACUUUUUCAUGUCUACUUGGUAAACUUGGUGCUUGUUCUUGAUUGUGCAGGUAAUUUAUUCAGAUGAAGAACGAAAAUUUAACAAGGAAAUAACUGUGGGCCUUAUUCGUUCAGAGUUGCUAAACCUUGCGGAGUACAAUGUCCAUCUCGCAAAACUUAUUGAUGGUGGAAGGAAUAGUAUGUGGAUAGCAUUUGUCUUUUGAUUCUUUAAACAAAACAUGCCUAACUAAUUUGGUUAUUGGUUAACUCUUUUGGAUUCACUUUUUGUGAAAAUUCUGGGACGAAUAUAUGCUAAUUCUUAGUAAAUGUUAGAGCUAUUUGGUGUUCCUCUCCUUUUUGGGGUUUUAAUUGGCUGUUCGUGAAAGUUAUAGUUGGUUAAUUGAAAUAUUAACAGAUUGUAUUCCUUUGCAGAAGCUGCAACAGAGUUUGCCAUAUCCCUUGUCCAAACAUUGGUUGCGCAGGAACCUGGAGUUAGCAUGUCAGAAUUGUAUAAUCUGAUUGAUGCCCUAGCAAAGGUAUUACAUCUGGUCAUUUGUGUAAGUCGGCUACUCUUAUUUUGCUAAAGAUAGCAGACCAAUUGUAUCAUAAACUUGCAGUUGGCAAUGAGGCCGGGGUCGCCGGAGUCAUUACAACAGUUGAUCGAGAUUGCUAGGAAGGCUGCACCUAAUUCCAAUGCUAAUAAAGAUGAGAAAGCUCGACAGUCGAGGGAUAAGAAGGUAGUUAGAAUUUUAUGCCCAAUAUAUUAUGUAGUCAUUCCUAGCAUUCAACGAAGGAUUAAAGUGCCAUGGCAUGGGUGCGUGCUGGUUGUCGCCUGGCAUGGUACGACAUAGGCAUGCCUCCAUGCUGAUACGCAUGACCUCUUAGUAGCACGCUUUGACACGAUUUGUUUUAAAAUUUUUUUCCAAUAAACUCUUAUCAUGCUAUUUUGAAACAUUUAGAAAAAUAAUUAUAAAUGCUGGUUAUGUAUAGCCUACUACAUAGCAAGGAUUAAAGUGUCCAUUGGCACGGGCCGUAUCCACCGUGCCGUAUCGUGUCAGCAAGAUAUCAGCACGAUACAAUCCCCGUGCCAAUGUCACAACUCAAAAUCCUCUAUUCUUGAAAUUAGUAAGUAAUUUUCUUAAGAAAGUUCAAAAGAUCUAAUAAAAAUAUAUAAUAAAUAAUUGGCAUAUUUGGUUGCUAAAGAAAUAAAUAUUUUAUGCCAUUACGUGUUGGCACACAUAUUUUUUGUGAUCGACACGCAUUGGCAUGGCCUGGCCCGCACUGUGGCGUACCGUGCCGGCAAGUUUCCGGCACGACCUCGUGUCACGGCACUUAAAUCCUUGCUACGCAACAAUUAAUAUAGUGGUAGGUUUUUUUUGUGUAAAGUAAAAUAUAGCUAUAGCUUGUAGAAAAUGAAAAUUAAAAAUCAAUUAUUUUGAAAAUUCUUUUGAUUUUAUCUUUUUUUUUAGAACUUUAAAAAUUAUAAAAUACAAAAUUAGAGAAAAUUAUUUUUUCUUAAAAUUUUUAUGGAAUUUGCAAGAUUCAUCCAUGUUGAUUCAACGGGAGUAGGGGUGUAAACGAGCCAAACACGAACGAGCUAGGGCCGGCUCGUUUAAUAAACGAGCUGAACACGAGCUGGCUCGUUAAAGUAUCGAGCCGAAAACUUCAGCUCGUGUUCGGCUCGUUAAUAAACGAGCCGAACACGAGCUGGCUCACGAGCUGGCCAUUGAACAAUAAGUUAAAAUGGAUUAGAUUGAAUAUAUAUAAAAAAUAAAUUUAUAAAAUUUCAUUCAUUAGAUUUUGAUUUUAUAGUUGAAACUUUACAUAUAAAUGAGUCUUUUUAUAAUUAAGCUCGCCUUUAUAUUUUUAUUUUGCUAAAAAUUAAAUAAUAAAAAUAUAUUUAUAUAUAAAAAUAUAAAUUAAAUAAAUUAUAUAAAUAUAAAAUAUAUGUAUUCGAGCUGUUAUCGAACCGAACACGAGCGAGCUGACCCAGCUUGUGUUCGGCUUGUUUACUAAACGAGCGAUUCGAUCUCGCAGCUUCAUUUCGAGCCGAACACGAGCUGGCUCGCGAACAGCGAGCUGGAUUGCCACCCCUAAACGAGAGACUGUAUAAUGACUAGAUUAACUAGAAUAACGCUACAGUUGCUCUUUGUUUCUUUUAAUUUUGAAUCUUUUAAAAAUAUUUAUUAAAUAUUUGAAGAAAAAAUUAUUUUUUAUUAAAAUUUUUAAGAAAAAUUGUGAGAUCUAUCCAUAAAAAUUUAACAAUAAAUCGUAUUAGGAAUAAUUAAGCAAAUUUAAGUAUCAAUUGAUUCAAUAUAGUUUUUAUUUUAUUAGUAUUUUCCAUCUUUUAAAUCAAAAAUAGAAUUUUCAAAGUAAAAAUUUUUGUCGUAAAUCUCAUACCUAAUGCUAGAUUUAUCUGAAAUAAUUACAAAUCGGACUACAUAAUGACUUAAUCAAGUAGAUCUAUUUUUAAGUUUUUGUAAACUAUAAAUUAAAAUUUGCAUAAUUUCACAUUUCUUCAAAAUAGGAACUUUACAAGUUAGAAAUAUUCAAAAUGUAUGGAAAAAAAUUUAAAUUUGUAAAUUUUUUUUACUUACCUAAUAAGUAUCUUCGAUUUGUUAUUUCUUCGCCUUUUCUUUUAAGAUCGAAGUGAUCAAAGUAGAAAAAAAGUAGAAAUAGAAGGGAUUGAAAGAAGAAAUUAGAGAAAAAAUUAUAAUAAGAGGAGGAAAAAAUAGAAAGAAAAAAAAAGAGAGGACGAGAUAGUGAGAAGAAAAAGGAGAGAUUGAAAGAGCAAGUUGAGGAGAAGAAAAGGUAGAAGAGAAUGAGAGGGGUGUGUGGGGCAAAAAGAAAAAAAAAAUCCAAAAGUAGGCCCCCGGGGGGGGGCUAAAUCUCAAGGGCACGCAGCGGCACUGUGCCUUGAUACCCUUUGGGUAUCGUAUUGUCUUGUGCGAUACCAAAAGGAUAUCAUGGCACGAAGGGUUACCGUGCCGCUUAAUUGGGGGCAGUACGUAUUGGCACCGGGAGGUACUUAAAACCUUUUAUUCAACUGAUGGUCUUGUUUUCUGAACAUACCUUCUUUGAAACAGGCUCUAUCUGGUCGUUCUUUGACGAGCAAAGAGGAGUAUAAUGAUAGUGCAACUGCUGAUUCUGCUGGUUUCCAAGAUCAGGUUUUGAGAUUUUUUUUUUCUUAAUGCUUGAAUUUGUUGUAUGGGACUAUGGUUUUUACUGGAUAAUCUACACAUGCAUUUUCUGAAAGAAACAUGCAUCAAUCAUUAUAAUAGGAAGCAAACUGUAUUUGAACUCUGUAUUGAAGUCACUCCGAUGCCAGCGAACAAAGAAAGUAAAUGACUAACCGUUGGCAACUGCAUAUGGAUUCGUUAUUUUUGUUUCUUAUACCUUUACUCUAUAUGCUUUGGCAUCUAUCCUUCUAAUGUAUAAUGUAGGCUUGAUCAAACGCAUCCAGUGAAAUCUUCUCUUUCAUGAUGGGAUGGAGCAAGGAUUAUGAUGCUGUUGACAAGCUGAACAUGCGUUGACUUGCCAGCAUUUCCUUUUCUUUUCUUUUCUUUUCUUUUCUUUUCUUUUUUUUUUCUUUUGGAAGAGGGCCUACUCUAGUUCAGUUAAUGUGUCUAAAAUCAUUUUAAUAGUUAAAUAUUGUAAUUCAAGCCUGUCCGAAGAUUCUGAAACAACAAUGUCUUGGCAGCAUCAUAAUUCAUAGAUGAGACGGGUCCAUAGGACAGUAGAUUAGAUGCUACCUUCAAAUCUUUCUUGACCGAAGUAAAAUCUAGAGACCAUGGCACAUGAAAGGGCCGUUUUUGGGCUCAGCUACUAUUAUUGACCAUCCAGAGUGCUCUUUAAUGAUUGAAAAAUGAUAAUUCAGUUGUAUGGAGAUGGUUUUGGAAGACUAAUACAGUCUUGAUCAUGUUUAUUAUGGAAACCACAACUCCAAGGGAAUAUAUAGUUUGAUGUGGUCAUAUUUCAGGUUGCAUUGGGAAGAGCCUUUGCUGAAUCAGGCUCAUGCCCAAGUUUCAGAAUUAUAUUUGUGUGCAGUUUUUUCAUAAAAGGUCUUUAACAAAGAUUUGGGAAGAGCCUUUGCUGAAUCAGGCUCAUGACCAAGUUUCAGAAUUAUAUUAGUGUGCAGUUUUUCAUAAAAGGUCUUUAACAAAGAUGAUGAAAGAUAAAUCUCCUAUUGGUUCUUUUGGUGUCCAUUUUGUUACUUUUUCUUUUUAAUCAUCUUAUGCAACAUUUAGUAAUAUUUUGAGCUGCCAAACCUAAGAUUUUACUGGUUUGCAUGGUAGGUUGCUAUUCUUUUUUCUGAAUGGUGUCAGAUUUGUGAUCAUCCUACAACAAAUGAUGCAACAUAUAGUCAUUACAUCUCGCAAUUGAAUCAAAGCAGUUUACUUAAGGGUGAUGAUAUCACGGACCGUUUUUUCCGUAUUUUCAUGGUUAGUUCUUUUUCAUUGUUUUCAUUUUUCACUGUCUGUUAAUGAUGGCUUGCUCGCUAAUAUUCGACUUAUUUCAGGAGCUUGCUGUUUCGCAUUCCCUAGUGGCUGAGCAAGUCAUGACUCCAAGUGUGAUAUCACUUCAUUCGGCUCAACAGCUCCAACAAGUCUCUUAUUUUUCCAUUGAUUCAUAUGCAAAGCUUGUUGUCUUAAUUUUGAAGGUAUCUUGAAGACAAAUUAUAGUAAAGAACUGAAGAUACAUUCUGUUAAGCAUAAUCAACAACAUCUAAAAGGAAAGAUUUAACCUAAAUAAUAUUCGUUUGAGAAGCUUCACAUGUUUAUCAAGUGAGAAAACUGUAGAAAAUUUGUGUUUGUAGACUCGAUAGAACCAUUUAUGCAAGUGUAGUAGAAUAUGUGAAGGGACUUACAGAAAAGAUCCUCCUGGCUAAUUAAAACUUUCAUAUGUUAAAAAUGGAAUAAUAAAAAAAAUCAGCUCAUAAAAUCUGUUUCGCCAGAAACUUGUUAACAGUUUCUAGAGGAUUGAUGUCUGGUUGUAGUAGCUCUUAGAAUCUGUUAGUUCUUGUGCUUUUUCAUAUUUGAUUUAUGCAUAUUUGAUUCAUGAUUUAGUCCUUUGCUUAUCCCAUAAUUGUGGAGAAAUGCUUGUUAUAUGAUGUUUUGAUCAUUGCACUGUAGCUGUUAUGGAACUCAAGUACUGUGUUUAUUUUGUAUAAAAGUUUUUAUUUAUCUAAUUUAAUGUUUUUUUCCUUCAGUACUCUUCAGUGGAUCAAGGAUCAGUGAAAGCUAUUCUUCUUCCAAAGGUUCACUGAUGGUUUAGUUUGUUUCUUAUCUCAUUUUUGUGCAUGGCUGCAUUAUAUUUUUAUUCUUCUGCUUCAUGUGCAGAUUUUGUCGGUAACGGUGAGAGUCAUCCAAAAAGAUGCAGAAGAAAAGAAACUGUCUUUCAACCCAAAACCAUACUUUCGAUUGUUUAUUAAUUGGCUAUUGGACCUUGCUUCUCCAGACCCUCUCCUUGAUGGUUCUAACUUUCAGGUUGUAUGCUAUAACUAGAGCCUUCAACUAUUCUUGUGUGUUCUAAUGUUUCUGACAUUGAUCAAUUAUUUCAGGUGUUGACUUCUUUUGCAAAUGCUUUCCAUGCUUUGCAACCCUUGAAAGUUCCUGCUUGGAGGUUUGGUCACUUGCCCUUAUCAUGACUCUUUCACAUCCUAACUUGUUUCUUUCUUUCAUAGAAACGCUAAGAUAUUUAGGUGUUAGUUUGAAUGAAUUCUAAGUGCUAUUAAUUGUUGAUAUAGUAAGUUUUGUUUUGGGGCUUUUUUUAAUAUAUAUAAAUAGAGAGAGAGAGAGAGAGAGAGAGGAGAGAGAGAGAGCGACUAGGCUUCUAUCGGUAGUAAACGACUUGGUUUACUAUUGAUUUGUUUUUGAUGAUAGAGCUUCCAAAUCGACGAUCGGCACCGUAGAACAUGAUCUAUACCAUUUAACUAUUUAGAAAUCAAAUUUCAUGCUUUUUUGACAUCACUAACCAUGAUCAAAGGGUCACAAAAUUUAUAAUUUUAAUGGCCGAUAUGGUAUGUUUGCUUAUUUAACGGCGUAGAAAAGUACAAGUCAACUAAAUUUUUGUUAGAAAUUUUUUUUAACUAUUGAAAAUAAUAUUUAGACUGUACAUCUUAAAUACAAAAAUUGUAUUAUCACUUUUUGAAGGAUAUUCAUUUUCAGCCAUUUAAUUUUUUUUUUUCACUUGAUGGACAAGAAAAUAAUAUUGGAAAAGCAUGCAUUUUGAUUUCUAGAUAGUUUAAAUGGUCUAGAUCAUGUUCAACAGUGCCGGCUCUCUCUCUCUCUCUCUCUCUCUCUCUCUCUCUCUAUAUAUAUAUAUAUAUAUAUAGGCUUUCUAUUAAGGUCUUGACUCUAGUUCGGGCAUCUGUGCCAAUUAAUAUGAUUUUUGUGUUCAGUGCUUUUGUGGUAUCCUGCCAUAUAUUAGGAUAUUUUAGUUCCUACUGUGUUUCUUACAGAUAAUAAAGUUUGUGCGAGCUGCCUUUUCUUCUUUGGUAUUUGAUCAGAACAAAAUUUUGUGUUACCAGAUGCAAUAGUUGACCUACUCGAAUCUUAGAUUUCAUUGUAUAUUACUUUAAAUAUCCUACUUAUUAUUUUUACAACGUAUUAGGAGGAAUUGCUUGUCUUGGGAAAGACGAAAGAUUUCAUCAUGCUAUUAUAAAGCGUGAUUGCUGAACAAUAGCUAUUACUUGCAACAACUGCCCUACUCUAUGUUAAGUUUUUCUGUUUUUUGUCCACAUCUCAUGCUUUUGUAUCUGAUUAAAACUCUUUCAGCUUUGCAUGGCUCGAGUUGGUGAGCCACAGAAGCUUUAUGCCUAAACUGCUGAUGUGCAAUUCUCCGAAGGGCUGGCCGUUUUUCCAACGCUUGCUAGUUGAUUUGUUCAAAUUCCUGGAACCUUAUUUGAGGAAUGCUGAGCUCGGAGAGCCGGUUUGCUUUCUUACUUUUUUUUUUUUUUUUUUCUUUCUUAUCUUUUUGGUAACAUUCUGUGUUUCCCUCCUUUUUUUAUGGUUGCUUUCUAUUCUGUGCCCUAUUUGCUCCCAGGUUCACGUUUUGUACAAAGGCACUUUGAGGGUUCUGCUUGUGCUACUACAUGACUUUCCCGAAUUUCUUUGCGACUAUCAUUUCAGUUUUUGCGAUGUGAUCCCCUCCACUUGCAUCCAGAUGCGCAAUGUAAUUCUUAGUGCGUUUCCCCGAAAUAUGAGGCUCCCUGAUCCAUCUACUCCUAAUUUGAAGGUGAUUGUGGCAUGACAUUAUUGUUGCACUUUGUUGCAUCAAAAAUACUAGAAUAUUGAUAUAAGCAAUUAAAUAUCUUGUCUUCUAUUAAAUCAGAUUGAUUUGCUGGCUGAAAUCACCCAAUCCCCGAGGAUUCUAUCUGAUGUUGAUGGCGCUCUUAAGGCUAAACAGAUCAAGACUGAGAUCGAUGAUUAUCUCAAGGUAAGUAGGGUUUGAUUACUAUGCUUUGUGGCAUUUUGUCUUAGGAUUAUUAAGUAAAACAUUAUAUUCACUCUCUUUGCUAAGAAUUAACCCCUUUUUUGUGACAUCCCUAGGAUUUAGAAUAGAAUAUAUGAGAUAUAAUAGGGCUAAACCUCUUAACCCGGCUAGGGCGUGCUACAACUAGAGCAGUUCUAGAAUGGGUGACCUUUGGGAAGUGGGGUAUCACAAUCGGUAUUAGAGUCAAUUACCAGAUUCUCAGUUGAGCCAGGGUCAUACAACGGGUAGAGUACGGCUCCUCGGCUAACGACCGUUAAGGUCGGUUAAGGAUAGCGAGAUGAGUCUCACAUCGCCUGGUGCUUGUGAGUGUGCUUGAGCCUGGCGAGAAUGCCAAGGCUUAAAGGAGAGUAGAAUGUGGCACCCUAGGAUUUAGAAUAGUCCUAUAAAUGAGAUAUAAUAGGGCUAAAAAUCUCUUAACCUGGCUUAUAGCAUUUUGUUGGGUGUCUAGGCCCAAAGGUUAAAGAGAGUUAAGUGAGCGUACUAGGGCUAGAAUAGUUCCAGGAUGGGUGAACUCCGGGGAAGCGGUGCAUCACAGUUGGUAUUAGAGCUAAUCACCAGCUGGAAGUAUGAGAUAAGUCUUAGUUGAGUCAGGGUCAUACAGUGGGUAAAGCGUGGCUCCUCGGCUGACGACCGUUGUGGGCGGAGCGCGACUCCUCCAUAAGGUCGGCUAAGAAUAGCGAGACGAGUCUCACAUUACCUGGUGCAUCACUCGGUGCUUGUUAGUGCGCUUGAGCCUGACGAGGAUGUCAGGGCUUAAAGGGGAGAGGAAUGUGACACCUUGGGAUUUGGAAAUCUUAUAUAUGAGAUAUAAUAGGGCUAAAUUGCUUAACCUGACUGAUAGCAUUUUGGGAGGCGGUUAGGCCCAAAGGUUAAAGAAAGUUAAGCGUGCUAGGGUUAGAAUAGUUUUAGGAUGGAUGAUCUCCCGGGAAGCGGCGCAUCACAGUUUUCCAAGCCUGCAUAAUGUAAUCAUAUGUAUUAAGUUCUAGUUCUCUUUAAGUGCACAUUGAGUGUCAUAUUUACUCCUUGUCCUUGUCGUAAUGUAACUACUGCAGACACGGCCAGAAGGAUCUCCCUUUUUAACUGAGCUAAAACAGAGAGUACUGCUUCCGCAGAGUGAGGCAAACGUAGCAGGAACUCGGUACAACAUUCCUCUGAUCAAUUCUCUUGUGCUUUAUGUAGGCAUGCAGGUAAACACUGCAAUUUUAUUUUCAUUAAUUAACUCUUUGGGUAAAUAUAAAAUGCAUUUUGACUGCAUACUACAUAGUCAUCUCAGGCGAUACAGCAAUUACAGAGCAAGUCAACUCCUCAACAUGUACCUGCUCAACAGAUGAGUCAUAAUCCUCCUAUGGAUAUAUUUCUAGUCGGUGCGGCUAUGGAUAUCUUCCAGAGCCUCAUAAAGAACCUGGACACCGAAGGCCGCUAUCUUUUCCUUAAUGCAGUUGCGAACCAACUGCGAUACCCGAAUAACCAUACGCAUUACUUUUCGUUCGUCCUUCUGUACUUAUUUGCAGAGGCGAGCCAGGUGAGCUUUUAGCAUGUCACUUUCUAGUUUUGCUGCCAUUCUAUGACAACUUUGUGUCUGCAAGUUUGAUCGUAGUUUUCUCCGUGCUCUUCGUUUUCCAUCGUGUUGAGUUUCUGAUAUUUUCUUUCUAUUUGCAUCUUUCUAUUUGCAUGGUUUUAAAUGAGGCAAAUACAGACUUGAGCCUCGUGUUCUUCUUUUCUUUGUUUUCACUAAUGUACUCGAAUCAACACGAAUGAGCUGCUGCAACUUUGAUUUAAAGAGAGUAUUAUAUGUCAAAAGUACUUUUUGAGGUGUGGGAAAAGACAACUGGGCUGACGUAUCAGAAUGGAAAUUUAGUAGGAUAAAAGUAAUAACAAAUAACUCUUGAGUUAUUUUGGAGAACUGAUGUUGAAUUGGUGAAUAAACUAAUACUGUGUGGACUUCGUUUAUACAUAUGUUGAGAGGCUUGUUUUUUGUUUGAUUGUAGGAAAUCAUCCAGGAGCAGAUAACAAGAGUGCUCUUAGAACGCUUAAUAGUAAACCGCCCUCAUCCGUGGGGGCUCCUUAUAACCUUCAUUGAGCUUAUCAAGGUAUUUCACUAAUUUUUUCGUAGUUAUUGCUUGUCACCUUGUAUCUCUUGCUAAGUUGUCCUAAGGCAAGAAUCCUAUUGCGAUGUAGAAUCCACGCUACAACUUCUGGAACCGGUCAUUUACUCGGUGUGCACCAGAGAUUGAGAAGUUAUUUGAAUCAGUGUCAAGGUCGUGUGGUGGUCCUAAGGCUGUGGAUGAUGGAAUUCUCUCUAGCAGCGUGUCAGAUGGCAAUCACUGAGAUAUUGGACUGUAUAUUUCUAUUUGAUGAACAGAAAUUGAAAGAACAUUUGUGAGACUUUUGUAUGCUGGUUGUUUUUUUUUCUUCUCUGUUGUAUUUAUUUGAAGUAAAACUGGAAUGGGGCAACAGUCAAACCCUUCUCGUUGUUCGUCUUAUCGGAGCACUUCUUAUGCCUGAAUUGAUUUAUAAAUGUCCUUCCAAAUAUUUAGCUUUCGGAACAUUUAGAAAUGUUCUUUAUCGGAGCACUUCUUAUGCCGGAGCACUUGUUAGCUAUGCUCUGGGCUUAGUCAUCUAUUAAAUCGCUACAAAUAUUUAGAAUUCAUUUCAUAUACCGAACUGAUCCAUUGAGCGGAAUUCGUAGGUUGGAUCGAUCUUAUAGAUUAUAUACUUUAUAGUAAUGAUCUCAAAUUGCCUUUAUAAUUCUGCAAGGAACAACUAUUAGGAACCUUCUAAUGCCUGUAUUGAUUGGAUGCCACCGAGUUAAAGGUAGGAUGCUGCUGUGGUUAAGAAAAUUCUUGCUAAAACCCAAUUAAUGUCGCAAAAAAUUCUGACGGAGCUAAGCCCCUUAGAAAUAAUCGUCCGUGGAGAUUUAGUGCCGAUUUUAAUAUCCCGACUUGAUCGCAUUUAAUCAGCGGUUCGACCGUGAGACAGCUACUUCUCACGUUAGGAUCUAAUACAUUUUCGCUAGACUACUAGUCAGUGCACGUGGUUUUUGGUACAAAUAUUAUUUAGUAAAAACUUUUAUAUAAUUAUUUUUUAUAUGGUUAAACAUUUAUAUAUCAAAAACAUUACUACGUGGUCAAACCUUAAGAUUAUAGUGGGUUUUUUUUUUACUAACUACGUUACUUUAAAUUAUUUAUAGAGAAAAAAAAUUAUCAUUCUGAAUUGAACAAAAUCUAAUAUUACCACUUUGUAAUGUGACUCAUUUAAUUUUGCUUAAUUUUUACAUUUAUCCUAAUAAGGAAGAUAAAUUAUAUAUUUUCUUAAGAAUAUCUAAUAGAUAUUGUAAUUCUAAUAUUUUUGUGAGAAUCUAGAUAUUUAAAGGAAUUCUAAUAAUCUAUAUAUAUAAUUUUUUUUAGUCCAGGUUUGACGUGAGAGAGAAAAAAUCCUCUUGCUUCUCUUCUCUCUCUACAUUUUCUUUGGAAUUUUCAUUUACAUUUUCGGAAUUUUGGAGGGUGGAUGAUAGUGGGAGACUCUAGCAGCCUUCAACAACGAUUUAUCCAGCACAGAGAUCUCCGCAUAAUAUUCUAUCAAAAAUCGAAGAGGCUGUAAGAUGAGUGCGACGAUUUGAAAAGUUCUUUUACUGAAACUACUGUAAGUAUGAUAUUUUGCCGAUGGUUGCUUUUCUACAAUUGGUAUCCAAUACUUUUUCGAUGGUUGCCUUUUUACAAUUGGUAUCAAAGCGUUUUUACUCAGUCUUUUGUUUGUCUUGAAUAUCAAUCCAUUUAUUUGUGCAGAUCUAUCUUUUGUGUAUAGAUUACUUUUGGUGAUUGAUUAGUUUUGGCUUAUUUGCAAUACUUUUAGAUAUCCAAUUACGAAUUUUGUGAGGUUUUGUAGAGUUUUUCUUAUAAUUACCAACAUUUUUUUUUUUUUUUUGUGAAAAUCAGAUUUGUAGCUCACUCUGUUUUUUUUAAAACAAACUAAUUACCGUUUAAUUUUUUUUUUAAAAAAAAGUGUUACUAUUUCUUGUGUGGGGCCGUGCAGCCAAUGCAGCUGCAUGUGCUGCUAGGCCCGGUCCUAGCCCGCCCACGUGCGGCUAUAAAGGACAUCGGGCCCAGCCCUGCUUGAGCUCCCGCGCACUUUGUGCACAACCCGCCCUGCCCAUCUUGAGCCCGCCUGCACGUAGCCGUGCUAGCUGUUGGACCCGGCCUUGCCUGAGACCUACUCCUCGCACUGUGCACAGGCUAUAAAGCUGGCCCGAAUUUUGUUUUAUUUAUCAAAAAAGAAAAAAAGAAAAGGCAGACUACCGAUCUAUAUCCAUGUAUGAAAUUGGGAACCCAAAAAUUGUUCGGCAGCCUCCUCCUCACUCCAGUGGGGUCCCUUUUUUUUUUCACUCUCUCACUCUCUAUCUCUCUCUAGGGGUGGCAAUCCAGCUCGCUGUUCGCGAGCCAGCUCGUGUUCGGCUCGAAAUGAACUCGAGAUCGGCUCGUCGUUUAGUAAACGACCCGAACACGAGCUGAAUUUUUCAGCUCGUUUAAUAAACAGCCGAACAAGAGCUGGGUCAGCUCGCUCCUGUUCGCUCGACAACAGCUCGAAUACAUAUAUUUUAUAUUAUAUAAUUUAUUUAAUUUAUAUUUUUAUAUAUAAAUAAAUAAUUAUAUAUAAAUAUAUAUUUUAUUAUUUAAUUUUUAGCAAAAUAAAAAUAUAAAUCGAGCUUAAUUAUAAAAAAACUCAUUUAUAUGUAAAGUUUCAACUAUUACAUCAAAGUUUAAUGGAUAAGAUUUUAAAUUUAUUUUUUAUAAUAUAUUAAUAUAAUAUUUUUUAAUUUAUUGUUCGUUGAUGGCCACUCGUGAGCCAGCUCGUGUUCGGCUCGUUAAUAAACGAGCCGAACACGAGCUGGAUUUUUCGGCUCGAUACUUUAGUGAGCCAGCUCGUGUUCGGCUCGUUUAAUAAACGAGCCGAACACGAGCCGACCCAGCUCGCUCGUGUUCGCUCGUUUACAACCCGCUAUCUCUCCCACACACUCUACACCCUUUUUUUUUUGUUUUCCUUCUCUCAACACCUUUUCCUUUUUGUUUUUCUUUAUAAUAAGUGUAAAAUUUUUUGCAUGAACAACCCUAUUAAAAAUAGUCGAUAUAAUAAAAUUAAAAUUUCAUAUGGUGUAAAAAAAAAUUGUACACCGAGUGUAUAAGACAUGCUCAUAUACAAUCUAUAAUUUGAAUUCUUUUUUAUUUUUUUCCUACACCAAGUGUAAAAUUUUAUCGCAUGGACCAACCCUAUUUUUUAAUAGUCCAUAUAACAAAAUUAAAACUUCAUACAGUGUAAAAAAAGUUAUACACUGAGUGUAUAAGACAUGCUCAUAUAUAAUCUAUAAUUUGAAUUGGGAACCCAAACCUUUUUUUUUUUGUUUUUGCCUACACCAAGUGUAAAAUUUUAUUGCAUGGACUAAUGUGUAGGCAAUAUUUCAAUUCUUCUAAUUUUUAUUCAAUAUAUNCGAAAACGCCCAGCCCGAGCCUCGGGUUGGCUGAGAAGCGGCCAAAGUCGAUGGCUGUACCGGUACAGCCAUCACUCCCGUACUGGUACACAGCCCUCUGAAGGCAACCCGAGAGCUAACCAAAAAUCCGAUUUUUCGGGUUUUCGUGCUCGCCUUUAAACCUCACUUCUCGGGAUGCGAGCCAUAGGUCGGAACACUGUCAACGACCCACCAGAAAAUCUGGAAUUGCUCAGCACACAGCUCGAACACUCGAACCUCGCAAUUUGCAAAGGUCCAGUGUGUUACAGACAUGGAACCAGCUAAAAGUAAUUUUUGGGCAAAACUUCAACUACAAGGCUACAUGUGUUAAAUUUGAAAUUCCAGUUGCACAUGAAGGACCGGAAGCACACCAUGGGUGAGCACCAUUGUCACACCCGAUGCCCCUUUUGAAAGUAUUUUUGAAAAAUCUUUUAUUUUGAAAUUAGAGUUAAAGAAAAAUCUUUUGUUUUGAAAAAUCUUCACGUAGCGCCCAACCUUCAUUGUAAUAUACUGAACUAUCACAAAGGCAAAGUCAUGGUAUGAGAUGAUGUCAGUGCUUUUAGAGAGUUUUGUGUUGAGUUGGAGCUAUUCUAUGCGAAAGAUAUGCGAAAACGGAACUUAAAAGUUAACUCAGCUAAAAUUUGAGUUUUAGAGUGGUUCUGGAUGCUCAGAAGUUGUUGUGGACGCUCGAAAGUUUAGAGUUGAGGAGAGUUGCCAAUUCGAAUGAUCUGGUGGAUCGGACACUCGAAAAAGUUUGGGUGGAGUUUCGGACGCCCUGAUGUGGCGAGAGUUAAAUAGAAAGGUUGAAGUCACUCCUUACGCAAGAUUGCAAAUGCUUGAAAGUAUUGUAACAGCCUAAAAGUUUAAGGAUAAGGCUGUGAAAGGCGGAAAGCGAGGAGCAGGUGAGUCAUUAUGUAGAUUUUGGAUGCCCAAGGGGGCGGUUAGGGUGUUUGAAAGGCUGAGCUAGUUUUGGGCAUUUGAGUGCAAUAGUGGACGCCUCAAAACCAUCAAAUCAAUGAGCCAUAGGAUGCCCUAAUGUGGUUCCAGGCGGUCGAAUUGUCACACCCCGCGACCGCCCGCCCAUUUGGCCGGGUCGCGGCGCCGCAACAAACCGCCGAAUGGACAGGGUUUCCCCUGUAUCGCAGACAGAGUCUCCCCUGUACAUUCAAGGCGUCGCAAUCAAUAUAAUGUACGAAGUUCCAACCAGGAACACAUUUCAAUCAAAGAUUGCAUAAGGAAGUAUCAAAAACAUAAUCUACUUGCUAUUACAAGCAUUCACAUUAUUUAGAUACAUUUUACAUCACAAUUUCAUUGUACAUUUAACUUCCAAAUACAAUCAUGCUUUUAUUACAAAUUAUUACAAUCUUAUUCCUUUCAUUUUCUUACAUCCCUAAGUAAAGCCGACUCAGGGUACCGCUAUCUCUGGUCUCGGUGGUAGGGCGCUAACUAUGGAGCUACGCCCUCGCCUCGCGCCGCCGUGUCCCUCACGCGUGAACCUGUAACACCCUAAAACAACGUGGGGUGAGAACCAACUCCAUGGUUCCCAGUGGGUACGGCCACCCAAGGGAAAUGCUCGACCAACAGGUUCAAAGGAGGCAACUGCAGGUUAGUUUAAUAAACAGAUAGAUAUAUAUAUCUUGAUUAUACAACGAAUAAAACCAUGCAUUGCCUCACAAACGUAAUAAUGCAAUGUUAUAUGCAAAUCAUGCAAUGAUGCAACUAUACAACCAACUAGCAGUUCAUUCGAUACUACUUUCAAUUCUGCUAACCAUAGCUCAUCCGUUUGAUAUCUAAGGUUUCCUCUAUCUUAGAUUCUUGUCAAUCACCGUUUUAAUCAUAAAGUUUCAUCUACCUUUACAAGGCUAACCACCCGACUCGGUUUUGAGUCAAUCGUCUGCGGAGUACCGCACUAGAACCAGGCUCGAGGCGAUGGACGUCUCACAUACACCUCAGCCCUAAAUCCUCUCGACUGGGAUACCAAAUCCAUAACUCAUAAUGCAUACUUGUUGUACAUUCAUUUGGCUAUGACCCAAUCUUACCGGUUAACCAUGUUAACCCCAAUAACUCACCAUCCAAAAUCCCUUAAUAGCGGGGGAUUCGAACCUCCCUAGGGACCGUCAUCUAGGGGUACUUUACCACGCCCAGUGGUGACCAACUCCGGAGCGCACCGCCCGAGGGGAGCUACCUCCUUCAAGCCAAGACGUAACGUGAGUAUCGAUCCAAUCCUCAACUUGAGAAUUCAUAGCCACUCGUCACAAUGCCAUUGUCAUAAUAGGUUUUCUACCUAUUUAAUCAUGCCACUCUCUAUGUCAACUUGGACCAAUGUCAAUAUGGUUAAACUAUGUUUAACAACCACUUUCUUGAUGCCAAUCAUGUCUCUAUUUUCAUUGUCACCCUUGUUUACUAUUGUCUAAGUCCGACUUAUGUUCUUUAACAAUAGGUUUAAUGCCACACAUGAUUCCAACCUAACUUCUUUGACACUAGGUUAAUGUCUAACCUAUGUUUAUUCACACUAGGUUCAUAUUGUCCAUGUUCAACCUAGGUUCCUGACUCUAGGUUAAGUGCCACUCAAUCUAAUAUAUGUCCAAUGUCAAGCUCUCUAUUAUAGAGUUAUCGAUCCAAUUCAUGCAAUUAUCUAGCAUUUACAUAGCAUAUUUAUCAUGCAUUCUACGAUAAUUAUUAUAUAGCAACCAUACAAAGUAUUUGCCUAGCUUUUACAUCAUGUAAUUUACAUGCAUUCUUUUAGUGUUAACUACAUGCAUCAUCUCAAUGCCGACAUACAUUACAACUAGCAUGUACUUUCCCAAUGCAUUAUUAUGCAAUUAUCCUGUAGUAUGCAUUUUCAUAAUGUCAAUAUGCUUAUUGCCAUCUAACAUGUGUCCAUAUUUAGCAAUUUCUCAAACUCAUAUAAUUAACAAUAUGUUAACAUUCAUUUAUAUGCUCAUGUUCUCUAAUACAUGUCAACAUGAAUUUCAUAAUGCUAAAUGCCCCUAGCAUGUAUUUCACUAAGCAUACAUACUAAUAUGCAAAUUACAAACUAGCAUGCAUUUAUACAAUGCUAAUAUGCCCGUAUGCACAUACACGUAUGCAUCAACAAGGUUCCAUAUUUCGUUUUGACAUGCGGGGCGACCAAGUCCCUUCGGUAAACAGAACCCACCUCAAAUCGCUUUCCGAUUGCUUGUCGACACUUGCAAUCGGCCUCCCGCGGCACGCGGCACCCGGCACCCGGUUUGGCCCGAUCUCUCGCGCGACCACUCGAACGGCCUCCAAUCCACGAUGCGGAAAUUAAAGGUCUUCGGUUAUGUGCCACGAUGCUUCAAAUCCAUUUUCAUGAAUUUACGAUAUCUCCUCGGCCCUCCAGGCGAAAACGAAGCCUAAACAUCUGUUUCUUUAAUAACUUUACAAUGGCUCGACGAAUCGCCGAACCGACUUCGCCAACGUGUUCGUAUACCUAGCAAUUAGGUUUACAUAGGGUCAAAAUAGAUCAAACCCAUAUAUUUUACAAAACUCCAUUCGGAGCCUUAACAUGCAAUUAACCUCUAAAUAAUGCAAAUUAAAUAGAGAGAGUAUGUUUAGAACACUCUAGAUACUACUAGAAUAUCAUUCAUGAAGGAUUUAAACAAAAUCCCAAACGCUUACCAAAACGUGAAUGCCGCGACGAAAACACGCCGCUCCAACGGACGCACGAAAGCUCGAUCCGUCGCCUCCAACGCGUUUACAAGCAUCUUCUCCACCAACCCUCCAAUUUUUAGAGAGAGAUUUAGAGAGAUGAGAGAGAUAUCUAGAGAGAGGUAGAUGUGUUUCUCUCUCUAUCUCCAUGAGUAUGCGUGUGUGUGUGUGUGUGUGUGUGUGUGUGUGUGUGUCGUGUGUGUGCUCGGGCUGAAGGAGGGGAAGAAGCACAUUGCUUUUUAUAUAUUACACCCCAAAACACUAUUCACUCCAGGCAGUUUUUGCAGUUCGGAACAAUUGGAGCCCUUCUGAAUGUCCGUUUGAUCUCAAAUUUGACAGGCAGGCUCAGUUUAACGUACCGAGUAAGAAUAUAUUUUAAGUUUUCAGUUUCAACCCCAUUUGGUCACCGAAAAUUGUACCGAACUGUAAUCUUUAUCAGAUAGCUGUCGUAUUCUAUUUCUCACUCUACGGGUGUCAGAAAAAUAUGAAACUUUAAAUCUAGCCUCAUAAAAUAUUUCUGACAUAUCCUCCAAUUUUCAUAAUUUUCUGAGACUGUGCAUUUUCUGCUAAUUUAUCUGUCCCGUUUCCAACAGAAAAUUCUAAAUCUUCUGUUUUCAUUCCGAUUUCAGCACAAGUCACUUCUGACUUAUGUUUUACUUCUACAAAUUCAAUAAAAAUAGUUUCUCACACUAUUUUUAUUUAUUUUUAUUUUUAUACUAAAAUCUGGUAUGUUACAUUCUCCACCCCUUAAAAAGAAUUUCGUCCGCGAAAUUCAAACCACGCCUCAAUUCAGCUCCGCGAGCAAUUGAGGGUACCAACUCUUUCUCCCACUCCAGAGCGGCUUCACACUAUCGUUGUUCCAGAAGCGGCUCAUACCGAAGGACGUGGGUUUAAUCCUAAACUCAUUUGCAAAGUGUGAUACAAACGUGCAUCACGGGUCUUACAAGUCAUAGUGGCAGCGCAAGUCGGUACUCGACGACUCUACGCGCUCCAACACCACUCACCAUUCGAUACACAAAGAACUCUUCUUUGCACUUACCUUCCCUUCAGGGAAUACAUUCUGAUUCGAUCACCGACAUUGCUUAGGAGCAAUAUCACCGGUGCAUCGCUCCGUCGCGAGUGCUCUAAUUCGCACUGACCCUUAACUUUAACGCGAGAUGGCCUACUUCGGCACAUCUCAAGAAUGAAUCAUUACUUAAUUCUGUUUGGUUUAUCACCUGAAUCGGAAUCAAAAUAAAUAAUUCCCAUUGUCGGUGUUUGGUUCAGGUGGAUAUAAAAAACGUAAUCAAAUUAAUAUACUAACAUUAUAUUUAUAAUAUAUUAAUUUAAAUUCAAAUUAAAUAUUAAAUAUUAAAAAUUUACAUCAAAAUUUUGAAAUAAUGAUAAAAUUUUAAAUCUAUUUUUUUAAAAAAAUUUAAACUUUUAAGUUGAGUGGAUAAUUCAAAAUAUGAAACUAAAUUUUGAUUUAUUCAAAUUCAAACUUAAAAUUAGAAUUUAAAUUUUAAUUUGAAUCCAUAAAUUUAAUUUAAGUUUGAAAUAAAAGUUGAAUAAAACUUCAUAUAAAUUAAAAUUUAAUUUAAAUUCAAAUUUAUAAGUUAGAUUCAAAAUACUUGAUUAAAUUUUAAUUUUUAAUUUAAGUUCAAAUUAAAAUUUAAAAUUAUAUAUUUAAUUUUUAAAUUUUAACUCAUAUUUUAAUUAAAAAAUUAAAAAAAUAAAUUUAAUUUGAAUAAAUAUCCAUUCCGUCCGGAUUCAACUUCCAAUCCGGCCUUCUAGGCCGGAUUGAAAAAAGAGGCGAUUGGGGGAUUCCCAUUCCACUCGGGAAUCGGAAUCGGAAUGAAACUCCCGCGUACCAAAUACCCACAAACGGAUUCACCCAUUCCGAUUCCGAUUCUAGGGUAAAAAAGGAGCGAACCAAACACGCCCUUAUACUAUGAUGAGAUGAACUUGUAUCCAUAUUUUGGAAGUUGUAAAUGUAAAUCAGCUGAGGUUCAUGUUGAAUGUGAUGUAAUAGAUAGAAUGUUCUCUCUUUUAUUCACUUUGUAUGUACUUGUGAUUCUUGCUCUUACUUGUAUAGCACUUGUGGUGCUUUUAUCGUCGUUUGUAUGGAUCAUGUAUGCAUUUGAAUUGUUCCUGGACAAAUUCUUGCACAUGAUCUGGUUGUUGAGCCUUGGGCGGACAAGGGAGGUGCUGUCCGUUCGGUGUUUGUUCGACGUGCCCAAACCAACCAAAUUGGCGUUUGCGGGGCGUGACAGUGAUUUACUAAAGGCAUAGUCACUGAUUCAUUAUGAUGUUCAUACCAACUCAUGGCAUAUGUUCUAUAUUUCUAAACCUCCAGUUUAGGAAGUAAACAAGUAUUAUGCAAAUAUUUCUACUUGACUACACAAGUAUAUUGUAAUAUACCGAAUUUCUAAUUUAUGAAGUUACGAUGUAUGUUAGCUUAGAAAGCCAUUGGAAUCAUUCCGGCGAAGUUUGGGAGCAUUCGGGUGCUUCGGUGCGUAUAGGGCAUGAAAACGGAACCCGAAAGGCUAUGUUGGACCGUGGACUAAAUCUAGCAUUAGCGUGGAUGAAAAGAUGAUGAAAACAUAUUCGAAAACAUGUUUGAAGAGUCUCGGUUCGAUUUGAAAUAAAUCGGAGGUCAAACGAGCGAAAACGGAGUGAAAACCGACGAAGGCUGAAAAUGCUGAAAAAUUGGCUAAGUCUGGAACUUUGGUCCUUCGGGGACCGGUCUCUCACUGCCUGGGACCGGUCCCAGAGACUCGAAAAUGCCCAGUUCGGGCUGCUGCGAGAAAAGCAUUGUGGAGGGGCUUAAGUGCAAAAUGACACUUAUGAGAGUGUAUAGAGAGGAUCCUUUCUCUCUUUCUCUCAUUUCUCUCACUCUCCCACACUAAAACCUCUCCCUCUCUCUCUCUAGAAAGAAAGGAAGGAGAAGAAGAGGAGAAAGAAAGGGACGAAGAAGAUGAAGGAGAAGAGGCCAAGAAUAUGGAGCUUCAUCUUCAUUUUCUUCCUUGAGCCAUUGGAGCAAGCUUAGAGAGGUAAGCCUUAUUGUAAGGUACCGGACUUCUAAAAUCAUGAAGUUAUGGUUUAUGUGAGGUUAGAAAGCCAUUCGAAUGGUUCCGGUGAAGUUCGGUGAAGUUCGGAGGCAUUCGGGCGUUUCGGUGCGCAUAGGUGCGGAAACGGGACCCGAAAGGCUAUGUUGGGCCGUGAGCUAAAUCCGGCGUUAGUGCGGAUGAAAAGAUGAGGAAAAUACGCUUGAGAACAUGUUUGGAGAGUCUCGGUUCGAUUUGAGACGAAUCGGAGGUCAAACGAGCGAAAACGGACGAAAACGGGCGAAAAUGCUGAAAAUUUGGCUAAGUCCUUGAGGCUGAGUUCUGGACCUUCGGGGACCGGUCUCUCAGCCAAGGACCGGUCUCUCAGGGACCGGUCCCUCACCGCAAGGACCGGUCCCCGAACGCGAAAAACGCCCAGUUUGAGCUGAUGCGAGGUUAGAAGAGUUGGGGGGCUUAUUUGGAAAUGUUACAAUGUGAGAGGGGGUUAAGAGAGGACUCUCUCUCUCUCUUUCUCUCAUUCCCUCACUCUCCCUCAUGUUUCUCUCUCUCUCUCUCUCUAAACGAAAGAAAAAGAAGAAGGGGAGAAAGAAGAGAAGAAGAAGAAAAAGAAGAAGAAGAGGAAGGAGAAGAAGGAGAAGAAGAUCAAGAAGGAGAUCAACUCCACCUUCUUCUCUCCCUCCUUGCUAUUGGAGCAUCUUGAGAGGUAAGCCCUUAGCCCUCUCAUGGUAAAUCCCUAGAUGUAGGGUUUUGAUCUCUAGAAAUGGUUUAAUUGGAUUCCUAGCAAGCUUAAUAGAUGUUUAAUGCUAGAAUCUAGAGAUUUAAAGGUAGGUUUUUACCUAAUUGGAAUCUAGGGUUCCAAAAUGGCGUCUUGAUAUAUAUGAGGGUUUGAUCUCUUUUAACCCUCUGUAAACCUAAUUGCUAGGUCUACGAACGCGUUGGCGAAGACGGUUCGGCAAUCCGGCGAGCCGUUACAAAGUUAUUAAAGAAACGGCCGUUUAGGCUUUGGGUUCGCCGGGAGGGCCGAGGCGACGUCGUAAAAUCAUGGGAUUGGAUUUGGAGCACCGUAGCAGCAAGGCGAAGACCUUUAACUCUUGAAACAACGAAGCGGAACGCUCUUGGAGAACAACUGUGAGAUCGGGCCCAAACGGGUGCCGAGUGCCGCGGGAGGCCGAUUGCAAGUGUCGACAAGCAAUCGGAAAGCGUUAAAAGGUGGGUUGUGCUUACCGAAGCAACUAGGUCGCCUUUAUGUCUAAGAAAGACUAAGAAUCCAUGUUGAUGCAUAUAGAUGUAAAUGGAGCAUGAAAAUGAUGCAUGUUAAUGUAAAUGUAAAUGCCGAGUAGAAAUGCAUAAUGAUAAGAUGCAAGUAGCUAAACAAUGCAUGAUAAUAAUGAUAUGAUGUAAAUGCUAAGUAGAUGCAUAUAACAGAUUAUAUAUGUAUGUGAAUAAGAAUGAAAUGCAUGUUGAUAACUCUAGAAUGAGUAGAAUGCUUAGUUGGACAACUAGCUUGUGAAUAGAUCGAGUGGCAUCUAACUUAGUGUUAAAGAACAUAGGUCAUGAGUAGACCUAGAAUCAAAUAGAUCGAGUGGCAUCCAACCUAGUGUUAAUAAACAUAGGUCGGACAUAGUGAUGUGGAACCUAGAGUUUUAUAACCUAGGCUGUGGAAUAGUAAACCUAGAGUGGCAUUGAACCUAGGUUGUUGAGUAUAGUGGUAGCAACCACUAGGAUGUUUUAGGUCGACAGCAUAGGGUUGGCUAUGGACCCUCGACCUGUGGAAGUGGAUUCCGGAAUCCCAGGACUUGUGCUAUGCUAACCUUGGUAUCAAGGCUAGGGCGUGUGCGACGAUUUCGCCGCCGAGGUUGAUACCAAGGAUGGAUUGGGAGGUGAGCGCGCAGAGAUCACCGCCCGGGGCUUGAACCAUUGACGUGGCGUGUGCGACGAUUUCGCCGCCGGAUGGUUAAGCCAGUUUGUGGAUUAUGCCGCCAGAUCGACUUGAGCCAUUGUUGGGUGAGGUGCGAUUCGUUCGCCGCCAGAUGGCCAAGUCAAGGGACUUGAACCAGUGUUCGGCGUGUGCGACGACUUCGCCGCCAGCUGGUUAAGUCACAGAGUGCGGCCAGUGCGCGGACUAUCCGCGGAUGAUUGACUCGAGGCCGAGUCGGGUGGUUAGCUUGAUUAGGUUAAUAGAAACCUUAUAAGCUAGUGAUAAUGGUAAGAGCUAAGGUAAUAGAGACCUUAGAGGCAAUGUGAACUUGAGUUGUGAACUAAGGUAGUAGAACCUUAGAGGCUAAAUGACAUGAGCUAAAGUUAGUAGCGCUGAAUGUAGAAUCAAUUGAUCUACUGAAUGGUUGCAUAUUGUAUAGAACUGCAUAAUAUUCAUAUCGCACGUUGCGAGGCAUGUUAUUUGUUAGUUGCUUAAUAACUGAUGAUAUAUAUAUCUAUGGAUGUUUUUGGACUAACAUGAUUGCAGUGCCUCCUUGGACCUUUUGGUCGAGCUUUUCCCUUGGGUGGCCGUACCCACUGGGAACCAUGGAGUUGGUUCUCACCCCACGUUAUUUUGGGGUUUUACAGGUUCGCACGUGAGCGGCGCUGCGGCGCAAGGAAAGGGCGUAGAUCCAUAGAUAGCGCCCUACCCAGAGACCAGAGCUAGCAAUACCCCGUCGACAUAGCUUAGGGGACUAGAGGGAAAUGAAAAGAACACUAUGUAUCAAACUGUAAUAAGUAAAUGAUGUAAUAACUUAGAUUGUAUUUGAAGGAAUCAAAUGAGAACUGUGAUGUAAAAAUGUAUGAAUGUGAAUGUUUGUAAUAACAUAGGAUGUGUUAUGUUGUUGAUACCUUCCUUAUGCAAUCUGUUUGUUAAGUACUGUUCCUGGUUGGAACCUUUGUAUUGUAUUGAUUGCGAUGCCUUGAACGUACAGGGGAGACUCCGUCCGCAGUACGGGGGAAACCCGGUCCGUUCGGCGCUGUCGGCGCCGCGACCUCGGCCAAAUAGGCGGGUGGUCGCGGGUCGUGACACUUAUGCUCUCUAAUGAUAGAACCUUAUAGAUGGGUUUUUGAUCCCUAGAAUUGGAUUUAGAGGAACCCUAGCAUGCUAUCUAGGUGGAUUUCCCCCAUUUCAUAGAUCGAUUUGGUGGGUUUGGCUACGGUUAACACCUAGGGCUCCAAAUUGGGACUUUGCUUAGUAAUGAGGUUUGAUCUAAAUUGACCCUAUACAAACCUAAUUGGGGGUAUAACGAACGCGUUGGUGCACUCGGUUCGUUGAUACGAAGAGUCUACGCGAAGUUAUUAACGAAAACGUUAUUUUUCGUACAGAUAGCCGCAGCACGCGGAAUAAACGUCUAAAAAUCACGAAAACGGGUCCGGAGCAUCUUGGCAUCAAGAUAAGUAUAGAGCAAUUCCUAGAUUUCAGAUUGGUGGCCGUUCGGGUGGUCGCGCAAGAGUUCGGGCCAAACCAGACAACGAGUGCCGCGGGAGGCCGUUUGCAAGUGUCGACAAGCAAUCGGAACGCGUUAAGAGGUGGGUAGUGUUUACCGAAACGACUAGGUCGCCUCUAUGUCUAAGAAUAGUGUGGUUUCAUAUUGAUGCAUGCUAAUGACAUAAAGUAGAAAUGCUAAUGAGAAUGCAUGUUACAUGUUAUAGAAAUGCUAAGUGAACGCAUAUGAUUUGAUAUAGAAAUACUAAAUGGAAUGCAUGUUGACCUAAUGAAAGAAUGCUAAGUAAAUGCAUGAGUUGAUGUUAAUUUACAUGAGCUAGAUGUCAAAUGAAUGCAUAGAGUAUAUGCUAGUCAAGAAUGCAUAAGUUAAAUACUAGAAAAAUGCGUAUUGACAUAAUGUAAGAAUGUUAAGAAAAUGCAUGUUGGCAUGUUAUACAAAUGCUAAAUGAAGCAUGAGUUAAAUGCAUGUAUAAGAUGUAUGUUAAGUAAACACAUGAACUAAGUGCAUGAUUGAGAUGCUAAUGAUGAAUGCAUAAGACAUAUGCUUAGAUAUGAAUGUGAAUUAAGAUUAAUGAACUCUAAGUAGAGUAAAGAACUUGACAUUGUAAAGUAAGAACAUCGAGUGGCAUGCCAAUUGAGAAUCCUAAGUAUAAAUAACUAGGAUGAUGAGUGGCAAUGAAACCUAGUGUCAUUGAACAUAGGUUAAGAAUUGAACCUAGCGUCAAGGACAUAGGUUGAACAAGAGUGAUAAUGAACCUAGUGUUAAUGAACAUAGGUUAACGAGAAAGGCAUUAAACCUAAUGUUAGAGAACAUAGGUUGUGAAAUAAAAGUAAAGAACCUAGAGUCAAGUCAACCUAGGUAGAAAAGAAUAAUGGACCUAGUGUUAACAACCUAGACUAUGAGUAUGAAAGCAACAAACCUAAAGUAUUAACUUAGGUUGAGUAAAGGCUUGGACCUAAAUAGGUCAAUUCCAUAGGGUUAAGACCAAUCCUUGAGUAAUGAGAAAUGGAUUCCAGAAUCUCUAAGAAUGAAGGCUGCUAGUGCAGCGGAUAAGGCUUGUGACCGAGCGCAAGUGAAUCGAGACUGUGGGUAUGUUGGCUCUCCUCACCCGAUAGUGAUUCAACGGGUAUGUUGGUUCUCCUCGCCCGGUAAAAGAGAUGGCUAAUGAGAAUUUUAACUGUGGGUAUGUUGGUUCUCCUCGCCCGACAGUGAUUCAAUGGGUAUGUUGGUUCUCCUCGCGAGGUAUGCCAUGAGCUAGAGCUCGAGAGACUUGUGGUCCAGGGUUCAAUGGCAUUCCUCACCCCAUGGCAGACCUACAGUCGAGAGGAUUUAAGGCUGAGGUGCAUGUGAUAGUUCCUUCACCUCGAGCCUGAUUGAGCGCGGACUAUCCGCGAUUGAUUGACUCAAGACCGAGUCGAGUGGUAUAAGUAGGCUAAGGUAAAGUAACCUUAGGAAAGGAUGAAAAAUGAGCUUAAUAUGGGUAAGGUGUGAGUACCCUUAGUAAAGAGUAAAGAUCAGCUAAUGAGUAAAGAAUGAUUAUGCUAGGGAAUAGCAAUCAAUAAAGCAUGGCUAAGAACUAAGAAUAGCUAAUAAGUGACGAAUGAUUAGCAAUAAAGAUUGGCUAAGAGUAAAGAAUGGUUAAGAAUAAAGAGUAGAAUCGAUAAAUCUACUUUCAUGAGUUGUAUGAUUUACAUAUUGCAUAUUCGUGAGGCAUGUUAUCUGUUAGUUGCAUAAUUACAUGAUGAUAUAUAUGUCUGUAGAUGUUUUUGGACUAACAUGAUUGCAGUGCCUCCUUGGACCUAUUGGUCGAGCUUUUUCCUUAGGUGGCCGUACCCACUGGGAACCAUGUAGUUGGUUCUCAUCCCACGUUGUUUUGGGGUGUUACAGGUUCGCAUGUGAGCGGCGCGGCGGCGCGAGGCAAGGGCGUAGCUCCCUAGUUAGCGCCCUACCACCGAGACCAGAUAGCAGUAUCCCGAGUCGGCUACUUAGGGUUAUAAAAAUGAAAAGAACCAAAAAUGUAAUAAUUGUAAGAACUUGAUUGUAUUUGGAUGUAUGAAUCAAAGAAUGUAUAAUAUAAUGUAAAAUGUAAUAUGUGAGAUGAAUGCUUGUAAUAGCAAGUAGAUUUAUGUUUUUGAUACUUCCUUAUGCAAUCUUUGGUUGAAAUGUGUUCCUGGUUGGAACUUCGUAUAUUGUAUUGAUUGCGACGCCUUGAACGUACAGGGGAGACUCUGUCCGCUAUACAAGAAAAACCCUGUCCGUUCGGCGGUCUGUUGGUGUGCCCGAAACCGACCAAAGAUGCGGGCUCGGGGCGUGACAGAUAAGAUGGUAUCAGAGCAUAAAGUAGAGAAUGGGAAAGUGGUUUAGAUAAACCUAGGAGACCCUAGGAUAGUGAACUAUAGGAGAUUAAGACUCGUGAGAGAUGAGAACAUGUGACUUGGCGAAAGACGAGUUGAUUGGGUUAUGUUGUAAACUUCUAAAAAGGAGAUUUGAGGUAGAUCCAAGGUGUGGUUUAUUCUCAACCGAGGGUGUUCAUGUUGGACGCGUACAACAUGAAACCGNGUACAUCUUGAGCCUAGUGGUGUAAUUCGCCGAGGCUGGCGGCUUACCCACUGGGAACUAUUGUUAAUAGUUCUCACGCCCUUUUGGUGGUUGUUUUUACAGAGCCUGUUACAGGAGAGGCUAGGGAUCGUGGCAAGGGAGUCGCGCCUAGCUAGGGACUACUAGGAGCGUGCUAGUCGAUCACCUUGCUACUCGGGCUACGGCCGAGGGUGAUGUCCAUAUAUAUAUAUAGAGAGACCACCUUUGUAUCUAUUCUUUUUGUACACCCGUGAUGUAUAUUUACUUUCGGGGUUGAGAUUAUAGUAGUGUUACUUCUCCUUUUUGCUGAGAUCAUGGUUUGUAUACACUUUGUAUUUUGACUUGGAUUGGAUACUCGUUGUAUAUCGACUUGUACUUUGCUCUGAUAUCAGGAUAGGACUCUCUUGUUUUACUUCCUAUCGACUUGCUUCUCGUAGACGCCUUAUAUACUGCAGGUGUAUGGCGGGUCUGUGCACGUGCCGGAUAUGCUUCCGCUGGUACCCGGGCGUGACAAGGUGUCACGCCCCAAUCCCCGCCAAUUUGGUCGGGUUCGGGUCACGUCAACAGACGCCGAACGGACAGAGCCUCCCCUGUCCGCCCAAGGCUCUAACAACCUGUAUAAAUAAGCAAUCAACAAGAGAUUUGCAUAUAUAAUACAAGGCUUGCACGAGGGCAAGCAACAACGGAAGCGAGAGCUCUAAGCUAAAUAUACAACAUACAUGAUAUUUGAUUAGAUUUAAACCAAAUACAAGUGAUUAAAACGAUUACAUUCCAUUCAUCCAUCAUAUCUUUUUACAUUUAGUCAUCCACCGAGUACAUGAUUGUUUACCACUUUACAUCUCUAAAUCAACAAAAGAAGUUGAUACAUGCAUACCAAAAAAGGAAUGACUACAAAAUGUAUAAGAUCCCGGUGGCCGCUAUCUACGGCGCUAAACCCUUGCCACGGUCCUCCGCCGCCCCACUCGUGCUAGGACCUGUAGGGUUAGUGGUGUGAGAACUACAACAAAGUCCCCAGUGGGUCGGCAUCCGACAUCGCCGACUUACCCACUAUGUCAAGCCCCGCGACCAACCGCCAAUUUGGACCGGGUCGCGGCGCCGACGACAGACCGCCGAACGGACCGGGGUUUCCCCUGUACGCGGACAGAGUCUCCCCUGUACGUUCUAGGCAUCGCAAUCCAAACAAUCAACGAGGGUUCCAACUAGGAACGGAUAUCAAUCCAGAUUGCAAGGGAAGUAUCAAAUACAUAAACUACUUGCUAUUACAAGCAUUCAUUUAGCACAUCUCAACUACAGUUUACAUUUUUACAUCAUUUAUCUUACAAGUUUGAUACAUUUUGUUUCCUUGCCUUCUGAUCCCCCAAGCUAGACUGCUUCAGGGUACUGCUACCUCGGUCUCUGUGGUGGGGCGCUAUCUACUGAGCUACGCCCUCGCCUCGCGCUGCCGCGCUGCACAUACAACCUGAAAACACCCCAAAGCCACGUGGGGUGAGAACCAACUCCAUGGUUCCCAGUGGGUACGGCCACCCAAGAGAAAAGCUCGACCGAUAGGUCCGAGGAGGCACUGCAACAUGUUAGUUCAACAAUAUACAACAGAUAUAUAUAUUCAAUUGAAAUACAUGCCAUGCCUCACAAUAUGCGAUAUGAAAAUCAUGCAACAACUAGUAGAUCAUUUGCAUUCUACUUUUACUUAGCUAUUCUUAGCUCAUAUCUUUACACUAAGGUUUCUAUUACCUUGGAAUCUCAACUCGGUCCACUGGCUCCUAAGGUCUCUAUUACCUUAGCUCAAGUCUCUAUCUCUAGCUCAUAGAGGUUCCUCUACCCUAUCGAAGCUAACCACCCGACUCGGCUUCGAGUCAAUCAUUCGCGGAUAGCCCGCGCACCGGCUGCUCAUCAGCCUACCGCCCUCUCUGUCUCAACCCCCUAGCGGUGAAGUCGUCGCACACGCUAAGCUCGGCUCAAGUCGCACGACUUGACCAUCUGGUGGCGAUCGCGCUGCACUUACCCAGCGUGAGCUCGAGACAUGACACCCCGUCUGGCGGCGAACGGAUCGCACCACACCCAACAACGGUACAUGUCAGACUCAGUCACCUGGAGGCACCCGCAUCGUACUUACCCAGCAUGGAUUCAGUCUGCUCUGGCGGUCUGAUCCUCAAUCGGCUUAACUAUCCUGGCGGCGAAAUCGUCGCACAAACGCCACGGCAAUGGUUCAAGCCCCGGGCGGUGAUCUCCAUGUGAUCGCCCCCAAUCCUCCCUCGGUACCAAGCUCGGCGGCGAAAUCGUCGCACAAACGCCCUAGCUUCUACUAAGGUCAUUACAAGUCAUAGGAUUCCGGAAUCCACUUACCGCAGGUCGAGGGUCCAUAGCCAACCCUAUACUUUCGACCAAGCUCAUCCUAGUGGCUAUACCACUAUACUCAGCAACCUAGGUUCCAACACUCUAGGUUCUAUGUCCAAGUCACUUAACCUAGUUACACUUGCUAGGUUCCUGUCAUCUUUGCCUAGAUGUCCACUUCUAGAUUUACUAGUUCGACCUAGAUUACUAACACUAGGUUCGAUGCCACACACCUAGAUUGUUCGACUCUAGGUUUACUAACACUAUGUUCUUUAACAUUAGGUUAGAUGCCACUCGAUCUAUCUGACAACCUAAUUGUCCAAUCAUCUCAGCUUACACUAGAGUUAUUAUCUAGUUCAUAUGCAUAUACUCCUAGCACGUUCCCUAAUGCCGAUUAUGCAUUCUUUACUUUAGCUAACAUUAUCCACACGUCAUGUCUAUCAUGCUUACUACUUAGCAUUUUAAAGUCUCAUUCAUCAUACUUUCUACUUAGCCUUAUACUCUAUGCAUUAUCAUUCAUCAUGCAUUUCUUGUUCUGGUCUACAUGCACAUGCAUCAACAUGGAGAUACAUUGCCAAGACAUAAAGGGCGACCUAGUCGCUUCGGUAAGCACAACCCACCUUAGAUAGCUUUUCGAUUGCUUGUCGUCACUUGCAAUCGGCCUCCCGCGGCACUCGGCACCCGUUUGGGCCCGAUCUCAAAGUUGCCCUCCAAGAACGCGCCGCUCUGUCGCUUCAAGUGCUAGCGAUCUUCACCUUACCGCUACGGUGCUCGGGACCCGACUUCACGAUUUAUGGACGUCGCCUCGGCUCUCCAGGCGGAAACGAAGCUACGAGCGCCCGUUUCUUCAAUAUCCUCGCAACGGCUUGUCGGAUUGCCGAACCGACUUCGCCAACGUGUUUCGUUACCUACCAAUUAGGUUUACGAAGGGUCAAAUGAGAUCAAACUCAUCUAUUUACAAAAACCCCAUUUUGGAUGCCCUAGAAUGCCCAUACCAUCAAACCCACCAAAUCGAGCUAUGAAAUGGGAAAAAAUCCAUCUUAAUAACAUGCUAGGGGGGGUCCAAUAAUACCAUUUCUAGGGUUUAAAACCCACUCCCAAGAAAACUACCAUGAGAAGCCAUGAAACUUACCUCUCAAGGGUGCUCCAAGAUGAAGAAGAAGAUGAAGAUGAAGAUGAGGAAGAGGAUCUCCUCCUUGGUCCUCUCUUUCUUCUCCUUUCCUUUCUCUUUUUCUUCUUCCCUUCUCUUUUCUCUUUUCUUUCUUUCCUUUCUUUUCCCAUUCGCACGAUCAGAGGGAGAGAGAGAGAGUGGCUGAGGGAGUGAGAGAGAGAGGAAAAGAUCUCUCUCUAAUACCCUCUCUCAUUUUAUAACAAUAUCCCCAAAGGCCCCUCCACUUUUCACCUCUUACACAGCCUUCACUGGGCAUUCUGCGCGCUGAGGGACCGGUCUCCUCGACCUGGGACCGGUCCCAGGGGCCUCCCCCCGCGGGCACGCGUUCGGGAACCGGUCCCUCCCUGAGAGACCGGUCCUCGGGAGACCGGUUCCCCUCAGAGAGACCGGUUCCCGAGAGCUAAACUUUCGGGACUUAGCCGAUUUUCGGCUCUUCUCACUGGUGUCGCAGGCUGGGACCGGUCCCUCCUCUGCCAGGGACCGGUUGCAUCAGCAACUCCCGCAGCCUUCAGCUGAUGGGACCGGUCUCUCACUUCCAGAGACCGGUCCCCGAGAGCAACUUCAGCCCAAAAAUGCAAAUUGUAUUAUUUGCUCUCGCGGACUCCAUUCUAAUGCACUUCUCGGAUUUUGUGCAUCCUAAGCUAUUCCAAAGCUUAUCAACUCGACCCUUGGUCGAUUCUGGACGAAGCACGACUCUCGGAUUUGGAGAAUUCCAGGGUAUAACAUUCUCCUCCUCUUAAAAGAGUUUCGUCCGCGAAACUUACUCAUUUCCAACCCCCUUCUUAUUCCUCGAUCCACCUCUCGAGUACUCAAGGGUUCCAAUGCACUUUGCACUUCGGAGUGGCCUUUAUUCUCAUCGAACUCAUUUAAAGGCCAACUACGAAGAAUGUGAGACCACGUUUACUCACAUUUUCCUUUUGCAACAUCAAAAGUGCAUUACCACUUUACAACCUCGAGGGUAGUGUGGGUCAAUACUCAUGACCCCACACACUAACAUCACUAGCUACUCGGCUAGAGAAGGACCUACUCCUUCGUCUCUGCGGUGUGGACUUAGCAAGUUCGCUUCAACUCGAUGAACGAUCCACCACCACAACUUUAUGUGCACGGGUAGACUCUCUCGAUUUACUCACAUACUCACCAGGUGGCACUGCACCAUUUUGGCCAUUUGGGAGCCUAAUACCACCUUAUUAUCCUAUCAGUACCAUCUUUUUCUCAUCUAUCAACUUGGGGAACACACUCCGAUCUGAUCAAAGGCAUUGUCCAAAAGCAAUAUCGCCGGUGCAUUUCCCAAUCGCAAGUGCCCCAAAUCAAUCGAGCCCUUUCUUAAUCUUGAGACGGCAUACUCUCGCACAUCCCAGACCUCAAUCCUCUUGGGAGCAUCAUCCUCAAUUCCCAUUCCCACGUGGCUGUCCAUUAUCCAAGUGUCUCGUAGAGACCACUUUACUUUCUCUUUGUCCUUUGACAUUUUAGGCCACGUUCAUCACCACGCGAACCCUCUGUUCGCGGAUCUAAGUCCAACUCACUGAUGGAGUUUCCGGCUAUACCGACCAUCGGUUUCCUCAAGUGGACUAAGGCCACCAAUCCUACGUAGGUCAAUCGCCUAACUCAUCUCAACGACGCCUAGCGUCUCUCGCUCGCGAGCGUAAACCUACUCAGCAUCGGGCGACAUUCUCGUUGGAGAAUUCGCACGCACUCCAAACAGGAGUAUCCAAGUCCUCAAACUCCGUCAAGUCCUCAGGUUGGGUCACCGCACACUCGGCGUACUAUCGAUCUCACAAUCCAACACGUGGCACUCCACGCACUCGGGUCUAAGCUCAGACUACCGUCCUGACCAAACUCUCCGCCCUAUCUAUAGGUAUCAGGACGCUGUCUCUCACAGCUGACUGCGCCUGCCCAAUGGGCCCAGGCUCCACAGUCCACAAAUGGUCCAGGCACGGGUCGUCCCCAAGCACUACCCGCCAACGUCGUCCUACACGACAUGCUCUACAGAGCUACACACUCUAUCGGCUCCUAGGCACCUAGUGCGAGCCACUAGCCCUACGAGUGGUCCAUGGCCCGCUUCACACUUAGCCCUGCUAAAGUGCUACUGCCAAUUCACUCGACCGACUGAAUCGAAACCGCACCCUACGAGUAUUUAUACUUGAGCGCUCUAUGCCUCUAUGGCAUCUCACACGAAGUCUAGCAUCAGGCAAUUUAGCCUAUGCACACCGGCCACACGAGCAACAACUCGUCCUCCUCAACUUGAGGUACUACUGGGCCCACAGGCCAAGUUUGGCGCUAUUCAACCAAUUUCGCAACAGGGGUUCAUCCCCACUGUUCCAUCUAUCGAAUUCGCAUCCGAACUACUCUUGGAACAUUCGGGUGUCCCCAAAUGUCAAGGCUCACUCUCGCAAUUUUUAACCCAUUGCUUCGAGAGUUCUCUCACAAUUUCGAUUUCCACUACGAACCUCGUUUCCUGUUCAAAAUCACCACUAGCCAUUUACUAGUACCACUUGGCUCUCUACCUGCUCUAGCAUGCGCUACACUCCUAUCCUGCAAGCAUGCUCGGGUGCCUACCUACCCGACCACUUGGUCCCUACCAUGCGAUGUAAUAAUAGUAGCAACUGACCAACGAUGAAUGCAUGCUAUGCAACAACUUGAGAUCAUGCAAAAGUAUGCUUGCUCGAUUAACUCAUACCUGCCAAGACGUCAUCAGCACGGCAGGCCCCGUAACUCGGGUCGUUCAUCCACGGCCACUUGGCGCUUGUCGCGAACCCUCUGGUUGCAACGUCCUCAACGGCUGUUCCCCCGACCAUGCCGCAGGUGGCACACCUGCCGGCUGUUCUGGAGAGGAAUAAGCCGUCGCCAGUGUCAAGGCCCGGCUAUCACCCUGCGGACACUUGUCCCGCACAUGACCCGGCAGCCCACACUUGAAGCACUUGUGCUCUGGCUGUUCACACUGUUGUGGGAAAUGAGGACCCCCACAAAUCACACAUCUCGUCGAGGACCGAAUGUGAUACGUCCCCGGAGCUCUAGAUCGAGAGCGCGACUUUUCGAAGGUCUGCUGGGAACUUGACUGACCAUCAUGUCCACUCACUGGACUGUUUGAAGUGAAAAAUUUUUUUUUUUUCUAAUCAUAAUCGAAACCAAUUAGAUUCUGACUCAAAUAAUUUUGAAAGGUCUUAUGUUGACCAGAAAAUUUUGGGGCCAAUAAUUACAAUUUAAAAUCCACAAUAGGCCUAUUCAUAAAUGUGAGGGGGUGGGCCCUUACGAAAGCCCAAACAAAUUUUAAAAAAAAAAAUGUGAGUGGGUGAGCCCUUACGAAAGCCCAAACAAAAAAAAAANAAAAAAAAAAAAAAAAGAAAGAAAAAAAAAGAAAAAAAGAAAGUGUUCCUAACUUCUACCUUUUUCCACAAGGAAAACGCCAACAUCAAAGAACGUUGUUAUUGCAUCAACAAACUCAAUAAUAUUGGAGGCGGGUUUGCGAGUCUGCUUGCCCACGUCCGUCCUGAUAUUCGAAACUGCAGGUGCCUCAAUCCAAUUUGGCGCGAUUCCGGAAGAUGUUCGAGCUGCUGUCAUGGCUCAAAUUCUUGCUGCUACUGGGGGCAUGACCACUCUCGUCGCCCCUUCACAGGAUGUAUCCAAUGUGGUCAUUCCUCGGCUGCUAUCUCGAGGAAGACGAUCCAAUGUGGUCAUCCCCAACCCUCCUCGCCGACUCAUAGGCGAAUGAUUCACUUACCAACCUGCAUCCAAGAGGAUGGAGUCUGAGGGAAGACUGAUAUUCCCAAAUGGCAGAGUGCAGAAAGCAUCAAUAUUAGAUAGGCUGGCGCUUUCUAAUGAUACUACAACCACCAUUCCUCCAACGAGAGCGUCCUUUAAAAAGAAUAACAGCCGCCAACUCCACAGAGGAAAAGUUGCUGGGGGUAAGGACAAUAACGUUCAAGAGCCCCAAAUGAUUCAAUCGACCGGCAGGUCGUUAAACUAAGCAAAUAUAGCCGACAAAAUGAGGCUAACGUGCGUAGUGAGGCCAUCCUCAUUAAACCAUAUAGUUGAAAGACAUAUCACUUCUCAAUUGGUCAAAAAAAAAAAAAUGUGGAGGACAUGUUGUCUAAACUUUUUAGACAAUAUGGGUAAAAUAUGAGCCACCGGCGGACUUGAUUGUCCAUAUCGGACUUCAAGGGUAAAAUUACAAAAAUUUCCCGGCUGUGGUAUGACCCCACAGGCAAAAUUGGGAUCCCCGCUGUGAGAAAACCUUUCGAGGCUCACAGGCAAAAGUUAGGGGAAGGUAUCUGGUGAAAACCCAUUCGGGCACCAGAGUACCCAAAAUAUAUUUUGCCUAUGACGGAAUGCUAACUUACCUUAGGGUCUGUUAUGCGCAGCAAUUUCGAUUGCUUCUCGAGGCAAAAUAAAUAAAAAUAAUCCAUAUUACCUAAAAUACAUUUAGCCUAUGACGGAAUGCUAACUCACCUUAGGAUCGGUUAUGCGGAGCAAUUUCGAGGCAAAAUAAAUAAAAAUAAUCCAUAUUUUUUAUUACCCAAAAUAUAUUUUGUCUAUGACGGAAUGCUAACUCACCUUAGGGUUGGUUAUGCGUGGCAAUUUCGAUUGCUUCUCGAGGCAAAAUAAAUAAAAAAAAAUAUACAUAUUUCCUGAUACAAAAAAAGGGGUGGAGGACAUGUUGUCUAAAUUUUUUUAGAUAAUAUGGGUAAAAUAUGAGCCACCAGCGGACUUGAUUGUCCACAUCGGACUUCAAGGGUAAAAUUGCAAAAAAUCCCUGGCUGUGGUAUAACCCCACAGGCAAAAUUGGGAUCCCCGCUGUGAGAAAACCUUUCGAGGCUCACAGGCAAAAGUUAGGGGAAGGUAUUUGGUGAAAACCCAUAUGGGCGCCAGACUACCCAAAGAUCUAUUUUUGCCUAUGACGGAAUGCUAAUACACCUUAGGAUCAAUUAGCGCAGCAAUUUUGAUUGCUUCUCGAUGCAAAAUAAAUAAUAAAAAAAAAUAUAUAUAUAUAUAUACUUCCUGAAAAAAAAAUAAUAAAAAAAAAAGACAGGUGGAGGACAUGUUGUCUAAUUUUUUUUAGACAAUAUGGGUAAAAUAUGAGCCGCUAGCGGACUUAAUUGUCCACAUCGGACUUCAAGGGUAAAAUUGCAAAAAAUCCCUGGCUGUGGUAUAACCCCACAGGCAAAAUUGGGAUCCCCGCUGUGAGAAAACCUUUCGAGGCUCACAGGCAAAAGUUAGGGGAAGGUAUUUGGUGAAAACCCAUAUGGGCGCCAGACUACCCAAAGAUCUAUUUUUGCCUAUGACGGAAUGCUAAUACACCUUAGGAUCAAUUAGCGCAGCAAUUUUGAUUGCUUCUCGAUGCAAAAUAAAUAAUAAAAAAAAAUAUAUAUAUAUAUAUACUUCCUGAAAAAAAAAUAAUAAAAAAAAAAGACAGGUGGAGGACAUGUUGUCUAAUUUUUUUUAGACAAUAUGGGUAAAAUAUGAGCCGCUAGCGGACUUAAUUGUCCACAUCGGACUUCAAGGGUAAAAUUGCAAAAAAUCCCUGGCUGUGGUAUAACCCCACAGGCAAAAUUGGGAUCCCCGCUGUGAGAAAACCUUUCGAGGCUCACAGGCAAAAGUUAGGGGAAGGUAUUUGGUGAAAACCCAUAUGGGCACCAGACUACCCAAAGAUCUAUUUUUGCCAAUGACGGAAUACUAACUCACCUUAGGGUCGAUUAGCGCGACAAUUUCGAUUUGCUUCUCGAAGACAAAAUAAAUCAAUAUUCACUAACAUCCAAUCGACUGCCAUGUCGUUAAACUGAGCAGCACAUAUCCAAUCGACCGCCAUGUCGUUAAACUAAGCAUUCCAUAUUCAAACCGACCGCCAUGUCACUAAACUGAGCACCAAAACUCAAACCGACCGCCAUGUCAUUAAACUGAGCCACCUUAGAUAGCUUUCCGAUUGCUUGUCGUCACUUGCAAUCGGCCUCCCGCGGCACUCGGCACCCGUUUGGGCCCGAUCUCACAGUUGCCCUCCAAGAGCGCGCCGCUCUGCCGCUUCAAGUGCUAGCGAUCUUCGCCUUACCGCUACGGUGCUCGGGACCCGAUUUCACGAUUUAUGGACAUCGCCUCGACCCUCCAAGCGGAAACGAAGCUACGAGCGCCCGUUUCUUCAAUAUCCUCGCAACGGCUUGUCGGAUUGCCGAACCGACUUCGCCAACGUGUUUCGUUACCUACCAAUUAGGUUUACGAAGGGUUAAAUGAGAUCAAACUCAUCUACUUAAAAAAACUCCAUUUUGGAUGCCCUAGAAUGCCUAUACCAUCAAACCCACCAAAUCGAGCUAUGAAAUGGGGAAAAAUCCAUCAUAAUACCAUUUCUAGGGUUUAAAACCCACUCCCAAGAAAACUACCAUGAGAAGCCAUGAAACUUACCUCUCAAGGGAGCUACAAAAUGAAGAAGAAGAUGAAGAUGAAGAUGAGGAAGAGGAUCUCCUCCUUGGUCCUCUCCUUUUUCUCCUUUCCUUUCUCUUUUUCUUCUUCCCUUCUCUUUUCUCUUUUCUUUCUUUCCUUUCUUUUCCCCUUCGCACGAUCAGAGGGAGAGAGGGAGAGUGGCUGAGGGAGUGAGAGAGAGAGGAAAAGAUCUCUCUCUAAUACCCUCUCUCAUUUUGUAACAAUAUCCCCAAAGGCUCCUCAACUUUUCACCUCUUACACAGCCCUCACUGGGCGUUCUGCGCACUGAGGGACCGGUCUCCCUGACCUGGGACCGGUCCCAGGGGCCUCCCCCCGCGGGCACGCGUUCGGCAACCGGUCCCUCCCUGAGAGACCGGUCCUCGGGAGACCGGUUCCCCUCAGAGAGACCGGUUCCCGAGAGCUAAACUUUCGGGACUUAGCCGAUUUUCGGCUCUUCUCACUGGUGUCGUAGGCUGGGACCAGUCCCUCCUCUGCAAGGGACCGGUUGCAUCAGCAACCCCGCAACCUUCAGCUGAUGGGACCGGUCUCUCACUUCCAGAGACCGGUCCCCGAGAGCAACUUCAGCCCAAAAAUGCAAAUUGCAUUAUUUGCUCUCGCAGACUCCAUUCUAAUGCACUUCUCGGGUUUUGUGCAUCCUAAGCUUUUCCAAAGCUUAUCAACUCGACCCUUGGUCGAUUCUGGACGAAGCACGACUCUCGGAUUUGGAGAAUUCCAGGGUAUAACACACUAGGUCUAUCCAGGCAUAAGUAUUUUAAGGAAAGAAAAGUAACCAGUACUAAUGCAUCUAAUACUAUGCCUGCAGAAGAAUGUCAGUAGAUACAUAUACUCGAUGCAAUAAUAGAAAUGCAUGCAUGCUCAAUUUAUGAAUAAACUUUGGCUCUUACCCAAUCUUACCUGUUAACCUUGUUAACCCCAAACACUCACAACCCAAAAUCCCUUAAUAACGGGGGACUCGAACCUCCCUAUGGACCGUCAACUGGUGGGGCUUUACCUCGCGCAGUGGUGACCAACUCCGGAGCACACCGCACGAGGGAGAGCGACCUCCCUCAAGCCACGACGUAUCGUGAGUAUCGAUCCAAUCCUCAACUUGAGGAUUCAUAGCCACUAGUUACAAUACCGAUAUCAUGAUAGGUCUCUACCUAUUCAUUCUUGCCACUCUCAAGGCUAUACCUGUGAUGAUGCCAUAAUUGGUUAAACUAUGUUUAAUGGUUCAUCUCGCAAUGCCAAUCUUGUUUCUAUGUCAAUGUCACCUUUGUUUUCUUUUGUCUGAGUCCAAACCUCACAUUCACACACCUGAGGGUCUUACCACAUAUGUCCAGUUUUGGUUCAAUCAUUCUCUAUGUUCAACUACGUUAGAAACAUAUAAUGAAAGCAACCCGAAUUCCACAUGUAUCUACCCUAAUAUGUAUGAAUGGCUAUAAAUAGAUAUAUGCUCAAUAAAAGGGAAAAUAGACAUAGAAGGGAAUCCAACGAUUCCGGCGUGCACCUCCACCUUGUGAGGUAUAGGGAAACUACUCCGAUGAAUCCCACGCUCAACCGAUCGCCACUCGUCAACCUACACCCCAAAAUAGAGCCAAAUUAGGCCCAAUGUACACAAACCAUGCUCUAGCAUUUUCGUUUCGUCAAAUGGAGUUGUCCCACGCAUUUAGAGCACCCCCAAUUUGGUUUCUACGAGGUCAAUUUGUCCUCGAAAAAUCCUAGGGCAAAAGCCCUAAUUUCCAAGCCCUAACAAUGCCAUUUAGGAUUUCCUCGUGGAUUGAUCUCAACACUAAGCAAAUAAUAGCUUAGAAUCCUCUAAGAAGCAUUCUAACAAGGUUUUCAAGCCUUUAGAACCAUCCCUAGGGACCCUACCUCAGCCCCUGUGUGUUCACCAUGAGAGCACCUUGAGCUCUCAUGGGUACCAUGGCAUCCAUGGCUCAAAAGAGCCUCUAAAGCCCCUAAGAAGCACAAAGCUCCAAUGCCCUAAGCCAAAAUCCAAACCCUAGAGGAAAACCUUGCAAAACUCACCUCUAGUCCAAGCUCCAUCAUGGUUCUUCUUGUUGGAGAGCCCCUAGGACCACCNCUUCUCAAGCCUCCAACCAGCACCCUACUGGUUCAGGACAGCAAAGAGCCUUCCAAAACACUCCCUCACACGUGCACAAAGGUGCUGCAACGCUCACAAAUAGCGAAGAACGCACGCGGCGACGAAAACGAGCGAAAUCGGCGAACUCGACGUAGAGAGAGAAAAACCCUAGAGAGAGAGAGAGAAGAAGGGAAGAGAAGCUUUCCCAGAACUCUUGCAUACUCCACUGAAGUCCCAGAGCCGUGCUGGGAUCAAAUAGGUAGGUAUCCAAUGUGAAAUUACCAAAAUACCCAAGCUGCCACGAAUCUGCCAGCUUGUACCGGUACAAGGUGAUGGCUGUACCGGUACAGCAAGCAGAAAAUGCUGAAAUUUCGCAGGUCAAUGCAUUUUCUUAGUUUUUGCAUUCCAAUCACUCUCAAACUUGUCCAAACACUUGUUCUAACCUUUUAGAACAUGUAGGAGUGACCCACACACCAUUCCACACACUCGAACUUCACAAUUUGCAGAAGUUCAGUGUAUUACACACUCCUUCAGGGACCGGUCCCCGAGAGCACAAAAUCUGGGACUUAGCCAGAUUUUCAGAUUCUCUCUCUCGGGUCCCUUUUAGCUUCACUUAUGGACUCUAAUGCGCUUAGGGUCCAUUCUAACUCAUUCAACUCCGCGUUCCGCUCAUUUUGACGGAACUCGACACGAUCUACGAGGGAUGUGGUAUGUUACAUUCUCCACCCCUAAAAUUUAGUUUCGUCCGCGAAACUACUAAUAUUGAAAUUUAAAUUUCUUACCUCACUUUAGAUCCUCGAAGAGGUGAGGAUGACGCUCCCUCAUUUCGCUUUCGAGCUCCCACGUCGCUUCCCGGUCAUCAUGUUCACACCAAUGAACUUUAACAUACGGGAUUUCGCAGUUCCGAAGCUUUCGCACCUCCCGAUCGGCAAUAUAUGCUGGGAACUCCUCAUAUGUCAUAUCCUCUUGAAGCUCUAUCGGUAUAUACGAGAGAAUAUGAUCUGGGUCAUACACAUACUUGCGAAGUUGGGAUACAUGGAACACAUCAUGUACUCCCGCGAGCCUCGGUGGUAAUGCCAACUUAUAGGCCACCGCACCAACUCGUUCCAAAAUCUCGAAGGGUCCGAUAUAGCGGGGGCUCAGUUUCCCGCGAACACCGAACCGCUUAACUCCUCGCAUCGGCGAUACUUUUAGAAAUACGCUGUCUCCUACCGCGAACUCAAUAUACUUUCGCCGCUUGUCAGCAUAAUUCUUGUGCCGUGAUUGCGCCGUCACUAAUCUUUGUCGGGCAAGGCGGACUUUCUCUUCCGCCUCCCGUACCAUAUCCAGGCCAAGAACCAUCUUCUCGCCCAUAUCGCUUCAGUGUAUUGGCGAGCGACAGGGCCUCGAAUGGCGCCAUCGCAAUGCUUUCUUGAUAGCUGUUGUUGUAUGCGAACUCCGCCAUCGGUAAGUGAUCGUGCCAUCCGCCCUUAUAAUCAAGCACACACGCUCGAAGCAUGUUCUCAAGUAUUUGAAUUGUCCUUUCCGAUUGACCGUCACUUUGAGGAUGGAAUGCCGUACUAAAGUCGAGCCGCGUGCCUAAUGCCUCAUGUAAGCUCUUCCAAAAAUGAGAUGUGAACCUAGGGUCCCGAUCCGAUACAAUAGAUACCGGAACCCUGUGAAGUCUCACCACCUCAUCGAUAUAAAUUGAGCUAACUUGUCUCCCGACCAAGUAGUGUGGAUCGGCAAAAAGUGCGCCGAUUUGGUUAACCGAUCCACAACUACCCAAAUCGCGUCAUGUCCACCUUGUGACCUAGGCAAACCCGUCACAAAGUCCAUUGCGAUGUCUUCCCAUUUCCACACGAGUAUAGGUAGACUCUGCAAUUUGCACACUGAAAAUCGACGCUCCGCCUUCACUUGUUGGCACGUGAGACAUUGCGCCACGAACUUCCCUAUGCCUUUCUUCAUGCCCGGCCACCAGUAAUGUAAUUUCAAAUCUCGAUACAUUUUGGUGCCGCCCGGGUGAAUGCUAUAGGGAGAUUGAUGCGCUUCUUGCAUAAUCGCCCUCCAAAGGUCGUCGUCCUUGGGCACGCACCAACGAUCCCGAUAUCGUAGUGCGCCGUAGAUUCCAAUGCCAAAAUCAUCGGCAUUAGCACUCUCAACUUUGCCCCGCACCUUUUGGAGAAACUCAUCUGAUGCUUGUAAUUCUUUAAUUUUCUCCAACAAGGUUGGUUGCACAACUAAGGUAGCGAGUGUUGCCGGCACUCCUGGCGCCACAACUUCUAGUCCAAACCACUGCAUCUCCUUUUGCAAAGCCGGUUGAGGCUUAAUUUCCGCCGCCAGAAUUUUCGCCGACUUUCUACUUAAAGCAUCGGCUACGAUGUUCGCUUUUCCAGGGUGGUAGAGAAUCGUGACAUCGUAAUCCUUGAGCAACUCUAGCCACCGCCGCUGUCGCAAGUUCAGCUCCUUCUGGGUGAACAAGUAUUUGAGACUUUUAUGAUCGGUGUAGAUCUCACAAUGUUCCCCAUAUAAGUAAUGCCUCCACAGUUUUAGCGAGAAAACAACCGCCGCUAGUUCAAGAUCGUGAGUCGGGUAGUUCUUUUCAUAACUCUUCAACUGGCGCGAAGCAUAAGCUAUGACUCGGCCAUUUUGCAUUAAGACACACCCGAGACCGAUAUAUGAAGCAUCACUGUAUACGACAUAACUCUCUCUCGGCGUCGGUAAAGCAAGCACCGGAGUAGAUGUCAGUCUAUUCUUUAGCUCCUCAAAGCUCCGCUCACACUCGGGGCUCCAAACGUACUUCGCCCCUUUGUGCGUAAGGCGCGUUAGUGGAGUCGUUAUCCGGGCAAACCCCUCCACGAAUCGCCGGUAAUAGCCCGCAAGUCCAAGGAAGCUACGAAAUUCCGCUACACUCGUCGGGCGAGGCCAAUCUUUAAUUGCCUCAACUUUCUUUGGGUCCACCGAGAUGCCAUCUCCGGAUACAACGUGACCCAAGAAAGUGACCUCCGAAAGCCAAAACUCGCAUUUCUUCAAUUUUGCAUAAAGCUUUUCCCUUCGGAGUAUCUCCAACACGAGGCUUAGAUGCUCCUCGUGUUCUUCUUCGGUCCGAGAAUAUACCAACACGUCGUCAAUGAAAACCACGACGCACCGGUCCAAUAGCGGACGGAAGAUUCGAUUCAUUAGGUUCAUAAAUGCCGCUGGGACGUUAGUAAGCCCGAAUGGCAUGACCGUAAACUCAUAAUGGCCAUACCGCGUACGGUACGCCGUCUUGUGCACGUCCUUGGGCCGUAUCUUCAACUGAUGAUACCCCGACUGCAGAUCAAUCUUCGAAUAUACCCUUGACCCUUGCAACUGGUCGAACAGGUCAUCAAUUCUUGGCAAUAGGUAUUUGUUUUUGAUCGUCACUCUAUUCAACUCGCGAUAAUCAACGCAGAGUCAGAGUGUUCCGUCCUUCUUCUUUACAAAUAGCACCGGAGCUCCCCACGGGGACACGCUCAGCCGCAUGAAGCCUUUAUCGAGCAAAUCUUGCAACUGGGCCUUCAACUCCUUUAGCUCCACCGGUGCCAUUCUAUACGGAGCCUUCGAAAUUGGCGCCGCCUCAGGAAUCAAGUCAAUAACAAACUCGACUUCCCGAUCCGGGGCAGUCCCGGUAACUCCACUGGGAAUACAUCCGGAUACUCCCGCACAACUCGAAUACUCUCCAGUUCCGAGUACUCCUCUCGAGGGUCUACGAUGGUCGCCAAAUAAGCCUUACAACCACCCUUGAUCAUCCUUUUCGCCCUCGCCGACGAUAUGGUUGCUGCGAAGCGUUUGCCUUUACACGCCCGAUACACAAACUCCUCUUGGUUGGGUUCACGGAACGUGAUCACCCUUCUUUCGCAAUCUAUAACCGCGUAGUACUUGGAGAGCCAAUUGAUCCCCAAGAUUAUCUCGAAUCCCCACAUUUCUUUCAACACUAGAAGGUCGAUCGGCAUAAUCCAAUCACCUAUUUGCACUGGGCAGUCCAAGCACUCAUCGUAGACGUCGAUCGAGUGCUCGGGAGUGUUCACCGACCAAUACUCCUCAUUAUGAGUGAUCUCUAUAUUAUGAGCUUGUGCAAAUGAUGCUAAUAUGAAUGAAUGAGAUGCACCUGUAUCAAAUAUAGCUCUAGCUCUAGUGCCUCUGAUCAGAAUAAUAUCUGCCACCACGUCGUCAGGAACUAUGAUCGGUGGCUCCUCCACCUGAGUGGCAAAUACCCGCCCACUAGGUGCUCGAGAGGCCUCCGGCUGACGAGGUGCCGACGAUCGUCCAGCAGAUGUUGUGGGUGGCAGUCCCGCCAGCUGUCGCUGUGUGUACUGCACUGAAGCUGAUGACGGGGCUGGGGAUGCGCCGCCCGGGCAUUCUCGGCUCAUGUGCCCCGGUUGGCCACAUCGAUAACACCGCCCCUCCCGCUGUGGGCAAGCGGUGGCUCUAUGUUCUCCGCCGCAUAUCACGCACGGGGAGGUAAUCUGGCCCUGUGUCUGACUCCUACCUCCCCGCCAUUGUGAUCGCUAAGGUCGCGGGGGUCGCUUAGAACUCGAUUGCCCCGCAGAUCCACAAGCCGGUCGCUUCUUGGUCUUAUCUCUUUCCCUGUCUCUCUCAAAAGUCUCGCGCUCAUCACGCGCGAUGGCAUUCCGCGCUCCACCCAAAGCGCGCGAUCCAGCACUUCCUCGUAGGUCCUCAAGCGAAAUGCAUGAAUAACCUUGAAAAUUUCGGGUCGCAACCCGCACUCGAACACCUCCGCUAGGUCCCUAUCACCGUGAACCAAGCCCGGUACGCAGUUAAUCAUGUGCGUGAAUUCCCUCUCGUACUCCCGUACUGAUCGGCUUUCUUGUCUUAGCUUCCGAAAAUCCUCCUUGAUUUUCCUCUUGUCGCUCUCGGGAAAAUACUCCAUAAGCAGCAUGUAAUACACUGAACUCUUACAAAUUGCAGAGUUCGAGUGUGUGGAAGGAAGUGUGGAGCUAUCCUACAUGUUCUAAAUGACUUAGACAAGUUUUUGAACAAGUUAGAGAAUGAUUGGAGGGUUAAAAGUGAGAAAUUGCAUCAACUGGCGAAAAUCAGCUUUUUUCUGCUUGCUGUACCGGUACAGACAUCACCUUGUACCGGUACAGCAUUGGCAGAUUAGUGGCAGCAAGGCUAUUUUGGUCUUUUCACAUUUUGAUCCUAUCUAUUUGAACCCAGCACGACUCUUGGGGCUCAGUGGAGGUUGCUGGAGACCAGAGAAGCAGCCUUGCACCAUUUUCUCUCUCUCUCUCUAGGGUUUUUCUCUCUCUACAUAGAAUUCGACGAUUUCGCUCGUUUUCGUCGCAAUGUUGGUUCUUCGCCGUUCGCAAGUGUUGCAGAGCCUACGUGGACGUGUGAGGGAAUAUUUUGGAGAGCUUUUCGCAGCUCUGGACCAGUGGGUUGCUGGUUGGAAGCUUGAAAGGUAAACGACUUGAUGUUUUUCCGUUAUCAGCAUUCUAGUCGUCGAUUUGAGUAUUGAGUUUGAGUUUUUGCUUCUAACCGAUAUAAACUGAGAAUUCAGCUAUUAUAAAUGAGUUAAUUAGCUGUGAAUUAACCUUCUUAGACCAGGGAUAAGCUACUCUGAAGCUUAAUUGGAAUAUUUAGCCAAUUAUGAAGCUAAAUUAGAACUAAUUGCACUUAUUUGCGCGAAUUGAUGCAAUUUCGGGAUUAUUUCUUCGCAGCAGGUCUUCGAGCCUCGUUGAGCUGAACUUGUACUCUUUGAAGCUGGUUUGGAAGGUAUUCUAACCUGAGGUAAGCAGGGAUUUCAGUUAGAAAACUGAAUUCGCAAGNCUCCUACAUGUUCUAAAAGGUUAGAACAAGUUUUUGGAUAAGUUAGAGGAUGAUUGGAAUGCUAAAAGUGAGAAAGUGUAUUGAACUGGCCAAAAUCAGCAUUUUUCUAUUUGCUGUACCGGUACAGCCAUCACCUUGUACCGGUACAAGCUGGCAGAAUCGUGGCAGCAAGGCUAAUUUGGUAAUUUCACAUUUGAUACCUACCUAUUUGAUCCCAGCACGACUCUGGGACUUCAGUGGAGUAUGCUAGAGCUCAGCAAAGGGUUUUUUCACCUUCUUCUCUCUCUCUCUCUAGGGUUUCUCUCUCUACUUCGAAUUCGUCGAUUUUGCUCAUUUUCGUCGCCGCGCUUGUUCUUCGCUGUUUGCGAGCGUCGCAGAGCUUUCGUGGACGCGUGGGAGAGUAUUUUGGAAGGUUCUUUGCAACUCUGGACCAGUGAAGUGCUGGUUGGAAGCUCGAGAAGGUAAACGACUCGAUUUUCUCCAUUAUCAACGUUCUAGUAGUCGUUUACGGGUUGCUUUUGAGUUAUUGCUUCUAGUUGCUUUAAUCUGAGAUUUCAGCAAUUAAAGUUGGAUUAUUUAGCUGUGAAUUGAGCUCCUUAGACUAGGGAUAAGCUUCUUUGAAGGUUAAUUAGGAUAAUUAGCCAUUUAUGAAGCUAUUUCGGACUAUACACGGUUUAUGCGAUCGAAUUGAUGCAGUUUUGUACGUUGACUUCGCAGCAGGUCUUCGAGCCUCGUUGAGCUGAACGUGUACUCGUUGAAGCUGGUUUGGAAGUUGUUCUACCCUAAGGUAAGUAAGAAUUUCAGUUAGGAAGCCGAAAUUGCAAGAUUCCGACCAUAAUUGCUAUUAUAUGAUGAGUUUGAUGCCGUUUCGAUUUUGUUCGUAGCGUGAAUGCGAUCGAGCCUUGGAUCAUCGUUAGUUGACUUGUGAGAGCUCUUGGAGACUUAUUUUGAGGUAUUACACUAGUCCCAAAGCAGGGAUUUAAGGGGUUACUUUGUACUAAGUGUAAUUUAGGCCGAAAUCGGAUAUUCCGGUCGUUAUUUUGACGCGAUGUUGAUGUUUGUGUUCAGCAGGAUUGAGACCUAGUGGAGCUGAUCCUUGGGACUCCUUGGACUGAUUUGGAGCCUAGUACUAGGUGGGUUUGACCUAACCAGAGCAAGUGAAGCUCCCCUAUGUUCUAUAUGUAUUAUAGAAGUGGCCUAGUUAUAUGCUUAUGUGAUUGUUAAAGGGCUCGGAAUUCGCCAUCAUGACGUUUUGCAUAUUUGAAAUAGAGCGAGAGAAGCGUUCAUGCAUAAAAGUAUUCUUGUUUAGUUCAGUAGAACAACCAAGAGAUAAGUUUAUUAUGUUUCUAUGAUAUAGAGAACAUAUAUACAUGAACGUAUUUAUAUUUCUAUUCAAUUCAGUUGAAUGACUUAUGAACAAGUGUAGGAUGCACUUAUAAAGUAGAGAACAAUGACAUUCUCUUGACUCUAAAGUAGAGAACUAUAACAUGCUUAUGACCAUGUUGAUAGUGCCAUAAUAGUGGAAAGAUUAUAAUGCCAUGUGAUUUAGCAUUACUCUUACAUGUUUACAAUCUAGUAGAUACUAGUUCUUGUUACUCUUUGUGUAUUGAAAUUCCGAUCAGAGAAUCGAUGGUAAGAACAUUGCAAAUGAAAACAUGAUAAUUGAGACAUGUGGACAGUGGAAUAUGCUUGCUUGCCAUCGUGCUCAUUCGCACACGCUUGUGAGGGUCGCUCCCUACAAGCCGGCACUCCGGAGUUGGCCUACGCGACAGUUGCUCGCCCGUGCGGGAUUGGGUGCCGAAGUGGAUUGCCGUGGGGAGUGUAUACUACCACGGGGCCAUUAGGCGCGGCGCAAGCUGGACUACCUUGGGUAGGUCCCUAUGAAUGAAAAGAUAGUACUUAAUGAAAAAGGACGGCAAUGAAUGCUUAUUAAUUAAAGUGUACAGUAGUCACUUUCACGUUUGUGCUUAGAUUCAUGUCUAUGUUCAUGAUUACAGAAAUUGCCAUAUCCCUAUUAUGCAAAUGAUUCAUUACUGUAGAAUGCUAUUACAUGUUGAUUACAUGCUCAUUACUUGUUAGCAUCAUGCUUAUAAAUCAUGCAAUUAUCGUUUUUGCUUUCAUUUAGUACAUCAUGAGCCUAGUGGUGUAAUUCGCCGAGGCUGGCGGCUUACCCACUGGGAACUAUUGUUUAUAGUUCUCACGCCCUUUUGGUGGUUGUUUUUACAGAGCCAUCUGCAGGAGAGGCUAGGGAUCGUGGCAAGGGAGUCGCGUCUAGCUAGACUUUGCUAGGAGCGUGCUAGUCGAUCACCUUGCUACUCGGGCUACGGCCGAGGGUGAUGUCCUUUGUAUAGAGAGACCACCAUUGUACCUAUUUUUGUAUACUCCGUGGUGUAUAUUUACUGUUGAUCCCGAUGUUUCUGUUGUGAUACUUGCUCUUUAGUCGAGAUUUUGGGAUUGUACACUUUUUGUUCUUUUGUUGAUAUAUAUCGACUUGUACAUUGCUCUGAUAUCAGGAUAGGACUUUCUUUGUUUUACUUCCUAUCGACUUGCUUUCUUCGUAGACGCCUUAUAUACUGCAGGUGUAUGGCGGGUCUGUACACGUACCGGAUAUGCUUCCGCUGGUACCCGGGCGUGACACAGCAUCUCCCGAAACGCCUCCCAAGUAACAAAAGGGUGCUCUAGCGAGCGACUUUUCUUCGCUUGAUUCCACCACAACCGGGCCGACCCAUCGAGACAAUGAGCCGCAAGAUGAACCUUAUCCUUUUCGAGGGUGUAGAUAUCCUCGAAUAAGGCCUCCAUCGCGGCGAGCCAACUCUCCGUCGUCCACGGGUCCUUCACAUCCCCGGUGAAGGUCGGAGGGUUGAAUCGCUUGAAUGUCGUCAGCGCCGCCAAUGUGCGCUCCUGCUCGGCCUCGAGUACAACGAAAAUAGGUGCCGAUGAACCCGAUGCCGUCGGAGGAAUAGCCGUCACAGGGGCUGCCGCCACCGCAGGAGGUGGUGCUACAGGAGCAGCCGGUGGGGGUGGAUCCCUUGGCACUGAUGCCGCUGCCGCCUGUUGCGCGAUCAUCUCGUGGAGCCGCCCUAUCUGCUCCCCUUGAAGCUGCAUAGCCCCGGCCAAAGCCGCUACUUGGGCUCGCAACUUGCGCAUGUCGUCCGACCCCGACUGCUCGGGCUCCUCCCGAGGCUCCGCCGGUGUGGACCUCGUAACUCUCCUCGGUGGUGCCAUUGCGUCCUGAAAUGCAAUGCACACACAUAUUAGUACUCGAAACACGUGACUCUUACAUGUUCCAAGUAACUACCCAAUUAAGCGAAAGCAACAAGCAUAAUCGUGUCCACUCUCGGCGUCAUGUGGUCGGCCGCCCGACAAAGUUCCUUAAGUAGACAACAAUUAAGACUUCUAGUCCAUCUCUACUUCCUUCUAGAGAAGUGUUACCAUUAACCCAAUCACUUGCUUUCGCAUAAACCAAGUUCACGUUAAACGUUUUCCUAGGUCCUUAUGGUCUCCACACCUAGGGUUCCUAGGUCAUUCCUAGACUUUUGCUUUCAACUUCGCUCUGAUACCAUUAUAUCUGUCACGCCCCAAUCCCCGCCAAUUUGGUCGGGUUCGGGUCACGUCAACAGACACCGAACGGACAGAGCCUUCCCUGUCCGCCCAAGGCUCUAACAACCUGUAUAAAUAAGCAAUCAACAAGAGAUUUGCAUAUAUAAUACAAGGCUUGCACGAGGGCAAGCAACAACGGAAGCGAGAGCUCUAAGCUAAAUAUACAACAUACAUGAUAUUUGAUUAGAUUUAAACCAAAUACAAGUGAUUAAAACGAUUACAUUCCAUUCAUCUAUCAUAUCUUUUCACAUUUAGUUAUCCACCAAGUACAUGAUUGUUUACCACUUUACAUCUCUAAAUCAACAAAAAAAGUUGAUACAUGCAUACCAAAAAGAGAAUGACUACAAAAUGAAUAAGAUCCCGGUGGCCGCUAUCUACGGCGCUAAACCCUUGCCACGGUCCUCCGCCGCCCUUCUCGUGCUAGGACCUGUAGGGUUAGUGGUGUGAGAACUACAACGAAGUCCCCAGUGGGUUCGGCAUCCGACCUCGCCGACUUACCCACUAGGUCUAUCCAGGCAUAAGUAUUUCAAGGAAAGAAAAGUAACCAGUACUAAUGCAUCUAAUACUAUGCCUGCAGAAGAAUGUCAGUAGAUACAUGUACUCGAUUCAAUAAUAGAAAUGCAUGCAUGCUCAAUUCAUGAAUAAACUUUGGCUCUUACCCAAUCUUACCGGUUAACCUUGUUAACCCCAAACACUCACAACCAAAAACCCUUAAUAACGGGGGACUCGAACCUCCCUAGGGACCGUCAACUGAUGGGACUUUACCUCGCCCAGUGGUGACCAACUCCGGAGCGCACCGCUCGAGGGGGAGCGACCUCCCUCAAGCCAAGACGUAAUGUGAGUAUCGAUCCAAUCCUCAACUUGAGGAUUCAUAGCCACUAGUUACAAUACCGAUGUCAUGAUAGGUCUCUACCUAUUCAUUCUUGCCACUCUCAAGGCUAUACCUGUGAUGAUGCCAUAAUUGGUUAAACUAUGUUUAACGGUUCAUCUCGCAAUGCCAAUCUUGUUUCUAUGUCAAUGUCACCUUUAUUUUCUAUUGUCCGAGUCCAAACCUCACAUUCACACACCUGAGGGUCUUACCACACAUGUCCAGUUUUGGUUCAAUCAUUCUCUAUGUUCAACUACGUUAGAAGCAUAUAAUGAAAGCAACCCGAAUUCCACAUGUAUCUACCCUAAUAUGUAUGAAUGGCUAUAAAUAGAUAUAUGCUCAAUAAAAGGGAAAAUAGACAUAGAAGGGAAUCCAACGAUUCCGGCGUGCACCUCCACCUUGUGAGGUAUAGGGAAACUACUCCGAUGAAUCCCACGCUCAACCGAUCGCCACUCGUCAACCUACACCCCAAAAUAGAGCCAAAUUAGGCCCAAUGUACACAAACCAUGCUCUAGCAUUUUCGUUUCGUCAAAUGGAGUUGUCCCACGCAUUUAGAGCACCCCCAAUUUGGUUUCUACGAGGUCAAUUUGUCCUCGAAAAAUCCUAGGGCAAAAGCCCUAAUUUCCAAGCCCUAACAAUGCCAUUUAGGAUUUCCUCGUGGAUUGAUCUCAACACUAAGCAAAUAAUAGCUUAGAAUCCUCUAAGAAGCAUUCUAACAAGGUUUUCAAGCCUUUAGAACCAUCCCUAGGGACCCUACCUCAGCCCCUGUGUGUUCACCAUGAGAGCACCUUGAGCUCUCAUGGGUACUAUGGCAUCCAUGGCUCAAAAGAGCCUCUAAAGCCCCCUAAGAAGCACAAAGCUCCAAUGCCCUAAGCCAAAAUCCAAACCCUAGAGGAAAACCUUGCAAAACUCAUCUCUAGUCCAAGCUCCACCAAGGUUCUUCUUGUUGGAGAGCCCCUAGGACCACCAAAGCACCAAAACCCACCUUUUUCUCCAAGUUCUUUUUCUUCUUCUCCAAGUUCUAGAGGAGUUCUAGAGAGAGAAAGAGGGAAAAUGAGAGAGUUGGAGAGAAAUGGCUGUGGGAAAGAGGGGUUGAGCCAUAUAUAGUGUUGUAACAAUUGCACUUAAGCCCCUCCACUUGUUUCACCUUGAACUGCCCAGACUGGGCAUUUUUCGCCUUCGGGGACCGGUCUCCCCGACCAGGGACCGGUUCCCGAAAGUGGGUUUUCCAGGACUUAGCCGAUUUUUCGGCUUUUUCAGCUGCUGCACGACAGGGGACCGGUCUCUCCUUCAGGGACCGGUCUCCCGAGGACCGGUCUCACCACCAGGGACCGGAUGCCUCAGGGUUUCCUGGCAGGCUGCGCGUACGGGGACCGGUCUCUCCUUUCUGAGACUUAGCCAGAUUUUCAUAUUCUCUCUCUCGGGUCCCUUUUAGCUUCACUUAUGGACUCUAAUGCGCUUAGGGUCCAUUCUAACUCAUUCAACUCCGCGUUCCGCUCGUUUCGACAGAACUCGGCAUGAUCUACGAGGGAUGUGGUAUGUUACACCAGGACAACCUACGGGUGUGCCACCUGCGGCAUGGUCUGGAGAGCAAGUGAGGAUAAGGCAACCGAGGGGUUCGCGGCUGGAGGCAAGUGGCCAUGGAUACGCGGCCCAGGAUGUGGGACCUGCUGCUGACGACGUCGUGGCAGGUAUGAGUUAUUAAUGCAGUUAUGUGUUUCUGCAUGAUGCAAAGUUGGAGCAUUGCAUGCAUUGAGCAUAUAGUUAGUUACUACUAUCUAUGUAGUAGCAUAGUAGGGACCAAGCGGAUGGGUAAGUGUAAAUAUUCGGGCAUGCUUGUGUUGUGAAAGCAUAGCAAGUUGCUAGUGAUGAUCUAAGGAUGAGACUCACAGUAGAGAUGGAAGUGACGAACCAACUCGCAGAGCAAUGCGUAGCUGAUUGCGAGAGUUGCGUCGUGACACUUGUGGACACUUGAAUGGUUCGAGUAUUCCAAAUAUUGCUUCGAUAGAACGGUUUGUUGUCAAAUACGGGCGCGUUGGCCUAGUAGUACCUCGAAUUAAGGUAGGUGAGCCGGGCUCGCGUGGCCGGUGUGCAUAGGCAAAGUUGCCUGAUGCUUGACAUAGUUGGAAUACUAUAGAGGCCAUGUAGAGUGCUCGUGUCACGCCCCAAUCCCCGCCAAUUUGGUCGGGUUCGGGUCACGUCAACAGACGCCGGACGGACAGAGCCUCCCCUGUCCGCCCAAGGCUCUAACAACAUGUAUAAAUAGGCAAUCAACAAGAGAUUUGCAUAUAUAAUACGAGGCUUGCACGAGGGCAUGCAACAACGGAAGCGAAAGCUCUAAACUAAAUAUACAACAUACAAGAUAUUUGAUUGCAUUUGAACCAAAUACAAGUAAAUAAAACGAUUACAUUUUCAUUCACCCAUCAUUUCUUUUACAUUUAGCCAUGCACCAAAAUUACAUGAUUGUUUACAACUUUACAUCUCGAAAUCAACAAAGGAAGUUGAUACAUGUAUACCAAAAGGGAAAUGGCUAUAGAAUAUAUAAAGUCCCGGUGGCCGCUAUCUACGGUGUUAUACCCUUGCCUUGGUCCUCCGCCGCCCCGCUUGUGCUAGGACCUGUAGGGUUAGUGGUGUGAGAACUACAACGAAGUUCCCAGUGGGUUCGGCAUCCGACCUCGCCGACUUACCCACUAGAUCUAUCCAGGCAUAAGUAUUUCAAGGAAAGAAAAGUAACCAUUACUAAUGCAUCUAAUACCAUGCCUGCAGUAGAAUGUCAGUAGAUACAUAUACUCGAUUCAAUAAUAGAAAUGCAUGCAUGCUCAAUUCAUGAAUAAACUUUGGCUCUUACCGAAUCUUACCGGUUAACCUUGUUAACCCCAAACACUCACAACCAAAAAUCCCUUUCUUUACCGGGGAGGCUCCAAGUACUACCGACCCGAGGGACCGUCUUCAGGGACCUUGCUCCCUGUGGUGUCGAUUUUCGGAAACACACCGCUUGAGGAGGAGCGACCUCCCUCAAGCCAAGACUUAUUAUGAGUGUCGAUCAAAUCCCCAAGUUGAGGAUAUUUAGCCACAUGUUACAUUGCCACUUUUGUGAUAGAUUUUUCUACCUAUGUUCUCAUGCCACUUGCUAGUCGAUCUCGUUACAAUGCCACUAUAGUUAAAUCUAUAUUUAACAUUCAUUUAUCCAAGCCAAUCUAUCUCUCUAUUGUCAAUGUCACCAUUUGUUUACUUGUGCUAAGUCCAAGUCCCACUAUCAUGCAAUUCCUAGGGUUCAAUAACACAUGUCCAUCAUGGUUCCAUUUCUCUCUCUUUCAAAUACACGUAGAAUAAACAUAAUGAAAACAACCAAAGUUCACAUGUGAAUUAACCCUAAUAUGCAUGACGGAAUGAAUAACCAUAUGCUCAAGAAUAGAGAAAUAGAUAUAGAAGGGAAUCCAACGAUUCCAGCGUGCACUCCCCACCUCUAGUAAUCGUGUGGGUGAGAAUACGAAACUCCCGAACGCUACGAACGACAAUCCGCGUCUUACAAUCCAAAAGGGUGCCUAAUUAGGCCCUUAUAUACAUGAACUAUUCUUAAAUAUUUUCGUUUCCUCAAACGAAGUUGUCAAACGUGUUUACUUGACCCCCAAUUAGGUUUCUACGGGGUCAAUUUGUCCCCGAAAAAUCCUAGGGCAAAAGCCCCAAUUUUCAAGCCCUAAUAUUGUCAUUUAGGGUUUCCCCAUGAAUCGAUCCCAACCCUAAGCAAAUAAUAGCUUAGAAUCAUCUAAGAACAUCUUAGUAAGGUUUUUAGACCUUUGUGACCAACCCUAGGGCUCCUAACCCAACUUCCAAGGGUUCACCAUGAGAGCACUUUGAGCUCUCAUGGGUACUUUGUUGUUCAUGGCUCAAAAGAGCCUCUAAAACCCCUAAGGAGCACAAAGCUCCAAUUCUCUAAACCAAAACCCAAACCCUAGAGGAAAACCUCACAAAACUUACCUCUAGUCCAAGCUCCACCAAGGUUCUUCUUGUUGGAGAGCUCCUAGAACCUCCAAAGCACCAAAUCCACCUUCUUCUCCAAGUUCUUCUUCUUCUUCUCCAAGCCCUAGAGGGAUUCUAGAGAGAGAAAGUGAGAAAAUGAGAGAGGAGGAGAGGAAUGGCUGUGGGAGAGAGGGGAUGGGCCAUAUAUAGUGUUGUAACAAUUG
rnacentral:lncRNA from 1 species